rnacentral:lncRNA from 1 species
CUGUUUUGUAUAUGAGCCAGCAAGGAACAAGUUCUUCACUUGUGUCUUUUGAUCAGGUCUGAAGGGGUCUUUACCAGGUCCCUCAUGGUACAAAGACUGCCCGAUUUUGACAACAGAUGACCAAAUAACUUCUAAACCUUGGGACAAUGGAAAUAGAGCUAAAACCUGAUAAAAGGAACCGUGAAUGGAUAAUAUGAACAGAUGUAUAUCAUCCAGAAAGUUGCAUGACCUUUUGCAGGGCUCAAAGUCACUAAAAAAUGUGAGAUAUACAUCUAGGAUAAGAAAAACGAAAAAGCGUAACCUAAUAUGUAUUAUAUGAAUUGAAGGUGUCACUGAACACUACCAACCUGCUUUGCCACUCUCCUAAUGAUUUCAUCAUUUGGUAAGGGCAUGUAAGGAUCGCCGGGCGUUAAAACGCAUCUGAAAGAUAAUUCAGUUAUAGUAAGCAACACAGAAUACAAAGACACUUGGCAAAAGGAAGUCAACCAGAUUCCAUGACACAAAAUGAAACUAAUAAUGGCGAAACUUCUCUGUAGUAGUCUUCUGGUGAAGUGAGUGCCAGAUCUGCAAAGCAAGAGAAAUCAGCAUGUGGAGUAUACAAAAGAUCAUCUAAUCCCAGAGCUUGCCUCAAUUGCCUACAUGUUCAAAACAAGGAUCCGUUAAAAAAUGGAAAUUUGUUCAAUGCAUUAGCAAAGGGAAGUGAAGUGAAAGCUGAUUUCUUAGGCCUUUAAAGAGCUUCUUUUGAUUGAAUUCCUGUAACCUCACAAAAGAUUAGAGCAUCACCUUGACCGUUCUAGGUCUUGCAACUCAGUAACCCAACCAUUGUAUCUAAGCUGCACUGUCACAACAGGCACUCCAACUAGCUCAUAAAUAUUGUUGAAAAACUUCAUUUCCCUCCACGAUGAUGGAAGUAAUCGUUUAAUUCCAGGGACAUCACAUGCUGCCAUUAAAUAGGAAGUUGAAUAAAGGUAAAACAUUCACCUAAAUGAUUCAGGAGAACAAAAAAGCACAAGUAGGAAUAAAUAAGGAGGAUUUAACCACAAACCUGUAACAUAUGCUUCAGCUUGCACAACCUUCUUGUCAGUGGCCUGAAACAGAACCAGAACCUCUAAGACCAUAAGCAUUAAAUAAUAAACGCAAAGUAGCUGCUUCUAACAGAUGAUAUAAACAACUGAUUUACAAAUGUCUGGUCAUUGCAUUACCUCCAUCAGAGGGAUUAUCAAUAGACGAGUAAAAAAAUAAAUAACUAAACUAGCUUUUGCCGCCUAAUUAGAACCAUGUGAGAAACAAUUACCUUAGACAUGGCAAGUCCUUUGACAUAUGUUUCUCCAUUAGCAGAUUUAUCAUAAAGUAUCUCUCUGCAUCCCCACCUAAGAUGGAACCUGUUCUAGCAAAAACAGACCCCAAGGUUAGGAAAAUCAGUAGGAGAAAACAAACAAGAUUAACAAAUCACUGCAAUGAUGUGAACCUGUAAAUAGAAAUUUACCUGCCCCCUUUAUCUGUGAUAUGUUUUCGUAUGGGCGCACUCAAAUAAGCGUCUGGAGAACCCUUGAGCAUCCGCAAUAGGGCAUAAGCAACAGGAUCCCACAUUCUCUGAAUACUCGUCCGUGUCCCACCUUUGGACAAAAACCAAUCAGAGAAGCUUAUCUGUAAGAAGAAAUGAAGUUUUAGGUAAGAUAACAAUUUGUAGGAACAAGGAUUGAUAUUAAAACAAACUAGAAAAUAAGAUGUCAUUCUUACACUAUCCAAAUCUCCUACGUCCUUCAAGGCUCCAUCAGGAUCAACGAGUGCCCUUACAACAGGACUCAGAGCAAGAGCAAGAGCAUUUCUUGCUUUAUCGUAAGUCUGCACUUGAGCAAUACAUGAGGCAAAGUACAUCAAAAAAGAAUCCAAAAGAGGCAAGAAGCUUCAACAUGAAAGAAGAAAUACUGUCUUAUCAUACCGCUAACUAAUCAGAGUGCAAAAGAUUACAUCAACAUAAUCAAAAUGGAACAUAAAUCCAUAUGCACUACCUUAAGCUAAUUUGUAGACAAAAAUGCGCGAAUCCCAUGUAAGGGAGCUCCGACUGGAAACCGGAAAUCAUGUUCUGGAGUUAAAAAUCAAAAUCAUGAACUUAAUCAGAGUUAUUAUUGGACUAGACAAUCCACAAACCAAUUUCAGAGUGUCCAACCACCAAACAUAACUAUCAGUAGUCUUAAGUGAUCAAGAAAUAACCAUACCACCAAUUUCACCACCCUUAUUCACAAAUGUAUGAGUAUGAUCCUUCAUGAGUAAAUUUUUUUGUGUCCGCACUGACCUGUAGACAUCCAUGAAAAACUAUCAGAUUAUAAACACAGGGUCAAUUUAAAGAGGAGCUAUGAUUCUGAUCCAUCAUGAUAUUUGAAGAACAUUUUCAUAUUUUCCUACAACGAGUAAACUAUAACCAGUUAUCAUCACUAUAGAUGGCAUGGUCAAGAGAAAUUAUAGUUCUUGUUUCAAGAAUCUCAAAUCAUAAUUCCUUUGCAUGGCUAGUGUGCUUUUAUAAUCAUUCAAACACACUUAUCCACAACUAAGCAAGCUUUACCUUUUUCAUCAAUCGGAACAGAUUAUUGUAGCAUCCAAAGAAAAUGUGCAGGCCCAUUUCAAUAUGGUUUCCAUGUUUAUCAAUAAAUGAACCCACUUUACCACCAAUGAAAGACCUUGACUCAUAUAUAUCCACCUGGAAGGGGGGGGAAUCUUCUAAUUUCUUUCACCAUCAACAAAAUCAGUAAAACACAUACUAAUUCAAAAUGAAAUAAACUUUGUGAAUUGAAAUAAUGCCUGCUCUAAAGAAAAUGAUAACUGCUAUUCAUUUUUCCGAACUGCUGAUAAAAGCUUCUGCUAUUUACUUUGAAAAAAUUGAGUAACUUCAAAUUUUCAGUUUAGGCAAGAGGAUGAAUGGUAAAAGUGAGACAUUUUAGGGGAAAAGAAAAUACUUGAGAGGCCAAUGAAACAUUGAAAGAUUGAAAUCUAAAUGAGCAAAACCUCAUGGCCUUGAUCCAACAAUUCCCCUGCUGUUGACAUGCCUGCAAGCCCAGCUCCAAUAAUAGCCACUUUCAGCUUUGGUCCUCUAUAAUGUGCCGGUUCUGGUGGAAACAAACACUUGGGAGCUGCCAAGUAUACCAUUCAAUUAUCCACAGGGAUAUUGGAAAAACAUACAUGUUUGAAAGUACUAAACAUCAAAUGUCUCCCGAAAAAAAUACAAAGCACAAUUGCAUAAGCAUUUCAUUUCCCAAUAAAUUUCAAGAAUACAAAAUACUUGGUCUGUUCUUGAGUUCCUUCAAGAAAAUUUCCACUAGAGAGCACGCAAGCCACUCAAUAACACUCCAAAGUCAGAUUUUAAACGUUAUCUUGAUCUAUAAGUACAAUCCAUGAACCAUUCUGCCACAAAUUCAAUUAAAAAUUAUUCAAGUAAAAUGCCAAAUUCUCCAUCAAUAGCCUCAAAAAUUCAUAACUAGCAAACACUACAGAACAAAAAGAGCUCCCAGCAAUAAACACAUAAAAAUCCCACCAAGCAACAUAAAUCAAAAUACCCAGAAACCAGAAAACCCAAAAGAUCAAUACUUGGUAAACAAACAAAUCAAAUCAAAUAAAACAAAAAGAAGAGAAAUUUACCAUUAACACUCAUAUCAGAAACGUAAGUAUCCAAAGAAGCCCGUACACAGAAUCUUGGAACCUUCACUUGAACCCGAGACCAACAAACACCAGUAACUGAAGUUGCAGGAAAAAGAAGUGAAGAACCCAUAUUGAAAUAAAAGAAUCCAAACCCAAAGUCCCACAUCUAAAUAUGAUGGAUCCACUCCAUGCGGCAAUAUGAAAUUUAAGCUCUCUUUUCUUAUGUCACCCAAGGCAUUGGCAGGAUGGCCAAACACCUGAGUUCAAGUCUACAAUAGAGAAUCGAAAUUUUCCUUUGUAAAUGUUCAUAAGUAUUUACCACAGAUAUUCAAGUUAUUCUUGAUAGAUCCCCUACUAUAUAUGCUAUAAUAUUUCUCUUCUUUUAAUUUAAAAGUAAAUCAUUCAUAAUAUCGGACUUGUAAAGAAAUAAAAUUUUCGGUAAUUAACUGACAAAACAAAAAAAGAUGGAUUAUGCGAAAGAAGUUAAUAUGGAGUAAGUCGAGCACUUGACAAUCAAAGUAAUUUACUCGAGGUUGAGUAAGGAUAGUACGAUACUUUCUCAAGUUUUCUGAGGACAUUCACGUGACAUUGGACUAUUGAUUAUAGUUAGAGAGAAGUCCAAGGAUGUAAGUGAUGAUGAUAGAUUCACAAUUCUUUUGAAGAAAAUAUUUUAUAUAAACUUAAUUAUAUGGUAUAAAAUGAUUGGCCUUAAUAAAAUUAAAAAAUAAUACACGCCUGGGUCAUGUAAUAUUUUCAACCAACUAAUUUACAUGCAAAAUUAAACUUUAUGAGUACAUUUAUUUGCUAGCAGAAACUCUGCCAAAUUUUCCGAAAUGUGAAAGUGAACACUUUUAACAACGUCACAAAAUGCAUGUGAUAAUGAAACAAUGUGCCAUCCUUAAACUAAUAUUAUUAGAAACUAUAAGUGAAAGUUUUCAGAAAACAUAUGAUAAAUUUUUCUCGGAAUUUGUUUUCUCCUUUGUUUUGAUUUAUGUGAGAGAUAGUUGUAAAGCGUAAAAUUUUAAAAUCCGUAACAAAACAAAAACUUACAUGGGUUGGGCGCACCAUGUGCAUACCAAAUUAGAAUAAUUGACGAAUCGUAAUAAAAAAUUUAUAUAUAAUAAUUGAAUGAGAUCCAUGGUUCACAAUUGCAAAUUAAAGGUUGGUUUUAUAAUAAAAAUCUUUUUUUGCAUACCAAGUUAGAAAAGAUUAUAAGUAAAUUAAGAUUUUCAAAAUUUGACUAGUAUUAUAUUACGUACGUCAAUAUAAUAUAAAUUUGUUAUAUAUAUAUAUAUUUUACUCUGCAACCAAUGCUUUCAAAAACUUUUUACUUGUAUGUUUGAACAACUUUUAUCGCUUUCUAUUUAUAUACGAUCUCAUUUAUGUUUACAUAAAUUUUCAUAUGUACCCAAAUUAAGCAUUAAAUACACACACUUUGGUAAGACACAUUUCUAGUAUCAGACAAUGAUAUUAUAUUGAAUGUAAUGCUUCAAUGAAUUUUAUUACUAUAUACUAAAAUACUCAACGAUAUUCAUUAAAAAAAAAAAAGAAAUUGCAUGAUUAGAAUGAUUAAAGUUCAUUUAAUGACGAGUUUCAUCAUUGACUGUGUCGAAACACAACAGCAAUCCACAAUACACUCAACACGAGAGGCGCACACAAGCAUGCAUGAAUCUUCCACCAUUAAACCUGAAAUCAUAAAAUGAAAGAAACAAGGUGAGUGUUGUUUUACGGUCUGAAAGCCGAUUCGAAAUAAUAAUAAUAAUAGACCUUUGUUAAUAGUUACUACUAGUGGUCACUGCCUUGUCCAUCUUCCUUCUCUGUAUCAUCGUCCACUUCCAAGCCGCUGUCAUCUGACCAAACCCCAGCAACCAUCGCGGGAAAAAUCACCUAUUUGGAGUGAGAGGGAAAAAGCUGAUUGUUGAGAAAUAUAUGUAUCUUUUGUAUGGUUGUGUUAAGGUCACCCAUGCAAGCAGAACGUGCUUCAGUCCCCCAUGCUUUACUCCCCCACUGCACUUCGUGUAAUUUGGGUGUACUUAAAUUUCCUUCAGAGAAAAUCUUCAUAUCGAGGCAAUCACCCACCACUAAUCUUUCCAAAGAUGGGAACUUGAAAGCACAAUUGCCAGAGCAGAAGCUUGUCAAACUUUUUAAGUCUAAAAGCUUCAACUCCUUCAAUUCUCUGAAAGUAAUAACCUCAUCUUUUGCUACAACAUCAUCCACCAGUACUAUUUCUGUUAUCUUAUCGCAUGAUUCUAUCUCCAUAUAUCUAAGUCGCACCAGAGUCUUUGCAAUUGAGGAUGUUAAUACGAUUUUCAAUCCUUUGCAACACGAUACCACCAGAUUUGUAAGAUUCUGAAAGGACGUCGACGAUGGCACUAGAUUGACCAAACGGUCACACCCCUUUACACGUAGAAAAACCAAGUUGUUCGUAACAGAGGACUCCUCUAUCAAAAUGUGCUCCAGUUGAUAUUUUGCUUCUCUUAUUUCUACCCUCAUCCCAUUUUCAACCUGCUCUUUCGGCAACCAAGCACCAUGUCCUCCUAUUUCGAGGACUUUCAUUGUGUGAAGUCUCUGGAGGAAGUCACCAAGUGAUAAAAUUGUCCGCUCAUCAACCAACUCCACGUAAAGAUAUUUUAGUUUGCAAAGCAAGUCUUCAGAAAAUAGAUAUUUAUUUGUUACCACGUGCUUUGCAUCAACUUUCAACUUUUCCAAAUUAGGGAAUACCUGGGAGAUUGAUCAGAGCCCAAAAAAAAAAAAAAAAAAAAAAAAAAUACAAGAUGAAUCAGUUGAUGAGAAUUAUAAGUUACCACUAAUUUAUACCAUAUAUUUUAUUCAAUAAAUCUUUACCUUUAAAAAAAAUAGUAAUAAUAAUACGCCUAGCUAACAUCUAGAAUAAUUAUGAAUGAAUACUAUACACUAAUCUAUAAGAGAGUUCCGUUGCUGACAAUUUGACUUUUAGUAAGAAACCAAGCGAUAAAGGCAAAGGCAAUAUAACUCUUAAGCUUUAUGAUAUAAACUUUCACAGUACAUACAUAAGAAUUGAAAAUUUGAUUAUAAAAUUCUUGUACGUACCCUUUCCGUCAAGAUAUUAGUAGUUCUUUUGCAUCUCGCCAUGAAUUCAGGACAUCCAGAUAUCUCUAAUUCUUUCAAGGAUGGAAAUUCAAGAUUAUCAAGAUCUCCAGUACAGAAGCUUGUGAACUUUUCAAGAUCAGACAUCCUCAGAUAUUGCAACUGAGGAAACGUUACAAUAUUAUUCUUCAUUUCUUCCUGGUUGUCCACGACUAUUAACUCUUCCAAGACGCGACAUCUGACUAUCUGAAUGCGUUGGAGUCGAACCAAGCUACUAACAGUAGCAGAUGAAAAUAGACAACUUAAAUUCUCACAGACAGACAAGGUCAAGUGCGUUAAAUUCUGAAUACCACAAGACAUGACUGUAACUUGGCUCGGCCAAAUCCUCUCAACAUUUAUUGAAUCCAACGUCAACUUCUCUAACUCUGGUAACCGAUCCUGCUCGAUCAAAAAAUUAACUUGUUAAUUGCAAGUAAACGAUCAUUGAUUAUAAAAUUCUUGUACGUACCCUUUCCGUCAAGAUAUUAGUAGUUCUUUUGUAUCUCGCCAUGAAUUCAGCACAUCCAGAUAUCACUAAUUCUUUCAAGGAUGGAAAUUCAAGAAUAUCAAGAUCUCCAGUGCAGAAGCUUGUGAACUUUUCAAGAUCAGCCAUCAUCAGAUAUCGCAACUGAGGAAACAUUACAAUAUUAUUCUUCAUUUCUUCUUCGUUGUCCACGACUAUUAACUCUUCCAAGACAGGACAUUCGACUAUCUUAAUGUGUUGGAGUCGAACCAAGCUACUAACAGUAGAAGAUGAAAAUAGACAUCUUAAAUUCUCACAGACACACAAGGUCAAGUGUGUUAAAUUCUGAAUACCACAAGACAUGACUGUAACUUGGUUUUGCCAAAUCCUCUCAACAUUUAUUGACUCCAACGUCAACUCCUCUAACUCUGGUAACCGAACCUGCUCGAUCAAAAAAUUAACUCAUUAAUUACAAGCAACAAUGAUUUCUGUUGAUGGACAAAUCAAUAAAAUUACUCUUUCUCUGGUUAUAGUUCUUUUCAGUUUUUCAUACAAACAACCGUUAAUCAAGUUUUCCAAAUUAUUCCUUACUAAAUGUAUAGAUUUAGACGGCGGCUAAUAUAGUUCAUAUUGUAAAUAUUCUUUGAUUGUAACGAAUUUUGUAAUAUUAAAUUUUGGUUGAUUCGCAAUAGGACCUACUAUCCAGCGCGAGCAGUUCUCGGGGAUUUAACUACUGGCACCUCGAUUAUAUAAAAAUUUAGAAUAUUUUCAAAGGAAAUCAAAUAAUUCCCCCUUGCAAAUAGUAAUUAUCAUCAAUUGCCGGGGGUUCACAUAUAAUUCUAAGAAAUUAGGCGAGAAGAGUCUCAUCAACAAUCAAUCAGCAAAUAUCACGUUUGGCAGAUCAUCAUGAUUUCCUCAGAUGCUAGAGAAUCAACGUGAUUUCUGCUCAUGCAGGAGUGGACACAUUAUCUUAGAGCAUCCCUCACUGAGAUCUUUUAAAAAAUUUAUAUUAUAAAGUGAACAACAUAUUUAGUAUAGAUUUAGACGGCGGCUAAUAUAAUUUAUAUGUAUUCUAAUGACGUAUAUUAAAGAAAAUGACUAACCAUAAUUUCAAUCAACUUAUUAGUCUAUAUAUAUAUAUAUAUAUAUAUAUAUAUAUAUAUAUAUAAAAGUGACUACAACAUAUUUAGUAUUCCAUGACAUGAUGUUUAUAAUAAUAAUUAUUAUUAAUUCACUUUUUGUGUCAAGAACCUUUUCUUUCUCUAAGAAUGAAUUUCUUACACCCUACUAUACUACGGAUGAAAAAUUUAGAAUCAUUGUGAAAUAUGAUUAUUAAUCACUCUUUGCCAUAUUUGCUACCAAACAAGAAUGCAACAAAGAAAAAAAAAAUUAUAGAGAAUUAAUAAGACCAUUGACUUAUCAAUAACUGACCUUCUCAGCGAAAAGUGUAUUAGAAAUUUGGACAUUGUCCUCCAAAAUGAUUUCAUGUGACCGCAAAUCAUUAGCUGAUUCCUCCUGUCUCUGCUAACAUUGCAGGUGUAUUGAUUUUAGAGUGUAAGCUUAAUUGUGAGCACAACCUUAAUGCAUAGAUACAAGAUCUUUAAAAAUUAGUACAAUAAACUUAGCACUAAAUCUGAAUUUGAUAUUUUGGAUUCCAUGAUUAAGAUUUUUUUAAAAUGAAAAUUUAAUAGAGUUAAUUUAAAAAUAAAAAUUAAAUAUGAAAAAUUAGAGUUGCAAUUAUGGAUUUAAUUUUGAUAAAUAAUGAAUGUUCUCUUAAUAUUUUUUUUUUAAAGGUAAAAGAGCGUACAAAGCCCAAAUUCAUUUUUUUAGUCCCUUACUCUCCCAUAAUUCAAACUUGGGUGGUUGUAGGAGGACUGAAAAUAUAUAAGACAGUUAACUUCACUUUUUUUUUUUUCUUUUUUUUUUUUGAGAGAAAAGAGAAGAAGGAUAUUACAAAGCAUGAAGCUCGUGCAAUAUAAGGGCAAUGAUGGUUUUUUCUUUAAAUUAAAAUAGUAAGAUUUUGAAGCUAAAAGAUUAAAAUAUUAAUUAAAUUGCAAACAUUAAAGAUUUUUUUUUUUCAAAUGGUUGCUUUGAAAAUGAGAAUAAUAUAAUAUUUGAAGACUUUUCAAAAUUAAUUACUGUGAUAGAUGCACUAGAAGUUUCUAGCUCUAGUCUAAUGUAUAAAUUGACAAAACGAUAUUAGAAUCCCAGGUGAAAAGAACCCUCUCACACCAAUUAUUUAAAUUAGGAAUGAUCAUACCUCUGACUCUGCCGAACUGAGGGCGGGGUCUAAACCCACCAUAAAGAGACGCUUGAGAUGGGAAGAGCCCACUUUGACUAAUUCAUUACGAAAAUAAUCGACAUCUUGCUCUUGCAAUCCCCAUAACUCAAGGUCUUCAAUUCUCUGCAGUUGCACGAUCAGCGAAUCCUUCAAGCAAAUCUUGUUAUUUAGCUCGACUCUGAAUUCACGACACGGAAUGCUGGUGAUCCCCCAAUACUCAAGAUCUCCAAUGCGUAUGCUGUACCUUUCCAGCUUCUCCAAGAACAGGCCUCUGGGCAGAGUGCUGACGUCAUGGGUGUCUAAUUCCAAAGAGGUCAAGUUGGGCAAAUGCUUCAACUCCUCAAGGCUUGCAUUCUUAACCCCUUCCACCUCCACCUCCCAAGCAGCAAAGCUUCUAUGACUUAUAUAUAGUUCUUCUAAAUGGGAUAAUUUUGACAGUAUAUUUGGUGGAAUAACUUUUAGACACCAACAAUCCCUCAAAUCAAGCAACUUUAGCCAAGUCAAUUCACCUACUUCUACCGGCAACUUCUCAAUAUAAGAACUUCUUAAGCAAAGGAUUUCUAGUUUCUUCAAGUCUCCUACAACACUUAUAUCACGCAAGCUGCAGUCACACAAACUCAGUGUUCGAAGGUUUGACAGGAGACCAAGUGAUGAAGGCAGUGACCGUAGAUUCAUGCCAGUCAAGUUGACAACUCUGACCUGCAUCAUCCUCUCGAAAAAGUUGUUUGGAAUUGUUAAUGAUGAAAAUUCCCAACGAUCAGCACGUAUAAAAAGAAGUUCGAGCUGAGGACAUUCCAGUACUUCAGGAAGCAAAUUAUUCUUGAUAUGAUGUAAGACGAUUGAAGUGCAAUGCUUUAUUGCACUUCCGUCUAACCAUUCCCUGCAACCAUCAACCUGCUCAUUUGUAGCAGUAAACACAUUUCGUUCAGUAGAUGCAAUUAAUAUGGCGACAUCGCGAACUACAUCAUGCAUAGAAAGCAACUCUUUCUUCUGGCUUAUAUGGUCAAGCAACAAACAAGAAUCUUUGAGCUGGUGUACCAAUGUAUGUACUCGAUUUCGUGCUGCUUCCAUCUUAUUCACACCUUGAAAUAAAGUCAAUCCCAUACCAAACAUUAACAGUUCGUCAAUAGAUGCUAUGGCUGUAUAUCCUAUUAGCAAAAAGAUGUUCUUCAGCUCCUCCCCUACCAAUUUGUCGUAACUCCACUUUAUGGCUUCAUAUGCAUCUGGCUGUACAUCCUUAAAAUUCGAUGAAGAAGGCCUUCCUAGUUUUUCCAAUGCAUCCUUCCAUUCCUGUAUGCUCUUGUUCCUUAAUGCCCUUGCAACCGUCACAAUGGAAAGUGGUAGACCUGCACAUCCCUUUGCCACACCCCUUGCUACCGAUUGGAAUUCACUGCCUUCAAAAUAAUCACCUGCCAUCUUCUUGAAUAGAUUCCAAGCUUCUUCUUCGUUUAAAACACCAAUUGAGAAAUUUGGUCGAGAAUCCAUCUUCCUAGACAAUACAUCUAGACUUCUGGCCGUCAGCAAUACUUUACAACCUUUAUGACCAUCUCCAUGAGGAAUUCCGACAACCCGCAAAUCAAGAUUUUCCCAAAUGUUGUCUAAAAUUAUCAGGAUCUUCUUCUCUGCUUCUAUACGUUUAAAUAAGCUGUUUGCCCUUCCUGAUUCACUUUCCUCAUGAAACUUCAGGCCUAAUUUAUCUGCUAUUUCUCCUUGAAUCUCUCGUAUGUUUUUAUUAUGGGAUACCUCAUCUCCUUGAAUCUUUCGUAUGUUUUGAUUACGGGAUACCUCAACAAGAACUACCUGAUAAAAGAGUUCACUCUUGACUUUCCUAGCAACUUCUUCCGCCAGCUUCGUCUUUCCGAUUCCGCCCAUUCCAUAAAUCCCAAGCAUGUUGACAUUGGGAUUUUUUAAUGCAUCCAUUAUGUCAUUCAGAAUGGGCGCUCUUGAUACAAAGGCCUCGUAGUCUUUGUUAGGGAUAAGCCGAAUAUCCUCUGCAGCAGUACGGUAGGAAAUUCUAUCAAAUCUUCUAGCGUCCCGGACUUUGACAAUAGCCUCUUUCAACGUCACUGCUUCCUUGCUAAGUCGACGGCGGGUCUUCAAAUUAGGACACAACCCCUUGAAACAACGCUUAUUUGCUGCGGCUUCAACUUCUGUAAAUUUAUCUGCCUCUUCAAUGACUUUGUUGGCCCCUUCAAGCCAACUCCUAACGUUCUCUUCAAUUUCUUCCCCGUUUCGUUCAGCCUCAUCAACCUGGUGCUUUGUACUCACCCUCUGAGACUUCAGAUUGUCAACUUCAGUCUUGAGAUUCUGUAAGUUGCUCGUGUACUUACUCUCACGCAAAUAGCUAAUGCGGCGAUAUGCGGGAGGAACCAAGCACUUCACAACUUCUACAACAAUAGUAAGAAUGAAUUCAGCCAUCUUCAGUCCUUUGUCCUUGUCUCUCUAUCUCUCUUUUUCUGAAUUUUUGAAAAACAAUUGACUACUUAGGAAGCACACUGAGUGAUUGAACACAAGUGACCACAACAAGAUGGAACAAAAUAAAAAGGAAAAAAAAUACAAAGAGUGGAAGGAGAAUAAAACAGAGACAGCGGCACAGCUGGACACAACUAGAUAGAGAACAGAGCAAAACCAAAUAACAAGACUUAAGAUUACAACAAACAGAGGCCAAGUAUUAUUGUUGAGAUCAGAAGAUGGAAAAUUCAAAAGAGUUGAUGGCAGAUGCUGAAUAACAAAACAACAAUGAACGCAAUAAGCAGAAGCAAAGUGUGUUUGAAUGCAAAGAAAGACUGAUGUUGAAAAUUGAUGUCAAUAGCGAAGGAAUAAUUGAACUUUCGCUGAAUUAUUGUUUGUGGCCUUCUUUUACUUUUUAUUUGUGGGUCAUGUCUUUUGGAACUAAUCAUCUUAGGUUAUGCCUUAUAGCUUUAAGGCCGGUAAACCGGUGUCCGUUGGAUUAGCAUAUAGAAAUCCAACGGUGGAUAUAUAUACUUGGAGAAUAAAAUUCAAGAGCUAAGGGAGUGCUGGGCUGCAGUUUCUUAAGGAGAUUUAUAUAUCCUCCUCAAAAAUAAAUGUUUUAAGGUAGAUAUUUAGACUAUUUCAUCAUAAAAUAAAUGUAAUUAGUUUUCAAUAAAUAUCUUAUAUAAAUAUUUAUUUAUUUUUUUAAUUACUAAUGACCUUUGAAUAUACAUAUAUACAUAUCCCUAGUUCAAAAAAUAAAUUGUGAUUAUUUGUUCAUGUAUGCGAUUACUUGUGAUGGGAAAUAAAAUAGAUAUGGUAUAUUUUGAAGUUAAAUUAAAAAAAAAAAAAACAGAGCUUUUACCAUUACUUGCCUUAUCAUCUUUUAAAUUAGAGUUAUUAUUCUUUUAUUUUUCAAGUUGCCAACUCAUCCGCAUUUUUUUUUUAUUGAAUUUGAAGAUCAAUGAUUAUAAAUGUGUGUAAAAAUUUUAAGUCAAAACUUUAAAUAAUCUUUAAGUUAUUGGGAAAUAAUAACUUAGUAUAACAAAUAUUAUAUCCUAUACUUUAUUGCUACAAAAUUACGAAACCUUAUAUUAUAUUAUGUUUCCAUAUUUCUCCUUUAUAGUGAAGACUCAUACUUCUUCUCUAUUAAAUGCUAAAGUAUUGGCUUAAAUUUUUUAACCAGCACAGUAGACCCUUAAGCUAUAUAUACUAUAAUGUCCCUCUUCUCUCAUAGAUUAAACCAAUCUGAUCUCGGAGUGAGUUGAUACCAUGACUUUGCAUAAUUCGUGAUCAAAGGAGUAUCAUUACUAACUAAUAUAGGCUCCAUCAAUAGGCAUGAUAAUAAUUUUUUUUAUAUACAAACACUGUUUUUCAAAAUAUUAUAUCUUAAGACUUAACUAAAUAUUUUGUAACUAUGUAGAUAUAGUUUGUUUGAUCUCUUUUAAAUAGUGGAGAUUACAAACAAACAUAUGCAAAUUAGUAGUGAUGUUGAGUUUAGAAGAUUGAAGUUAAGAAAAUUAAGGGUUUCUUGAUCUAGAGAAAUUUCAAAUGAGUGAAGUGUCCUUGAAAUCGGAAGACGAAAAUAAGGAAAGGGUAAGGGUGUAUUUUCAAAGUGAUUCUAUUACGAGAUUUUGAAGUAGGGGUGGGCAAGUCGGGUUUUGGUUCGGGUUGUUCAAGUUUCGAUUUGGAUUUCAACCCAAUCGGGUUUGAGAAUUGAAUCCAAUCGGGUUGAAAACGCCAACCCAAACUAAACCGAACCGAAUUUAAUUCAGCUUGGGUUCAUAAUUCGGAUUGGUAAUUCAGGUUAAAAUUUCGGUUCGGGUUAAUUUGGGUUAGAAUAAUUCCAUCUAAAAUUUUGGGUUAGUUCGGUUUAAAACAAAUUGAAACAAUUUAAUCCAAAAAUUAUACCAACAACCACUUAAAAUCCAAAAAUCUCAAUUCCAAACAUCCUUAACAACAAAUAUCAACUACAAACUAUCCUUGAUAACAUUUCAACAAUAACAAUAACAAUAAUAACAACAACAACAACAAUAAUAAUAAUAAUAACAACAACUAUGAAUCAGCAAUUCAGCAUAUUGCCAUAUUCUAAAUUUAAAAAAACACACAAAUUAUGUAAUUAAUUAAUUAACAAUCUCCAAUUUAAUUUAUAAUAACAACAAAAAUCCUCUCCAAUUUAAUUAAUAACAAUCUCGAAUUGUUCAAUUACCAGUCAACAACAACAAACCCACUCCAAAUAAUUGAACAAUUGUUAAUUAAUUAAUUAAAAAUAUCUAAUUUAAUUAAUAACAACACCCAAGAGCAAGUCAGCAAUAAACCCACUCAAAAAUCCAAAUAUCAGUAUAAAUUAAGUGUCAAACCUUGAUCGGUGGGAAGCUACAGCGUCGGCAAAUUGUGACCGUGUGGGGCUGAGUGAGACCGUCAACCGAGGGUGUGAGAAGGGAGGAGGGAGCAGGGAGGUAACGAGGUGUGUGUGAGUUUAUAUAUAUAUAUAUAUAUAUAAUUUUUAAAACCUAAAACUUAAAAAAAAAAUUUAACCCAAUCCAAACCGCCCACCUCAUAUUACUUCCGUUAAGAGAUGGAUCCCACACUCUUGAGCCUUUGUCGUCCCAGUCAACUAUAAAAACAAAUCAUUAUUGAGUGUGAAUAGACUUAUUGAUCACCCAAUUUUCAAACUUAUCAUCCUUAUUGUAUCUGCAUUCCCUUUUGAAAAUUUUUUAAAAAAGUACAAAUAAUGAAACAAAGUUUUGUUCCUUCAACAGUUGAUAGAGUUACGCGGCUUGGACUUGCAAGUGCUGUCGGCAUUUUCAAACUUGUAAGACCCUUCAACUUGCUUUCCAAGAUAGCUAUAAUUAAUAAUGACAACAGUCUCCCUCAUAGCGACUAGUGAGCAACUGAAAUUAACGGCAUCUUCUCUCGCAUUUUUAAAAAAAUUGAAUUAUAUAACCCACCAAAACUAUAAAGAAUUGUUAGUUUUUCUUCAUUAAAAUUAAUAUAUUGCUCCUCAUAUUGAAAAAUCAAAAUUCAGAAUAAGAAUGAUUGAUACUGUUUAUUUACUAAAAUGAAAAUAAAAUAUAUGAAGCCUACAUAUUUUUGAAAUUAAAAAACAAGAACUUGAUUUUCCUUGGGGAGUGUUGGAAAUCAAGUUCUUGUUAUUUAAACUCUCAAUUGUAUCUCACCGAAAUUUCAUAAUUCUACUUUUGUCUUCAAUUAAAAUAUUAUUAUAGUUAUUAUUCUUAUUUUUGUAGUUGUUGUUGUUGAUUAUGAUAAAUGGUCAGGCAAAUGAUUCAUUUACUUAUUUUUUUCCUUUUAAAUUUUUGUUAUUAAGAAGAUUUUUGGAUAUUUAGCGUGAAGGUCUCAACUGAUCGCUAAUUUCACAGCAACUUCCUUUUUUUUUUUUUCCCUCAAUUGUUUUGAAAAAAUAUCAAGACUCAUUCAGCAAAAUAUCCGAGGCCAAAGCGCCAAAAGAUGGGACAGCCACAUGCACUUCUAAUUACAAAAUCUAAAGUUAGGGUGUCCAUAACUUACAUUUAAUAUAAUUUAUAAUUAGGUAAAAUUCAUUCAUUGACCCAGUAAUUUUAUUAUCCUAUUACUUAUAUUUUUAUAUUAAAAAAUUAGUAAGUAGGAAAAUUCUUAAAAGAUAAUGAAGAAGGAAAAGAAAAAGAAAAAGUGUAAAUGAACUGUAUUCACAUAAGUUUCAAACAUGUGAUUCAAUCUGAAUUGGCUUUUUUCAAAAGUAAAUACAAAGGAAAAUAAAAAGAAAAAAGCAAUUAAACGAGACUAAAAUCUGUGGCCUGUGUCAUUCAUAUCUUUUGACAUUUCUUUUAUAGCGGUAUAAAGGGUAGAUAUUUUGAAGUGAAAAGCAAAGCCUUUACCAUUACUUGCCUUAUCAUCUUUUAAAUUAGAGUUAUUAUCCUUUUAUUUUUAAGUAGCCAAAUUAGAGUUAUCAUCCUUUUAUUUUUAAGUAGCCAACUCAUCCGCAUUAUCUAUUAUUGAAUCUAAAGAUAAAUGAUUAUAAAUUUCUCUGAAGAUUUUAAGUCCAAACUAUAAAUUAAAAUAAUCUUAUUGAUUAAGUUAUUGUAUAAUAAUAACCUUAGCAUGACAAAUAUUAAUUCUUCUCUAGUAAAUGCUAAAGUAUUGGCUUAAGUUUUUUAACCAGCACAGUAAAUCCUUAAAGCUAUAUAUGCUAUAAUGUCCCUCUUCCCUUACAAAUUAAACCAAUUUGAAUUUAGAGUGAGUGAGUACCAUGAGUUUGCAUCAUUUGAUAUCAAAGGAGCAUCAUUACUAACUAAUACAGGCUCGAUCGAAUUCAUCAUACGAAGCAUAUUAUCGGCUGUAGGUAUGGAAAUAAAUUUUGUAUCCACAAACACUAUUUUUCAAAAUAUUUAAGACUUAACUUAUCAUUUUUUAACCAUAUAUGCAUAGGUUGUUUGACCUAUUUUAAAUAAUGGAGAUUACAACAAAUGAACAGAUGUGGAUUAGUAGUGUUGUUGAGUUCAGAAGAUUGAAGUUAAGAAAAAGGUUUCUUGAUCCAGAGAAAAUUCAAAAGAGCGAAGUGUCUUCGAGAUCAGAAAACGAAAUAAGGAAAGGGUAAGGUUAUACUUUCAAAAUGAAUUUGUUGAGAGAUCUUUGAAGAUUAUUUUCAUUAACAAUUAGAUCCCACACUUGAGUCUUUGUCGUCUCAGUCAGUCAGUUAUAAAGACAAAUUAAUUUUGAGUAUGAAAGGACUUUCAAACUUGUGACCCUUCAAGCUUUCUAUGACAGCUAUAAUGAAUAAUUACAACAGUGCUACCUAAUAGUGAGCAACUUGUUUGAUGAAAUUAACAACUUCUUUUCUCUCAUGUAUUUUUAAAAAAUUGAAUUAUCAAAGCUUUUAUUUCAAAAUUAGUGCUAUAGUUCAUUAAUUUUGAAAAAUUUUCUUUUUUCUUUCCACACAACAGAUUGAUUUGCCCUCCAAAAACUGUAUUAGAUUGUUUAAUAUUGUAACUUCAAAAAACUUAUAAUAAAUUUUUAAAGAGAUAAAUAGGGAAUGUCAGUCUCCCAUCUACUCAAAAUUAAUAUAUAUCAUUAACUCUUGAUUAUUUUUAUAACAACUAAUAACUUUCUGGGCAGCAUAAUUUUACAGUAUCAUCCUUGUUUGUAAGUAUAUUUUUAUUCACAUUUAUUAUAAAUUAAUUAAGUCAUAUCAAUGAAAAUUGAAAUAGAAAUUGAAGUACUAAAAAAAAUGUUUUGGUGUGAAUAAAAAAUUGAAAAUAAAAAUAUUUUUAUUAUAUUUUUUAUUUUUAAAUGGUUUUCUUAUAAUAAAUAUAUAUUUUAUAUUCUCAAAUUGAAUUAUUGAGUAAAUGACUCAUUUACUCACUUUUUCUUUUAAUUUUGUUAUUAGGAGGAUUUUUAGAUAUAAUGAAAAUUGUAAGGUAGUAAGUAAUAUAAAAUAAUUUUAAUAGAGAAAAAUAAAAAAUCUGUAAUUUUAAAAUAUAAGGAGAAAAAUAAUUAAUUUCAAGAUAUUUUAGAAGAUAUUUCAAUAUGCGGUGGACUAUAAACUCGAGUCUUUGUCGUCACAGUCAACUAAAAGGACAAAAUAUUGAGUGCGAAGGGCUCAACUGAUUGCUAAUUUCACAGUAAUUGCGUUUUUUCUUUCUUUUUUUUAAUUAUUGGGAAAUAAUAACUUAGUAUAACAAAUAUUAGAUCCUAUACUUUAAUGCUGCAAAAUUAUGAAACCUUAUAUUAUAUUAUGUUUCCAUAUUUCUCCUUUAUAGUGAAGACUCACACACUUCUUCUGUAGUAAAUGCUAAAGUAUUGGCCUAAACUUUUUAACCAGCACAAUAAACCCUUAAGUUAUAUAUGCUAUAAUGUACCUCUUCCCUCACAGAUUAAACCAAUCUGAUCUCAGAGUGAGUUUGCAUCGAAGGAGUAUCCUUACUAACUAAUAUAGGCUCGAUCAAUAGGGAUGACAAUAAUUUUUUUAUCUACGAACAUUAUUUUUUCAAAAUAUUAUAUCUUUAGACUUAACUAAAUAUUUUUUUAAUCAUGUAUGUAUAGUUUGUUUGAUCUCUUUUAAAUAGUGGAGAUCACAACAAAGCAAAUGCUAAUUAGUAGUGAUGUUGAGUUCAGAAGAUUGAAGUAAUGAAAAUUAAGGGUUUCUUGAUCCAGAGAAAUUUCAAAAGAGUGAAGCGAAAAGUGAAUUUAUUGAGAGAUCUUUAAAGAUUUACUUCCAUUAAGGGUUGGAUGCCACACUUUUUGAGCCUUUGUCGUCCCAAUCAUUCAAUUAUAGGAUCCCUAAGCAUAUAACUUACAAUCCUUUCACAUAAAUAAUGAGUAGUGUGAAUCCAUACAACUUACAACCUUCUCACAUAAAUAAUGAGUAGUGUGAAUCCAUACAACUUACAACCUUCUCACAUAAAUAGUGAGUAAAUCUAAACUACUCACUAUUCAUGUAAAAAAAUUAUAAAUUACAUACAUGUAACUUAGCAUUAUUCUCCACUAUAAAGACAUAUUCUUAUUGAGGGUGAAUAGGCAUAUUGAUCACUAAAUUUUCAAACUUGUGAUCCUCAUUAAAUGUGAUUCCCCUUUGAAAAAGAAAAAAAAGUGCAAAUAAUGAAACAAAAUUAUGUUCCUUAGCAGCAAGUGGCGUCGGCAUUUUCAGACUUGUAAAAGGGAAUGAGAUCCUUUCCUGAACCCGGAUCUCAUUCCCUGUGAAACAAAAAAAGGUGCAAAUAAUGAAACAAAAUUCUGUUCCUUAGCAGCAAGUGGCGUCGGCAUUUUCAGACUUGUAAAAGGGAAUGAGAUCCUUUCCUGAACCCGGAUCUCAUUCCCUGUGAAACAAAAAAAGGUGCAAAUAAUGGAACAAAAUUUUGUUCCUUAACAGCAAGUGGUGUCGGCAUUUUCAGACUUGUAACAAGGGAAUGAGAUCCUCUCCUGAACCGGGAUCUCAUUCCCUGUGACAAGACCCUUGCCACCCUUCAACUCGCUUUCCAAGAUAGCUAUAUUAAUCGUGACAACAUUACUCUCAGUGAGCAAAAGUUAACAUCAUCUUCUCCCUAUUUUUUUAAAAAAUUGUAUUAUAUAGCCCACCAAAACUAUAAAGAGUCUUUUCUUAUUAAAAUUAAUAAAUUACUCUUUAUAUUAAAAAAUUAAAAUUCAAAAUGAAAAUGAUCUGAUGUUUAUUUAUUAAAAUAUAAAUAAAAUAUAUGAAGUUCAUAUUUUUUUAAAUUAAAAAAUAAGAACCUAAUUUCAUUCCUUAAAUUCCCAAAUUUACCUCACAAAAAUUCCAUAAACUUACUUUUGUCCUUAAUUAAAAUAUUAUUAUGUUAUUAUUAUGGUUAUUAUUCUUAUUUUUGUAAUAGUUGUUGUUGUUGAUGAUGAUAAUACAUAUAAUAAAAUUAAUAAUAAUAAAAAUAAUAACUAUAAUUUUAACAACAGCAAUAAUAAUCAUUAAUAUUAUUGUUGUUGUUGUUGUUGUUGUUGUUGUUCUUCUUCUUCUUCUUCUUCUUCUUCUUCUUCUUCUUCUUCUUCUUCUUCUUCUUCUUCUUAUUAUUAUUAUUAUUAUUAUUAUUAUUAUUACUAUCCUAUUAUAAUAAUAUUAUUAAAUAAUUAUUUUGAAUAAUAAUAAUCACAAUUAUUAUAACAAACGACAAAAAUCAACUAAGGUAAUUUUAAUAACUUGUAAGAAUUCAUUUUUAUUCAUGGAUAUGUGAUUAUUUGUUAAUGUAUGCAAUUACUUGUGAUGGUAAACAAAGUAUAUAUGGUAUAUUUUCAAGUUAAAAAAGAAAAACAAAACAAAGUUUUUACCAUUUCUUGCCUUAUCAUCUUUUAAAUUAGAGUUAUUAUUCUUUUUAUUUUUCAAGUUGCCAACUCAUCCGCAUUCUCUUUUAUUGAAUUUGAAGAUCGAUGAUCAUAAAUUUGUGUGAAAAUUUUAAGUAAAAAUUUUAAAUUAAAAUAAUCUUUUAAGUUAUUGGGAAAUAAUAACUUAGUAUAACAAAUAUUAUAUCCUAUACUUUAUUGCCACAAAACUACAAAACCAUAUAUUAUAUUAUGUUUUCAUAUUUCUCCUUUAUAGUGUGAAGACUCAUACUUCUUCUCUAGUAAAUGCUAAAGUAUUGGCUUAAACUUUUUAACCAGCACAGUAGACCCUUAAGUUAUAUAUGUUAUAAUGUCCCUCUUCGCUCACAGAUUAAACCAAUCAGUAGCCUUCUCUCAUAUAGAAAAACUUUUUGUAUAAGACAAAUUAUUAUGUUAUCGGAAAAAUUACAGUAGACGUAAGCUAUAUAUGUUAUAAUGUUCAGAAGAUUGAAGUUAAGAAAAUUAAGGAAAGGGUAAGGAUGUAUUUUCAAAGUGAAUUAUUAAGAGAUCUUUGAAGAUUACUUCCGUCAAGAGUUGGGUCCCACACUUUUACCUUUUGCUCGUUCCCGUGAAAGUCAGUUUAGAAUUUUUAUCUUAUUUCACAAAGCUAAUUUUUUAUCACAAGCAGGAGAGAAACGGCAUUUCUUAGCAGUAGUUCAUCACUGUAGUAGCGAGCGAGUGAGGAACAAAAUUGCCAACAAUUAUCAAAAAAUAAUUAUAUAAAAAAGAUCACAUGCUAUAAUUAAUCAUGACAAUUGACAACAUUACUCCCACCGAGCAAAAGUUAACAGCAUCUUCUCCCACAUUUUUUAAAAAAAAUUGUAUUAUAUAACCCACCAAAAGUAUAAAGCGUCUUUCCUUAUUAAAAUUAAUAAGUUACUCUUUAUAUUGAGAAAUUAAAAUUUAAAAUGAGAGUGAUUAAUGAUGUUUAUUUAUUAAAAAUAAAAUAAAAUUUAUGAAGUCUAUAUAUUUUUUAAAUUAAAAAAUAAUAACUUAAUUUCUUAUAGGGAGUGUUGGAAAUCAAGUUUUUAUUUCUUAAAUAUCCAAUUUUACUUCACAAAAAUUUUAUAAGUUCACUUUUAUCCUUAAUUAAAAUAUUAUUAUGGUUAUUAUUCUUAUUUUUGUAGUAGCUGCUGUUGUUAUUGUUGUUGUUGUUGUUGAUGAUGAUGAUAAUAGUUGAUAAUAAAAUUAAUAAUAAUAAUGAAAAUAAUAACUAUAAUUUUAACAGCUACAAUAAUAAUCAUUAAUGUUAUCGUUGUUCUUAUUAUUAUUAUUAAAAAAUAAUUAUUUUGAAUAAUAAUAAUCACAAUUAUUAUAACAAACAACGACAAUAAUCAACUAAUGUCAUUUUUCUAACUUAUAACAAUUCAUUUUUUAUUCCAAGACAAACUAACCAUAUCAAUAAUAAUACAGGUCGUUUCGAUUCUAAUUUUUACAGGUAAAGUAAAUAAUUUAUUCUGAUUCUCAUUUUUUAUUUUGAUUUUAUUCUAUUCCGAUUCCAUUUGAUUAUGAUUCCAGCCAAUUCUAAUUAUCGAUUAGAAAAUGCAUUGUUACUACUUUAACAAUAACUAAUGAUUCUCCUCACAAUUCUUAUAGGAUUAUCCUUAUUUUAAAAUAUUUUUUAUUCGUAUUUAUUAUUAAUUAAUUAAAUUAUAUCAAUGAAAAUCAAAUAAAAAUUUAACUAAUAAAAAUGAGAAAAUAUAUGUUUCGGUUUGAAUAAAAAAUUAUAAUAAAAUAUUUUUCUUACAUACUUUAAAUAUUUUUAUUAUAAUAAAUAUUUUUUUAUUCUCAAAAUAAAUUAUCAAGUAAACGAUUCAUUAACUCAUUUUUUUCCUUUAAAUUUUUGUUAUUAAGAAGAUUUUUGGGUAUUGACCGUGAAGGGCUCAACUGAUCGCUAAUUUUGCAGCAAUUACCUUUUCUUUUUCUUUUUUUUUAAUUGUUUUGAAAAAAUAUCCAGACUCAUUCUGCAAAGUACCUGAGACUAGAGCUGGCAAAAUUUGACACGACCCGAUUACCCGACACGAACACGACAUAAAUAAAUGGGUAUGGGUCGUCAAAUUUAACACGAUUAUUAAAUGGGUCGGGUCCGGGUCAACACGAUUUUUUUCCGUGUCGGGUUUGGGUUAAAAUUCUUGACCCAUUUACCCGAUCAAUGACCCGAUUAUAUUUUCUAUUUUAAAAUAAUUUAUAUAUUCUUAUAAUUAAAACUCAAAUAUUAGAGAUGAUUUUCUUUUUUUUUUUAUUUUUUAAAAGGGUGAAUAUAAACACAGUGUUUUAUUUAUAAAAUUUUACAUACAUUUAGAGCUUCAAUAGUGUAAAUGUGUAAAAAUUGAUAGACAUGUAUAUUUUAUAAUAUUGAUAUAUAAUAUUAUAUAUAUAUAUAUAUAUAUAUAUAUAUAUAUAUAUAUAUAUAUAUAUAUAUUAAAACUUCAAUAGUAUAAAUGUAUAAUAUAUUGGUAGAUAUAUAUAUUUUAUAAUAUUGAUAAAUUAUGUAUGUAUGUAUGUAUGUAUGUAUGUAUGUAUGUAUGUAUGUAUGUAUGUAUUUAUGUACAUACGUAUGUAUGAUAGUGUGUAAAUAUUUUAUGUAACUUUUGUUCAAUAUAUAGAUAUUAAACGGGUUAUUGGGUAACCCGAUUAUUUUUCCGUGUCGGGUUUGAGUCUCAAUAUUUUGACACGAUUAUUAAAUGGGUCGGGUUUGGGUCGAUCUAAAUUUGACACGACACGAAACUGACACGAUACGAACACGAUCCGAUGACCCGUUUUGCCAGCUCUACCUGAGACCAAAGCGCCGGCCAAAGCGCCGAAAGAUAGGACACCCACAUGUGCUUUUAUUUACAAAAUCUAAAGUUAGGGUGGGUGUCCAUAACUUAAAUUUAAUAGAAUUUAUAAUUAGGUAAAAUUCUUUGAUUGACCCAUUAACUUUUAUUAUUUUAUUAUUUAUUUUUAUAUUAAAAAAUUAGUAAUGUAGAAAAAUUCUUAAAAGUUAAUGGAGAAGGAAAAGAAAAAGAAAAAGUGUAAAUGAACUGUAUUCAUUUAAGUUUCAAACAUGUGGUUCAAUCUGAAUUCGUUUUUUUUAAAAGUAAAUACAAAAGAAAAUAUAAAGAAAAAAAAUUAAACGAGACAAAAAUCAGUGGCGUGGGUCAUUCAUAUCUUUUUCCAUUUUUUUUUAAUAGAGGUACAUAGCAUAGAGUCGAUAUUUUGAAGUGAAAAGCAGAACCUUUACUGUUGCUUCCCUUAUCAUCUUUUAAAAUUAGAGUUAUUAUUCUUUUAUUUUUAAGUGGCCAACGGAUGGUAGCCAACUCAUCCGUGUUCUCUAUUAUUGAAUUUAAAGAUCAAGGAUUUAUGUUAAUAAAUAUUUUGUUAACUAUCAAAGUUUUUAUUUCAAAAUUACUCCUAUAAUUCAUUAAAUUUUCAAUUUUUCCUUUUUCUAUUCACACAACAGAUUGAUUUGCCCUCCAAAAAAAUGUAUUAGAUUGUUUAAUAUUGUAACAUCAAGAAACUUAUAAUAAAUUUUUAAAGAGAUAAAUAGAGAAUGUCAGCAUCUACUCAAAAUUAAUAAAUAUACCACUAACUUCUUAUUAUUUUUAUAAUAACUAAUAACUUUUUUACCAGUAUAAUUUUAUAGUAUUAUUCUUAUUUGUAAGUAUAUUUUUUAUUCAUAUUUAUUAUAAAUUAAUUAAAUCAUAUCAAUAAAAAUUAAAAUAACACAAUAUGUUUUGGAGUGAAUAAAAGAUUGAAAAUAAAAAUAUUUUUCUUUUAUUUUUUGUUAUUUUAAAAUUUUUUUCUUAUAAUAAAUGUAUAUUUUAUAUUCUUAAGAUGAAUUUUGAGUAAAUGACUCAUUUACUCACUUUUUCUUUAAAUUUUUGUUAGUAGGAGGAUUUUUAGAUAUAAUGAAAAUUGUAAGGUAGUAAGUAAUAAUAUAAUAAUUUUAAUAAAGAAAAAUAAUUAAUUUCAAGACAUUUCAGAAGAUAUUUCAAUAUGCGGUGGACUACAUCCUUGAGUUGAGUCUUCAUCGUCUCAGUCAACUAAAAGGACAAAAUAUUGAGUCACAAAGGACUCAACUGAUUGUUAAUUUCACACCAAUUACCUUUUUUUUCUUUUUUUUUUCUUAAUCUAUAUAUUUAUAUAAAGUUAGUACUUGAGAAUGUGAUGUAUCAUCACCAUUUUUUUUUAUUUAAUAAAUAGAGAAAUUUUCUUUUAAAUUUGACUUUUCAUUUUCUCAUAAUUAAUUUGAUUGCUAUUGCACAAUAACAAUUAUGUAAAGAUUUUAAUGAGGCAUAUUAUUUGUAAUGAACAUUUAAGAGAGAGUGUUAUUUGUAAUGAACAUCUAAGGGAGAGUGUUAUGAAUUUAUUAAAAUAAAUAUAUAUUUUCAUAAUAUAUAUCUCUUAGUCUCCCCACUAUCUCCCAUUAGCAACCUUUAGCUUCCUUAUAACUCCCACUAUUUUUAUAAAUCCACCCACCUUCAUAAAAUAAUUACAAUAAGUUCACAUUAUUUUAUAGAAUUACAAAUUAAUAAUAAGUUUGAAUAAUUAAUUAAUUAAAUCAUUCUUAUAAUUUUUUUUCUUUCUUUGUCUUUCAACAAUCUUUAAUAAUUUAAGGUUGCUUUAAGAUAAGUUUAAUUUAAUUAAUUUACCCUUAUAAUAUAAAAUAACAAAAUUACCCUAAGAAAUAUAUAUUAUUGUAACUAAUUGUUUAGGCAUUUAGUUUUAUGUUUUAUAAUCUAAUAUGCUUUAUAUAAAAUUUAAUAAUUUUCAAUACUCCAAAUGUCCUAAUUACAUCUUGUUAGUUUAGUGAAAUAUUAAUAAUUAUACUAAAAAAGCAUUACUUAUACAUCAUUAAAAUAUAAAAAAAAUUAUUAAGUUAAAGUAAACUUUUAGAUAUUUUUGUUACUUUUACCUUAUAAGGUUAGAAUAAUUAUAUUAAUUUAUGUUAAAACAACCUUAUUGAUCAAAUAUAAUUAAAAAAAUAGUCUCAUAAAAAAAUUAAUGAAUAUGGAUUUAAUUGGUUAAAUUUUUAAAUUUCUUCUUAAUUUGAAUUUUUAAAAAAUAAUGUGUACUUGUAGUAAUGAUUUUUUAAAAUUGGGGUGGGUUAUUAUUGAUGACCUUUGAACAUACAUACAUAUUAUUAAUAUAUUUAUUAAUAUAUACGAUUACUUGUGAUGGUAAACGAGGUAGAUAUGGUAUAUUUUUAAGUUAAAAAAAAAAAACAAAACUUUUACCAUUUCCUGCCUUAUCAUCUUUUAAAUUAGACUUAUUAUUAUUUUAUUUUUCAAGUUGCAACUCAUCCUCAUUCUCUUUUAUUGAAUUUGACGAUCAAUGAUUAUAAAUUUGUGUGAAAAUUUUAAAUCAAAGUUUUAAAAUAAAAUAAUCUUUAAGUUAUUGAGAAAUAAUAACUUAAUAUAACAAAUAUUAUAUCUUGUACUUUAUUGCUACAAAAUUACGAAACCUUAUAUUAUAUUAUGUUUCCAUAUUUCUCCUUUAUAGUGAAAACCCAUACUUCUUCUCUAGUAAAUGCUAAAGUAUUGGGUUAAACUUUUUAACCAGCACAGUAGACCCUUAAGCUAUAUAUGUUAUAAUGUCCCUCUUCCCUCAGGAUUAAACCAAUCUGAUCUCAGAGUGAGUUUGCAUUAUUUGUCAUCAAAGGAGCAUCAUUACUAACUAAUAUAGACUCGAUCAAUAGGUAUGACAAUAAAUUUUCUGUCUACGAACACUAUUUUUUAAAAUAUUAUAUCUUUAGACUUAACUAAAUAUUUUUUAAUCAUAUAUGUAUAGUUUGUUUGAUCUCUUUUAAAUAGUGGAGAUCACAACAAAGCAAAUUCGAAUUAGUAGUGAUGUUGAGUUCAGAAGAUUGAAGUAAAGAAAACUAAGGGUUUCUUGAUCCAGAGAAAUUUCAAAAGAGUGAAGCGAAAAGUGAAUUUAUUGAGAGAUCUUUGAAGAUUUACUUCCGUUAAGAGUUGGAUGCCACACUUUUUGAGCCUUUGUCGUCCCAAUCAUUCAAUUAUAGGAUCCUUAAGUAUAUAACUUUCAAUCUUUUCACAUAAAUAAUGAGUAGUGUGAAUUCAUACAACUUAUAACUUUCUCACAUACAAUUUACAACAUUCUCACAUAAAUAGUGAGUAAAUCUAAACUACUCACUAUUCAUGUAAAAAAAUUAUAAAUUAUAUAUAACUUAGCAUUAUUCUCCACUAUAAAGACAUAUUCUUAUUAAGUGUGAACAGACAUAUUGAUCACUAAAUUUCCAAACUUGUGAUCCUCAUUAAAUGUGAUUCCCCUUUGAAAAAGAAAAAAAAGUGCAAAUAAUGAAACAAAAUUAUGUUCCUUAGCAGCAAGUGGCGUCGGCAUUUUCAGACUUGUAAAAGGGAAUGAGAUCCUUUCCUGAACCCGGAUCUCAUUCCCUGUGAAACAAAAAAAGGUGCAAAUAAUGAAACAAAAUUCUGUUCCUUAGCAGCAAGUGGCGUCGGCAUUUUCAGACUUGUAAAAGGGAAUGAGAUCCUUUCCUGAACCCGGAUCUCAUUCCCUGUGAAACAAAAAAAGGUGCAAAUAAUGGAACAAAAUUUUGUUCCUUAACAGCAAGUGGUGUCGGCAUUUUCAGACUUGUAACAAGGGAAUGAGAUCCUCUCCUGAACCGGGAUCUCAUUCCCUGUGACAAGACCCUUGCCACCCUUCAACUCGCUUUCCAAGAUAGCUAUAUUAAUCGUGACAACAUUACUCUCAGUGAGCAAAAGUUAACAGCAUCUUCUCCCUAUUUUUUUAAAAAAUUGUAUUAUAUAGCCCACCAAAACUAUAAAGAGUCUUUUCUUAUUAAAAUUAAUAAAUUACUCUUUAUAUUAAAAAAUUAAAAUUCAAAAUGAAAAUGAUCUGAUGUUUAUUUAUUAAAAUAUAAAUAAAAUAUAUGAAGUUCAUAUUUUUUUAAAUUAAAAAAUAAGAACCUAAUUUCAUUCCUUAAAUUCCCAAAUUUACCUCACAAAAAUUCCAUAAACUUACUUUUGUCCUUAAUUAAAAUAUUAUUAUGUUAUUAUUCUUAUUUUUGUAAUAGUUGUUGUUGUUGAUGAUGAUAAUACAUAUAAUAAAAUUAAUAAUAAUAAAAAUAAUAACUAUAAUUUUAACAACAGCAAUAAUAAUCAUUAAUAUUAUUGUUGUUGUUCUUGUUGUUGUUGUUGUUGUUCUUCUUCUUAUUAUUAUUAAUAUUAUCAUCCUAUUAUAUUAUUAUUAUUAAAUAAUUAUUUUGAAUAAUAAUAAUCACAAUUAUUAUAACAAACGACAAUAAUCAACUAAGGUAAUUUUAAUAACUUGUAACGAUUAAUUUUUAUUCAAAGAUAUGUGAUUAUUUGUUAAUGUAUGCAAUUACUUGUGAUGGUAAACAAAGUAUAUAUGGUAUAUUUUCAAGUUAAAAAAGAAAAACAAAACAGAGUUUUUACUAUUUCUUGCCUUAUCAUCUUUUAAAUUAGAGUUAUUAUUCUUUUUAUUUUUCAAGUUGCCAACUCAUCCGCAUGCUCUUUUAUUGAAUUUGAAGAUCGAUGAUGAUAAAUUUGUGUGAAAAUUUUAAGUCAAAGUUUUAAAUUAAAAUAAUCUUUAAAUUAUUGGAAAAUAAUAACUUAGUUGUAAUAAAUAUUAUAUUCUAUACUUUAUUGCUACAAAAUUACGAAACCAUAUAUUAUAUUAUGUUUUCAUAUUUCUCCUCUAUAGUGAAGACUCAUACUUCAACUUUUUAACUAGUACAGUAGACCUUUAAGCUAUAAAUGUUAUAAUGUCCCUCUUCGCUCACAGAUUAAAACAAUCUGUAGCCUUCUCUCAUAUAGAAAAACUUUUUGUAUAAGACAAAUUAUUAUGUUAUAGGAAAAAUUACAGCAGACGUAAGCCAUAUAUGUUAUAAUGUUCAGAAGAUUGAAGUUAAGAAAAUUAAGGAAAGUGUAAGGAUGUAUUUUCAAAGUGAAUUAUUAAGAGAUCUUUGAAGAUUACUUCCGUCAAGAGUUGGGUCCCACACUCUUAAGCUUUUUUCGUCUCAAUCAACUAACAAGACAAAUUAUUAUUGGGUGUGAACAGUCCGGCUUAUUGAUUGUUAAAAAAAUAGCAUUAUUUUGAGCGCACAUGUUGAGUAAGUCUUAUUUAACGAAAGUGAAAAAUAAGGUUCAAAUUUUAUUUUAUUGAUAUUUUAAUAAUAUUUUUUUUUAUUUUUUUAAAAUGGUGUUUAGGUAAAUAAGAAAUUAUUUAUUAAAAUUCAUUUUUAAAGUUAAAAAUUUAAAAAGAAAUGAGGUUUAUCCCACAUGAAAAAAAGAAGCUUAAGAAUUAGUAUUUAUAUAUAAACAUUUAACCAUUCAUAAAUAAGAAUUAUAGGAAUAGAGACUCUUUUCACACAUACGUGCGUAAGGGGUACAAAUUCAAGACGAAUUUAGUUGAACUCGUGUGCACCUGCAUAUCCUGAGAACGCAAAUGUCGGUGAUAAAUUUGUUUUAAAGAUUCUACUCUGUGUAGGCCUCGGUUCCAUUUUAUUUUUUCUGUUUCGGUUUUCAUCUCUCUUCGGUUUUGCUUUCUAUUAUUUCAUUUCAAAUUUCAGUAGUUAUCUUUCGUUGCUUAGCUACUGUUUAAUUUGUUACCUCACCGUUUGUUUUAUCUAACAUUGAUCACCAAAUUUUCAAACUCGUGAUCCUGAUUGAAUCUGCGUUCCCCUUUGCAAAAGUAAUAAAAAAAAGUGCAAAUAAUGAAGACUUUCUCUUUUCACAUUUUUUACGCGUUUCUCUUUUCUCUCCCCCACGUGAACACUUUUGCCUUUUGCUCGUUCACGUGAACGUCAUUUUAGAAUUUUUAUCUUUAUUAAUCAUGACAAUUGACAACAUUACUCCCACAUUUUUUUUAAAAAAAUUGGAUUAUAUAACCCACCAAAAGUAUAAAAAGUAUUUUCUUAUUAAAAUUAAUAAAUUACUCUUUAUAUUAAAAAAUUAAAAUUUAAAAUAAAGAAUGAUUGAUGAUGUUCAUUUAUUAAAAUAAAAAUAAAUUUUAUGAAGUCUAUAUAUUUUUAAAAUUAAAAAAUAAGAACUUAAUUUCGUAUGAACUGUAUUCACUACUUAGUAUUCUUAAAAGUUAACGGAGAAGAAAAAGAAAAAAAAAAGUGUAAAUGAACUGUAUUCACCUAAGUUUCAAACAUGUGGCUCAAUCUGAAUUCGCUUUUUUCAAAAGUAAAUACAAAAGAAAAUAUAAAGAAAAAAAAUUAAACGAGACAAAAAUCUGUGGCGUGGGUCAUUCAUAUCUUUUUCCAUUUCUUUUGUAGAGGUACAUAGGGUAGAUAUUUUGAAGUGAAAAGCAGAGCCUUUACUGUUGUUUGCCUUAUCAUCUUUUAAAAUUGGAGUUAUUAUUCUUUUAUUUUUAAGGAUGGUAGCCAACUCAUCCGUGUUCUCUAUUAUUGAAUUUAAAGAUCAAUGAUUUAUGUUAAUAAAUUUUUUGUUAACUAUCAAAGUUUUUAUUUCAAAAUUACUGCUAUAAUUCAUUAAUUUUUCAAUUUUUCCUUUUUCUAUUCACACAACAGAUUGAUUUGUCCUCCAAAAAAAUGUAAUAGGUCGUUUAAUAUUGUAACAUCAAGAAACUUAUAAUAAAUUUUUAAAGAGAUAAAUAGAGAAUGUCAGUCUCGCAUCUACUCAAAAUUAAUAAAUAUACCACUAACUUCUUAUUAUUUUUAUAAUAACUAAUAACUUUUUUAGCAUUAUAAUUUUAUAGUAUUAUCCUUGUUUGUAAGUACAUUUUUUAUUCAUAUUUUUUAUAAAUUAAUUAAAUCAUAUCAAUAAAAAUUAAAAUAACACAAUAAGUUUUGGAGUGAAUAAAAGAUUGAAAAUAAAAAUAUUUUUCUUAUAUUUUUUGUUAUUUUUAAAUGUUUUUCAUAUAAUAAAUGUACAUUUUAUAUUCUUAAGAUGAAUUUUGAGUAAAUGACUCAUUUACUCAUUUUUUUUCUUUAAAUUUUUGUUACUAGGAGGAUUUUUAGAUAUAAUGAAAAUUGUAAGGUAGUAAGUAAUAUAUAAUAAUUUUAAUAGAGAAAAAUAAAAAAUCUCUUAUUUUAAAAUAUAAGGAGAAAAAUAAUUAAUUUUAAAAAAUUUUAGAAGAUAUUUCAAUAUGCUGUGGAUCACACCCUCGAAUCUUUGUCGUCUUAGUCAAUUAAAAGGACAGAAUAUUGAGUGUGAAGACUCAACUGAUUGUUAAUUUCACAGCAAUUGUCUUUUUUUUAUUCUUUCUUUGUUUUUCCUAAUUAUUUUGAAAUAGUAGGUAGCAAUUGCUUACAUCAAAAUAUCUAAACUCACUCAGCAAAGUAUCCGAGGCCAAAAUGUCAAAACGUGGGACACCCAUACAUCUAAUUACAAAGUCUAAAGUUAAUGAAAAGAAAAAAAGAAAAAGUAUAAAUGAACGGUAAUCACCUCAUUUUCAAACAUCUAAUUCAACAUGAAUUUCUUUUUACGAAAAGUAAAUUUUCUCCCGGAUUGUCCUCAUUACAUUAAACGAAUGAUGACGACGCUCUGUCCGUUUCUGACUCUCUGCUUUGCUCUCUCACAUCACGAGACACCUCGUUUCUAACUGGGGUACCACCAUCAUAUUUAACUGUCGGGUCUUCCUACUAUGCACCUAGUGUAUGCAUGAUUCUUUGUGACAUGACAUAUAGCCAAUUAAAUUCUGACAUGCUUGCAAUAAAGACUGUUAAAGUGACCGGUUAUUCCGGUUGAUUUCACAAGAUCUUUUGUUUGUGUGUUUGUGUUCCAAGUUGUGUACUCUAUGUUACGACUCCUCUGAUUUUUUUUUUUUUAAGUCUGUUAUACAGAGAUAUUACUGACAUUACAUCAAACAUUACAAUUAAUAUUUACAAUCAUACUAUAUAACUGGGACCACCACCAUACAUUGACACACUGAAGUAUAUGCCCAGAUAUUUUAAACCCUCGAAUUAUACACAGAUAUUACUGACAUUACAUCAGAUAUUACAAUUAAUAUUUACAAUCAUACUAUAUAACUGGGACCACCACCAUACAUUGACACACUGAAGUAUAUGCCCAUAUAUUUUAAACCCUCGAAUUAUACACAGAUAUUACUGACAUUACAUCAGACAUUACAAUUAAUAUUUACAAUCAUACUAUAUAACUGGGACCACCACCAUAACAUUACAAUUAAUAUUUACAAUCAUACUAUAUAACUGGGACCACCACCAUACAUUGACACACUGAAGUAUAUGCCCAGAUAUUUUAAACCCUCGAAUUAUACACAGAUAUUACUGACAUUACAUCAGAUAUUACAAUUAAUAUUUACAAUCAUACUAUAUAACUGGGACCACCACCAUACAUUGACACACUGAAGUAUAUGCCCAUAUAUUUUAAACCCUCGAAUUAUACACAGAUAUUACUGACAUUACAUCAGACAUUACAAUUAAUAUUUACAAUCAUACUAUAUAACUGGGACCACCACCAUACAUUGACACACUGAAUAUCAGACAUUACAAUUAAUAUUUACAAUCAUACUAUAUAACUAGGACCACCACCAUACAUUGACACACUGAAGUAUAUGCCCAGAUAUUUUAAACUCUCUCUAAUAUUCGAGGGGUGCCUGCUCCACUCACAUUUCGUAAGGGAGAGACUGUCUCCAUUCAAUUAAUUAAUAAUUGAGGAAGAACUGAAACUAACCUCUAUAAUGCUCUUAUGGAGGCUCGAACCCUUGCACUCAACAUUAUAAGUACAAGGCUUCUCCCAUUGGACCAAAGGCCUAUUGGUAUGAGUUCUCUGAUUAAGUCUGAUAUUAUCUGUUGCUCAAUAAUGUUACAGGUUUUAUAAUAUGACUGGUACGAUCGCUGUCACAAAUUUAGAACGAAAAGUUUCCAAUAAAAUAAGUUAUUUAAUUAAUUAAAUAAGAAUAAAAUGAAUUUGUGAAAAAAAUUUAAAUUUAAUUUUGAAUUAUUUUGACCAAAAUUUAAGUUUUUUUUAAUUUGUUUAAGAAAAUGUGUUGUAAUUGUCUUGUUUUAAUUGGAAAAUCAAUGAAAAAAUUAUGUAACAGACAAAAAAAAAAAAAAAAAAAAGCAAAACGGUUUGUUUUGUAUGGAGGCCAUAGAUUCUAAUAUUUCCUUCACGAAAACUACAAAAAAAUUAUCAAAGGCAUCAAUUUCUACACUCUCACCGAGCAAUACUCUUAACCCAGAAGAAAGUGUAUAAACCAACCCCAAUCAGUCCAUCAAUGUCGUCAACCUCAUACAGCAUAAAAAAAAAUCUGUGUCCAUUAAACCGCCAUUUAAACCGUCUUUAUUGAACCAUUAGACUAUUCGUGUCAUCUUCCCAUCUCGUUGUAGUAUUUUACCUUUCAAAUUUAGUUAUCAAUUCUGGAAAAUGGGACCAAUCUGCAAGUCUUUAAAAUAGAAAGAAACUUUAAUUGGGCACUAUGUUCACGGUAGUGGACCCAGCAGCAUUAAUAUUUAGGGUGGAGCUAUUUAUAUUUUAAACAUUCUAAUUUUAAUAAGAAUAUAUAUUACAAAUGAUCACGACAUUGGGGACCAAUCACGUUGACAAGCAUUUUUUUUAUUUAUUAAUAAAGUGCUCUGAAAAGAGCUAAGGCAAUACUAAACGGGGGUGGUCCCGUUUUUAAUCUAACAUAGAGUCUUAAAAACCUUGUCAGUGGCAAAUGAUCACGACAAGAAAUCUGAAGGAGAAACAGCAGAGCUCAACAAAUCACUAAGAGAAAAUAAGACCAAUAACCAAGCAGAUAAAAGAAAAGCAAAAUAACCCAUCUCAAAAUCACCACAUGCACUAUUUAAGGGGUUUGUGAUAUGGGUUUAAAAAUAAUUUAACAAGUGCCACCUGUGAAUUGUCAGAGAUUGUAUCUUCAUACACAUGUCAAAUUUUCAAGUCCAACAAAUUGUUAUCUUUCUAAAGAGGCUAAUAUUAUUAUUAUCUAUGCAUAGCAUGCUAUAAACAAUUCAUAUUACUAGGGCCUUUGUUUUCUGUACACAACAUAUGGACAGAGGAACAAAUCCCUGAGCUAAAAUCAUCAUAUUCCAAAAUAUUCUAUUAAAUCAACACCACAAAACGCGAACGCUAAACAGAAUUGGAGCAAUUUACCAAAGCUAUUUGUCACGCAAAGCACUAGUACCUCAGAACCCAAUUUGCAAAAAAGCACCAAAAAUGAAAAAUAACAAAUGCCCAGAUGAAAAAUCAGGAAAAAAAAAUGCUCAAAUCCAAAUUACAACCCCAUAAGCUGAGUCGUUCUAUUCGAACUGAAUUAAAAAAAAUUAAUUAGGGAGAUUGACCUCAAACUUUGGAAACAGAAGCGACAUCGAUCUGUUUCUUGUCUGGAGUGUCCAUUUCUAUAAUCUACUUUGUCCGUUUUCAGUUGCUCUGCCACAAAGCUUCUUCCCUCUGAAGCUGAAGCUCACACACACUUGCAAAACGAAAGCAUUUUUUAUUGAUUGAGAGGCGGGAAGGCGGGAAAAUGAGAGAAAUUUGCAUUUGUUUUGUCUUGGUUUGGUCAUACCUGUGCGGGCCCCAGCUUGACAAGCGGUAUUAUUACUAUUUGUAUAAUUUACAUGACGCGUGUCACGCAAUGACGAUAAAAUGUAUAUAUUGUUAAUUUUUCACUUAACAUUGAAUGAUUGAAAUAUCAUAUAAUUUUUCCAAUUUUAUGGUUAUUUUCUCGCCCUUAUGCCACAUUCUUUUGAUCAAAUAAUACAGUAAAACUUUUCUAUAAUCAUAAUAUUAGAGCCAAAUUAACUUUGUUUCUGUAAAGAGGCUAUAGCUUAAUAAAGGUAAAAUUAUAAAAAUUAUUAUUUUGACUCAGUUAUCUUUAGUGCAAGUGAUAUAAAGUACAAAUAUAUGAUAAUUAAUUAAUGAACUAUGUCAAAUACAAUAUGCUGACAAUGAUAAAAAAGAUAGACAUAAUUUCAAGAAACUAAUACAUAUAUUUAUGUAGUGCUGGGAUUAUACAAAAUUAUCUUAAAAGUGUAAAGAGUAAAGUAUUAUUCUAAUUAAUUUAAAAAAAUUAUUUUUUCUUAAUCUUUAAUGCAACAUAGCUUUUUUUUUUUUUUUCUUAGCAACAAAGCAUUGUUCCACAUAAUUAUUAUUGGAUUCAAAUCAUGUCCUAGGCAUUUUUUCUUCUAGUCGUCUUAAACUUUUAAUGAUUUAUUGGCAUGCGUCAAUCAUUAAUGAAAUUAAAUAACUAAGACUUUGUUUUAAUUAACGUUUACAUAAAUAGACAUCAAAACUCACAUGUGAUUCUUAUCAAAUUUUUUCCUGCAAAUUCUUUUCCUCUCAACUAUUCAUAUUUUGACAUUAAUUUCCAGCAAAUUAUUAAAAAAAAGAAGAAGCGUAAAAUGGAGAAAAGUGAUUGACAACAAGGUUUGCAUCUUAAUUUCAAAAAUUUCCUUUCUUUGUUAUUUUUGUGGGUUCUACAAUUGUUGUUUUCACUCUCAGCUGCAGUUCAAUGAACUCUAUUAAUAACCAUGAAGCUUAAUGUAUCAAUUCCAGUACGAGAAGUCCUUCUACGCAUGUUACAACACUUUUUUGUCAUUAUAGGUUGCAAAUGUUCCGUAAUGUACUCAUUCAUAUAACGGAAACGCUAUUAUCAAUAAUGAAAGUUGACUAAGUUUGUAAAUUCUAUUUAACGAAAAAGUAACAUAAAUUUAGUUGAACAAGAGGUAAUUAAUAUGUAAUCUAUGAAACUAGGGUGUGACUAAGUUACAUAGUAAUGUAACUUACAUGAACACAAAAAUAAUUAGUUUUUAAACUACAAGUAAUUUUGGAACUGCUCUUAAAUUGAUAUAAGUUUUAUUAUUAUGUAACUUAGCAAGGUCAGGUAUUUUAAUAAUAGCACAUCACUAUUGUUUCAUGUGAAUGAUGCAAUUGGAUUAGCCAAUACAUACCGUCAUCCCCGGGAGAUGCUAUGGCAAUAGCUUACUCUAUCGUGCCAAUGUCAUUAGUAUUAAUCUGUUGAACCUAAGACCAUAUCUAAGCUGAUCUAGAUUCCCCAAGAUCGCACACCACACAGUGAUUAAUGAAUCAAGAACAAUAAACCAUCAAAGAAUCGCAAACUUACAUGUCGGGUUACAUGUAAUAAAUGUUUUAAUUAUUAGAUGAUUCAUAAUGUUAGACCAUUUUUUGUAUGUUUUGUAAUCUACGUUUGAUAAUUGAAUUAGCUGAUAAACACUUGAAUAAUAUUAUUUUAUUAACUAUGUCAUUGAUCCCCAGGAAAAAAAAAAAAAAACCCAAUUUGGGAUGUUAUACAUUACUUUUUCAUUACUUCCCAUUUUAGAUUAAUAUUUAUCACAUAUAUUCUUAGUAACUUGUAACCCUUUUUGCUAAGGGUGAAAUGUGUUUGUUACCCCUUCUAUUUCUGAGAUUGUCCUUACAAUAAGGAUGCCGGCCCCAAUGUCAAAAACUGCUAUCUCUAGGUGUAAAUUCCUUAUAAAAUUCUUUUUUAAUUGAAAUUACUUAAAUAAUUGAAGAUAAAUUAUUUUUUAUUUCAUUCAAAUAAAAAAAUCAAUUAAACACUUAAAUAAGCUAUCCUUUUAAUUUUUUUUUUUUACACCCAUCCAGUUUCAUAAUUUAUAUUUAUAAUUUAAAUUUUAAUGGAAAAUAUUUUUUUGAAAAAUUUUAAGAAUUAAGAAUUAUGGGGAUAAAAAUUAUGUAAUAAGACCAAAAUAAUUUAAAAUUUUAAAAUUUGCAUGUAUUAUAAACAAAAACUUGAAAGAAAUACUCUUUUCAGGGUGAGAUUUAAUCAGAAAAAGAUUAAUUUUCAUUUAUGGAUCAGUAUUUUAUAAAUUAAACAGAGGUAUUUUAAGAAAUAGAAUUCAAAAGGCAUGGGAACAAGGGCAUGGCAUUGGGUUUCCUUUUGUUUUGUAUGGAUUGGGAAAAAUACACGGACAGACAAAGGGAACAGUCAUUAUAAUGAUGUGGAACUUGUCGGAGAUUCCCUGCCCAUUUGUAGCUUAGACUCCUGGGGUUUUGUUCAUGUCUUUUCUGUAUCCCACUUUCUCAUGCAGCAGAUGUACAUAUGAUGAGAUGAAAACAACAGCAAAAAUUGCUGUCUCAUAAGAGAAAUAGUCAUACAUAGUUGGUUAGGCCUCCAGUCCAUUAACUUAAUAAUCAAUUUUAUGAAAAUUGAUUAUCUCAUUGGAAUUACAUAGAUAUUGGAAAACAUUACUCCAGCCCCACCAUCCCAACCAUUUACUUAGUUCAUCAGUAAAAGCUGGAUUUACCAUUUGUUCUUGAGAUUCAAAUUAAGGCAACAAGUUGCUCAUUCUAUAUUAUCUAUGUAAUCCUGUAAAAGUGAAGGGCGUUUAGAUGUGGAAAAACCUUACCCCUGCCGCAACACCUCAAACAGAUUGUGAUCAGACAAGACUUAGUUCAUCAUUAGUAGUAGUUGGAGCUUCCAUUUGUUCUAGAGAUUUAAAGGCAGCAAGCUGCUUCCUCAGUGCUACUAAUUCUUCCCCGGCAUUGCAUAUGUAGCCUGAGGCUUGUCUACCAGACAAAGUUGCUCCUUCCAUACCAUCUAUGUAAUCCAGUGAGAGUGAAACCAUUUAGAAGACGUAUCUCUUUCUUUCCAAUAUUUAGAAUGAAACAAUUAUAUACAGUUACCUGUUUUGCAUAUGAGCCGGCGAGGAAGAAGUUCUUCACUGGUGUCAUUGGAUCACGUCUGAAGGGGUCUUUACCAGGUCCCUCACCACACAAAGAUUGCCCGAUUUUGACGAAAGAUGACCAAAUAACUUCUAAACCUUGGGAUGAUGGAAAUGGAGCUAAAACCUAAUAAAAGGAACCGUGAAUGGAUAGUAUGGACUCAUGUAUAUUAUCCAGAAAGUUGCAUGACCUUUUGUGGUACUCAGGUCACUAAAAAACGUGAGAUAAACAUCUAGGAUAAGAAAAGCAAAAAAGCAUAACCUAAUACGUAUUAUAUGAAUUGAAGGUGUCACUGAACGCUACCAACCUGCUUUGCCACUCUCCUUAUGAUUUCAUCAUUUGGUAAGGGCAUAUAAGGAUCUCCAGGCGUCAAAACGCAUCUGAAAGAUAAUAUGGUUAUAGUUAACAAAAUGGAAUACAAAGACACUUGGCAAAAGGAAGUCAAUCAGAUUCCAUGCACAAAAAAUAACUAAUAAUGACGAGGAUAAGAAAUUUUGCACACUGGUGCCUUCUCUAUAGUAGUCUUCUGGCGAAGUAAGUGCUAGAUCUGCAAAGCAAGAGAAAUCUGCAUCUGGAGUAUAUAAAAGGUUAUCUAACUCCACAGCUUGCCUCAAUUGCCUACAUGUUCAAAACAAGGAUCUAUUAAAAAAUGGAAAUUUCUUCAAUGAAUUAGUGAAGGUAAGUGAAGUGAAACCGGAUUUCUUAAGCCUUCACAGAGCAUCUUGUGUUUGAAUUCCGGUAACCUCAGAAAAGAUUAGAGCAUCACCUUGACCGUUCUAGGUCUUGCAACUCAGUAACCCAACCAUUGUAUCUAAGCUGCACUGUGACAACAUGAACUCCAACGAGCUCAUAAAUAUUGUUGAAAAAUUUCAUUUCCCUCCAGCCUCCACAAUGAUGAAAGCAAUCUUUUAAUUCCAGGGACAUCACAUGCUGCCAUUAAAUAAGAAGUUGAAUAAAGAAAAAUCGUUCAACUAAAUGAUUCAGGAGUUAAAACAAAAUGUAGAAGUAGAAAUAAAUAACGAAGAUUUAACCAUAAACCUGCAACAUUUGCAUCAGCUUGCACAACCUUCUUGUCAGUGGCCUGAAAUAGAAUGAGAACUUGAAAGACAGUAAGCAUAAAAGAAUAAACUCAAAGAAGCUGCUUCUUACAGAUGAUAUAAACAACAAAUUUACAAAUGUCAGGUCAUUGCAUUAGCUCCAUGCCUCCAUCAGAGGGAAUAUUAAUAGAUGCAUAAAAAAAUAAUUAGAGCCACAUGUGAAACAAUUUACCUUAGACAUGGCAAGUGCUUUAACAAAUGUUUCCCCGUUAGCAGAUUUAUCAUAAAGUAUCUCUCUGCAUCCCCACCUAAGAUGGAACCUGUUCUCACAAGAACAGAUCCCAAGGUUGGGAAAAUCAGUUCAUCAUAGGAGAAAACAAAUAUGAUUAACAAAUCGCUACAAUGGUGUGAACCCGUAAAUACAAACGUACCUGCCCCCUUUAUCUGUGAUAUAUUUUCUUAUGGGCCCACUCAAAUAUACAUCCGGAGAACCCUUGAGCAUCAGCAAUAGGGAAGCCUCGGUCUUAGUCGCAAAUAGUGCAAGUAUAGUAAGCAUACAAUGAGCACUGAUGUUAUCACAAUCAAUAAACCCAAGGGCAUACGCAACAGGAUCCCACAUUCUUUGGAUACUUGUCCGUGUACCACCCUUGGACAAAAACCAAUCAGAGAAGCUUAUGUGUAAGAAGAAAUGAAGUUUUAGGUAAAAUAACAAUUUGUAGGAACAGGGAUUGAAAUUCAACAAACAAGAAAAUAUGAUGUCAUUCUUACACUAUCCAAAUCUCAUAUGUCCUUCAAGGCUCCAUCAGGAUCAACAAGUGCCUUUACAACAGGACUCAGAGCAAGAGCAAGAGCAUUUCUUGCUUUAUCAUAAGUCUGCACUUGAGCAAUAUACCAGGCAAAGUACAUCAAAAGAGAAUCCAAAAGAGGCAAGAAGCUUCAACAUGAAAAAAGGAGUACUGCCUCAUCAUACUGCUUUGCAAUCACAGUGCAAAAGAUAACAUCAACAAAUCAAAAUCAAGCAAAAAUCCAUAUGCACUACCUUAAGCUGAUUUGUAGACAAAAGUGUGCGAAUCCCAUGUAACGGAGCUUCAAUCGGAAACCGGAAAUCAAGUUCUGGAGUUGAAAAUCAAAAUCAUGAACCAAAUCAGAGUUAUUAUUGAAUUUGACAAUCCAUAAACCAAUAGAAGGUGAUGUCAAACCAUCAAGCAUAACUACCCACCAAGCAUAACUAUUAGUAGUUUUAAGUGAUCAAGAAAUAACCAUACCACCAAUUUCACUACCCUUAUUUACAAAUGUAUGAGUAUGAUCCUUCAUGAGUAAGUUUUUGUCCGCACCUACCUGUCGAAAUGCUUGAAAAACUAUCAGAUCAUAAACACAGGCUCCAGUUAAAGAGGAUCUAUGACUCUGAUCCAUCAUGUUAUUUGAACAACAUUUUCGAAUUUUGGUACAACCCUAAGCUAUAAUCAGUUAUCAUCACUACAAAUGAUAUGGUCAAGAGGAAUGAUAGUUCUUGUUUCAAGUAUCUCAAAUCGUAAUUCUUUUGCAUGGCUUGUGUGCUUUUAUAAUCAUUCAAACACGCAUAUCCACAACUAAGCAAGCUUUACCAUUUUCAUCAAUCGGAAGAGAUUAUUGUAGCAUCCAAAGAAAAUGUGCAGACCCAUUUCAAUAUGGUUUUCAAGUUUAUCGACAAAUGAACCCACUUUACCACCAAUAAAAGACCUCGACUCAUAUAUAUCCACCUGGAAGAAAGGAAAAGUUAAAAAAAAAAAGUGUUGAGAAUUAUGUUUGAUUAAACUUAAUUCUUUCCCCAAGAAAUCUCCACACACUGAUCUUAUUGAAACAAGAAUGAAUACCCAAGAUAGUAAUCAGAAAUAAAGCAAGAGUGUUUAGACAGAAAUAGAGAUUAAAAGCAUAGAAUAAACUGGACACAAGGAGAAUUCUAGAGGUUCGGCUGGGUAGCCUACAUCCUCUUGAGAAACAGAAGCCGUAGCUUUUCUUUGAUGCUUAACAGAUUACAAGACUUAGAGAGUUUGUUACAAAGAACGUUGGUUAUCUAAACUUGGCCUUGGGGCCCUUAUAUACAGCUCUCGAAGGAUCCAGAUAAGUGUGCUGCUUGCCAGCUCUUGUUCUGGGUUUGUUGAAACAAACCCAGAAAGUUCCCGCCAAGGCUAACCAUUGAUAACAGCCUUUUAAUUAGAAACGACACUUGCUGCUGCCGUUUAACUAAAGCUUGAAUCCGUAGAUGCUCGAGCAAUUCACGUGCAUUACUUAAGCUAUUCGUGUGACAGGAUAUGGUUGUCAUAUGCGCAGCAUUAUCUGUCUGAUUGCUUUGUCGUUUCUUGAUUAAUACUAGACACGACAAAGUCAUCUUCUCCGUAAGCUCUUAAUUCAGGCUCACAAUUAACAAAAAGGAAAAAAAAUUCUUCUAAUUUCUUUCACCAUCAACAAAAUCAGAAAAACACAUACUAGUUCAAAAUAAAAUAAAGUUUGUGAAUUGAAAUAAUGCCAACUCCUAAGAAAAAUUAUGACUGCUGAUAUUUUUUCCGAAAUGCUGAUAAAAGCCUCUGCUAUUUACUUUGAAAAAAUUGAGGUUAGAAGCCAAUUUACUUGAAAUUUUGAGUUUAGGCAAGAGGAUGAAUGGUAAAAGUGAAACAUAUUAGGGAAAAAUGUACUUCAGAGGCCAAUGAAAGCAUUCAGAAGAUUGAAAACUAAAUGAGCAAAACCUCGUGGCCAUGAUCCAACAAUUCCACUGCUGUUGACAUGCCUGCAAGCCCAGCUCCAAUAAUAGCCACUUUCAGCUUUGGUCCUCUAUAAUGUUCCAGUUCUGGUGGAAACAAACCCUUGGGAGCUGCCAAGUAUACCAUCCAAUUAUCCACAGCGAUAAUGGAAAUAUAUAUGUGUUUGAAAGUACUAAAUUCCUAAACAGGAAAUGUAUCCAAAAAGAGACACAAAGCAGAAUUUCGUAAGCAUUUCAAUUCCCAAUAAAUUUCGAGAAUACAAAAUACUCGGUCUGUUCUUCAAUUCCUUUAAUAAAAUUUCCACUAGAGGCUACGCAAGCCACUCAAUAACACGCCAAAGCCAGAUUUUAAACGUUAUCUUUAUCUUUAACUCCAAUCCACAAACAAUUCUGCCAGAAAUUCAAUCCAAAAUUGUUCAAGUGCACCGCCAAUUCUCCAUCAAUUCCCUCAAAAAUUCAUAAUUGGCAAACAAUACAAACCAAAAAGAGCUUCCGGCAAUAAACGCAUAAAAAUCCACCAAGCAACAUAAAACAAAAUACCCAGAAACCAGAAAAGCCAAAAGAUCAAUGCUUGUGCAAACAAGCAAAUCAAAUAAAACAAAAAAAAGAGGAAUUUACCCUUAACGCUCAUAUCAGAAAUAUUAGUAUCCAAAGAAGCCCGUACACGGAAUCUUGGACCCUUCACUUGAACCCGAGACCAUGUAACGCCAGUAACUGAAGUUGCAGGAAACAGAACUGAAGAACCCAUAUUGCAAAUCCUGAGCUGAAAUCAAGAAUUUCAAUUGGAACUCAAUUCAGCUCAACCCAGCUGAGCUCUCUUUUGCUUCAAUAACAAAGUGUUUUUCUUUUAUAUCAACAAAGAUUUGUCAACAUCAACAAAAUUUAACUAAGAAACUAGAAUAAUAAAAGAGGGCACCUUUGAGUUUAAGAAUCUAACAGGAUGCUAAGGAAGAGAGUUUUGUCAGGGAACUGUUUCGGAGAGGUUGGCCAAGUGCUUUUUUGUUUUUUAUUUUUAUUUUUUUCUCAUUUUGGCCUUUUUCAUUAAUACACAACAUCAGUACUCGCGAAGAGCACAAAAUGUUGGUGACUUUGUCACUAACGAUAGUGGAUGGAGCGACCAAAGCAACCAACUAAAUUUUAAAGAGAGGGAAUGACAAGCAAUAUUUUAAUUGGGUGAUUAAUUAAUGUAUUAUCAAGCAAUUGCAUUUAUUUAUUUAAACGAUGUCCUUAUCUUUGGACAAGGUUGAGGAAAGACCGCGAUGUUGUGUUGUCACGUAUUUUUGGGCCGACCGUUUCCAGUUUCGGCUUAAAUGAGGCUUUUGUAUUUUUGUGCCGUUUUUUUACUGAGUAUUUUGUCCUAAAUUACACAAAGAAAAUGUGUAUUUGUUAAAAAAUCUGUUGAAACUCAGAACCUCUUAUGUGGACUUUAGAAUGCGACAGUAUUGAUAUCUAAGUUCGUAAUAUCAAGAGUGAUAAAACGGAUAAAUGAAUAGAAAUGUAAAUAAAUUUGGUUAAAAUUUAAUGGAUUCGAAUUCGGUAUGUUAUCAAACAAAUCAUAAUCUUAGGAUUUGGAUUCAAUUCAUUUAUUAAUUGGAUACCUAUUUAAUUUGUUUAUUAUACAAAAUUAAAUGAAUUGAAUUGAAUUGAAUUUAGAUUCAUUUACAAUUUGUUUAAUUUAUUUAUGUAAAAUUAAUAAAAAAUCAAUCAAAUGUGGAUUUGUUUAAAAAAUAAUAAUAAUUAAUAGCAAAAAUCAAGCAAAGUAAAAUAGAAAAAAAAUCAUAAAAUUAACAACCUACAAAAUAAAAACGAAUUAGUGACCGCAAACUUGAAUUCAAUUCAUUUAUUUAACGAAUUGAAUUGAAUUCACUUAUUUGUUAAUGAAUCAAUUUUUUUUAAAAUUCAGACCUAUUUAACUUGAAUCAAAUAAACACAUCCUAAUCUAAAUUGUCACCUCUAAAUAUGAUGGACCUAUUUAAAAUAUAUGAAUACCAAAAUGUGUGGGCUAAAAAGUGGUUUACCAUGCAACAAUACGAAGUUUAAGCUCUCUUUUCUUAUGUCAUCCAAGGCAUUGCCUGGAUCGCCAAACACUAGAGUUCAAGUCUACAAUAAAGAAUCGAAAUUUUUCUUUGUAAAUGUUCGUAAGUAUUUAGCAUAGAUUUUUAAGUUAUACUUGAUAGAUCCCCUACCAUAUUUGCUAUAAUAUUUCUCUUCUUUUAAUUUAAAAGUAAAUCAUAAUAACGGAUUUGUAAAGAAAUUAAAUUUCCAGUAAUUAACUGAAAAAAUAAAAAAGAUGGAUUAAGCGAAAGAAGUUAAUAUAGAGUAAAGUCGAGUACUUGACAAUUAAAGUAAUUUUACUCGAGGUUGAGUAAGGAUAGUAUGAUACUUUCCCAGGUUUUCCGAGGACAUUCAUGUAACAUUGGACUAUUGACUAUAGUUAGAGAGAAGUCCAAGGAUGUAAGUGAUGAUGAUAGAUUCACAAUUCUUUUGAAGAAAAUAUUUUAUAUAAACUUAAUUAUAUGGUAUAAAAUGAUUGGCCUUAAUAAAAUUAAAAAAUAAUAAAAAUAAUACACGCCUGGGUCAUGCAAUAUUUUCAACCAACUAAUUUACACGCAAAAUUAAACCUUAUGAGUGAGAACAUUAUGGUACAUUUAUAUGCUAGCAAAAACUCCGCAAAAAUUUUCCGAAAUGUGAAAAUGAACACUUUUAACAAUGACACAAAAUUCCCACCCCCCAUGAUUAAUUCUCUUAUCUGGAAUAUUAGGGGGAUUGGAAAAGCCCCUGCGGAAAUUAGUUCGAUUACAUCGAUUGUCUUUGAUUUGUGUGUUGGAGCCAUUUAUUUCCAUUGAUCGUUUAGAGGCUCUUCGGGUGCGGCUUGGGAUGGAUCAUGCUUUAUCUUCCCAAUCUGGGAAGAUUUGUGUUUCUGGUCCGCACCUUUCUCGGUGGAGCUUCUGCAUGACAUGGGCAAGGUGAUUCAUUGUCGGGUUAGUCACUCUUUUUUUCCUGAUCCUGUGUAAGUUUCAUAUGUGUACGCUAGUUGUUAUAUGGAUGUGCGAGAGAAUUUAUGGGAUGCUCUUAAGACCUUUGCGGAUAGUCAUGAUCUACCUUGGAUCGUGGGGGGAGAUUUUAAUAUGAUUCAGGCGGUCUCGGAGAUUUCUGGCGGGCAUCCACAUACUCGGGGAGCUAUUGAUGCCUUUAAUUUAGCGUUGCUUGAUUGUGGUUAGGAGGAUGCUGGCUUUGUUGGCAGUCCUUUUACUUGGACUAAUGGGCGCCCAUGGAGGCAGCUUGAUAGGGUGGUCUGCAACGCUCACUAGUAUGCUUUCUUCUCAGUAUUUCGGGUCUCUCAUCUGAAUCGUACUGCCUCAGAUCAUUCUCCUUUGCUUUUUCUUGGUGAUCGGGGCGCUGUUAGAGGACCUUCACGGUUUAAAUUUCUUCAUGUGUGGCUCAAGCAUCCAGGUUUUCUUGAUACUAUGCGGCAGUCUUGGGGUGCUCCGGUGGUUGGUUCUGGAAUGAGAGCCUUUCAACAGAAACUCACUCGGUUAAAGUUCUGCCUAAAAGCUUGGAACAAAGAUGUCUUUGGUAACGUUUUUUCUCAGGUCCAACAAGCAGAGGAGGACAUGGCUCAGAAGGAAAGAUUGUAUGAUAUUUCUGGCUCCGUCGAUUACAGAGCUAAUUUUUCCGAGGCCAGGGCCUGGUUGCAGCAUGCUUUGCUUCGUGAGGAGAUUUUUUUUACGUCAGCAGUCCAGUGUUCGAUGGGUUCGAGAGGGCGAUGCUAAUACCUGUUUUUUCCAUGCGAUGAUUCGGAAAAAGUGCCAGUUGUUUCAUAUUCACAGGAUUCGGGUUGAUUGUUUCUUAGAGUGGAUUUCUGAGCCCUCCGCCAUUGUAGAUUAUGAUGUCGAUUAUUUUCAAGAUUUAUUAACGGGAGAUGCCAGUCAGUUUCAGCAGACGGACUUCGAAGUUAUUCCAUCUCUUGUGUCUGUAGAGGAUGAUGUAGAGUUAUGUAGAGAGCCGGAUAUGGAUGAGAUUAGACAUGCGGUAUUUUCUAUUGAUCCAGAUAGUGCUCCUGGACCGGAUGGUUUUUGUAGCAGAUUCUAUCAGUCGUGUUGGGACAUCAUUUGCCGUGACUUGUUAAAUGUUGUCCUCGAUUAUUUUAGAGGUUCGGCAUGCCCAGAGGUUUCCAAAGUACUUUAUUGGUCUUUCUGCCUAAGAAGGCUUCUCCGGCUUCUUGGGCUGAUUUCCGUCCGAUUAGUCUUUGUAAUGUGAGCAACAAGGUCCUUACUAAGUUGCUUGUCCCAUCUCCUGCCUCACAUUAUUUCUCAUACUUAGAGUGGUUUUGUUCCUGGUCGAGUGAUUCAUGAUAACGUGCUCCUGGUUCAGGAGUUCGUUCACGAUCUCAAUCGCCAUAGUCGAGGGAACAAUGUGGUGCUGAAAUUAGAUAUGGCCAAGGCAUACGACGUAUGUCAUGGCCUUUUAUUAUUCAGAUGAUUCACUGUUUUGGGUUCUCGAAGCGUUGGAUUUCUUUGAUUCGGCGAGCGAUUUACGGUCCUUAGUUUUCAGUGCUUAUGAACGGGGUCAGUAACAUAUAUUUCUAGUCCCAGAGUGGUCUUUGGCAGGGUGAUCCCCUUUCCCCUUGCUUAUUUAUUAUUGCUGCAGAAUUUUUAUCUCGAGGCUUGGAUCAUUUGUAUUCUCAGUAUCCCUCUGUUCGGUAUUGUUAUACUGCACCUACUUCUAUCUCCCACUUGAGUUUUGCGGAUGGUAUUGUUAUUUUUGCAAAUGAGAGCCGAUCUAGCUUACAGUGGCUUGUGGAUUUCUUACACCAUUAUAAGGUGAUCUCAGGGCAGUUGAUUAGCGAGGACAAGAGUAACUUCUACAUUAGGAAGUCAGCUUCGACCUCCCGCUAGGCCAUUGUUCACUCUGUGACUAGCUUUCAGUGACGUCAGCUUCCGUUUACUAAUCUUGGGUGCCUGAUCUUUACAGGGUACCUCAAGAUCUCCUAUUUUGAUGACAUGGUCCGGAAGGUCAAGGAUAAGAUUUCUGGCUGGGCUAACCGUCUGCUUUCCUUUGGUGGGAACCUCGUCCUCAUUCGCCAUGUGUUAUCCUCUAUGGCCCUGCACUUAUUUCACGUCCUCCGCCCUUUUAUAACGGUAGUUUAACGCCUAGAGCGAUUGUUCACCCGAUUCCUAUGGGGUGAUUUUGAGGGAAGACACCAGAUCCACUAGUGUAGAUGGCCAAAGGUUUAUUAUCCAGUUGACGAGGGUGGCCUCGAUAUACGAUCUUUUGAUGAUAUGGCGGAGGCUUUUGAGAUUAAACUUUGGUGGCGGUUUUGUCAGCAGAGUUCCUAUAUGAAGUCUAAGUAUUGCAGAUCUACGCAACCAAGCCUUAUCCAGUUUCGCUAUCUUGCCUCUCCUUUAUGGAGACACCUUUAUAAGAUUCGUUGCACGGCUAAACCUCAUGUGCGUUGGCUCGUUGGGAGUGGAGAUUGUAGCUUCUGAUAUGAUUGUUGGCUGAGUUCUUGCCCUUUAUUUUUUUAUAACCCUACAGCGGCUUUGUCGGUGCCGGUCUAGUUCUUUGGCAGGGUACAAUCUGGGACAGAGGCAAACUAAGGGACGUCUUGCCUUCAUCUAUUGUUGAGCAGAUCCUAUUAGUGCCUAUUUCUAGUGGGAAUCCAGACCUGAUUCGUUAGGACCUUGCCCCCGACGACACGUUUAACUUGCGGACUGCUUGGGAGCUUGUACAGUGCUCUAGGUCGAGGGAUGAGCUUUUCUCGAUGAUUUAGUAGAGGCAUAUCCUGUCACGAGUUUCCUUUUUUCUCUGGCAGCUACUUCACGGAUUCCUAGCUACUGAUGAUGCCUUAUACUUGAGGGGUUUCUAUAUGGUUUCUCGAUGUAUUUGUGGGCGGGUUGCUGAGACUUCUCGGCAACUUUUUAUGGAUUGCCCGCGGGCCCGUCAUAUUUGGGUUCAUUGCCAGCGGAUCAUGGGGAUGCGUGAGCUUUAUUUUCUGUCUCCCCGUGCUUUGCUUUUAUUUUGGAGACAUUGUGCCCCUUCUCGGAAUCAUCAUCGGGUCCUUCUGCCUUACUUCAUUUUGUGGCAAAUUUGGAAGGCCCUAAAUGCUUUCCAGUUUCAUUCACAGUCUUUCUCCACUGAUGCGGUUAUCUUUCAGGUCGACUCUGAUCUCAGGCUCGCUAGUUCUGCUUUUGGAUUCAAGCCUCCCCAACUGAGGGGAGUCUUGGGUUCUCGUAUUGCGGAGGGCUUGCGAGUUAUGGCUCCCCCUAGGAGGUCGAUUCGUCUAGUUGCUUGGAUGAGGCCAACUUCAGGGGUGGCUAAGCUGACUGUGGAUGGUUGCUCUGGGGUCAACCUUGGGAUGGCUGCUUCCAGGGGUAUUCUUCGGGAUCACCGGGGCAUGGUUUUAGCGGCUUUUGGAUCCUUUUUGGGUUACAAGCCGAUCUUAUAUGCUGAGCUCAUGGCGGUGUGCGAGGGUUUGGAGCUUGCCAUUCAGCUUGGGUACUCAGUGCUCGAGGUUGAGUCAGACUCGGCUAUGGUGAUGUCAUGGAUUCACACCUCAGGGUCCUGUUCGAUGGGAAUGUUCUUAUUCUCUACGCCGGGUGUGCCGUCUGGUAACGUCAUUCCCCAUUCAGGUGAGACAUGUUCUUCGCGAGGCUACUUAUGCUGCUGAUUUUCUAGCCAACUGGGCGCGCACUCAUCGGACUAGCCGGUGUUUCUUAUCUCCUCGAGAGCUUCCCAAAGGCUUAUCUGGUAUUCUUUACUUAGAUCCCCACGCAAUCCCCCAUGUCAGAUGUUAGGAUUUUAUCUUUUUCUUAUAUCUCAUUUUCUCUAGGAGGUUUUGGCUUAUAUCCCCCUCCUUUAUAUCUAAUUCAUUUUCAGAUUUAUAUUAUAGGUAAGGGUUCCGCCUAGCUCCCACCACUCUGGUGGUUUUAAAAAAAAAAAAAAACAAUGGCAUAAAAUGCCUGUGAUAAUGAAACAAUGUGCCAUCCUUAAACUAAUAUCAUUACAAACUACAAGUGAAAGUUUUUGGAAAACAUUGAGAAGUUUUUCUCGGAAUUUGUUUUCUUCUUUGCUUUGAUUUAAGCGUAAAUUUUUAAAAUCCGUAACAAAACAAAAAUUUACAUGGGUUGGGCGCACCUUGUGGUUCGUGCAUGCUUUCGUCUAAUAGUAUUUGAUACAUACAAAUUCAUUUUAAAAUUGACGAAUCGUAAUAAAAAAAUUUAUAUAUAAUAAUUGAGUGAGAUCCAUGGUUCACAAUUGCAAAUUAAUGGUUGGUUUUAUAAUAAAAAUCUUUAUGUACAUACCAAAUUAGAAAAGGUUAUAAGUGAAUUAAGAUUUUCAAAAUUUGACUCGUAUUAUAUUAUGUACGUCAAUAUAAUAUAAAUUUGUUAUAUAUAUAUAUAUAUAUAUCCAAUGCUUUCAAAAACUUUAUACUUGUUUGAACAGAUUUUUUGCUUUCUAUUUGUAUACACAAACACUUUUUUAGGACACAUGUAUAAUUAAUCUUAAUAAUUCUUAUACAAUCCUCUAUUUAAGACCAGCAACGUCACCCAUUAUAAUUUAUCACUAAAUAUUGUAAAACUAUUGGUUUUCACGAAUAACUAAUAAAAAUUAUUUUUUUUGUAAGAAAAAUACUGCGAUUCCUUUCACUGUUGUAGUAGUAUAGUUAUCGUGGACGAUGAAUUUCUAGUAUUGUACAAUGAUAUUUAUGUUGAAUGUUUAGGGAAUGAAAUAGGGUGACCAAGAUAAAGGGGUUUGCUCAUACAUUAUCGUGCUCUCCUCAAAGCAAAAGUGAGCAAAUGGUUGAGCAGAUCAUCUCGACCAGAAUAAUAUGUGGUGACCUCGAGUACAGCACCUCGACCAGGAUGUUAUUGGUCACCUCGACCAGGAUGUUAUUGGUCACCUCGACUAGGAUGUUAUUGGUCACCUCGACCAGGAAGUCACCAGGAAGCACGUCAUCCGCGAGGCCAAUUUCCUGUAAGAAGCAUAAAGCCAUUCCUGCUGCAUUCUUGCUAAGGGUUGAUUCGAGGAGACCCGGUCAACGACAGUUGGCGAGGCAUGCUCUCCAGCCCGAGAAUCUAGGCACGAAGGCCACGCAACCACCCAUGACUACGGAAAUGGGGAAUCCACAUUCGAGAGGUGGGAGGACAACGGACAUAGACUGCGGAAAACUGGGAUUCAGAGGAAGCCUAUAAAAAGGUAGCCAACGAAGGUAAAAGGGUUAGCAAUUUUGAGAUUAGAAGAGAGCUAAAGAAAUUCUAAAGAAGAGAAAACUAUGAAAAAGCCAUAAGAUCUGUGGCAAGCGUUCCCCGAACCUUCAUAUCUGACUUGAGCGUCGGAGGGUUUGCGCCGGGAAAACAACCGGCGUACUCUGACUUGUCUGUGUGCGCAGGAACCUCUGGAGAAGAAGCCUUACGAGGAGACCUUCUGGUCGUGGUGAAGUUGAUCGAGCAGAGAUCCUGGUCGUAUAACGAGGAGAACCAGAAUCUCGCAUCAACAUUUUGGCGCUGUCUGUGGGGAAUGGUACAAAAAGCCAGCUUGUUAUCUUUAUCAAUCUUCAUCUGGCCGAAGUGAAGGCAGAAUAUUGCGGUGCAUAAAUGGAUGAGCUUGCUUAAACAAGGAAGCAAAAACCUUAAAGGAGAGCACAUUGAAAGCACACGUUUGUAAAAAUCAGAACAGGUCAGAAGUUAAAUUCUUAUUUACAAGCAAUUUUUUCAUGAAAAUUUAAUUAUUUCUCUAAAUCCUGCUAUGUGAGAUGAGGAGCCCUUAUAUUCAUUAAAUUGAUUGUGCUCAUAUUAAGGCUGACUGUAUAACUUAGUUAACUUGAUUUCUUGAAAGCUAUUCAAUAUGAGAAUGAUUUAAGAAAAUAGAGCUAGGCUAGCGUUGAGAAACCAAUCAAAGCUUACUAAUAAGGCAUGCAAAGGCUCCAAAGUCUCAAAGCCUGUCUUAUGGCGAGACAGAAGCCAAGCGUGCCAGGAUCUGCUCGACCACGAGAAGGCGAGUAGAAUCCCAAUCCUUGAAGAAUUUGAAGGCAUGCAAAGGCUCACCAAGUCUCAAAGCAUGUCUUAUGGCGAGACAGAAGCCAAGCGUGCCAGGAUCUGCUCGACCACGAGAAGGCGAGCAGAAUCUCAAUCCUUGAAGAAUUAAAGGCACGCAAAGGCUCAUCAAAGUCUCAAAGCCUGUCUUAUGGCGAGACCAGAAGCCAAGCGUGCUAGGAUCUGCUCAACCAAGCGAAGGCAAGCAGACUCCCAAAUGUUGUAAAAAUUCCUAAGGCAUGCAAAGGCUCACCAAAGUCUCAAAGUCUGUUUAUGGCGAGACCAGAAGCCAAGCGUGCCAGGAUCUGCUCAACUAAGCGAAGACGAGCAGACCACCAAACUUUCAAAAAAUUCCUAGGGCGUGCAAAGGCUCCAAAGUCUCAAAGCCUGUUUUAUGGCGAGACAGAAAGCCAAGCAUACCAGGAUCUGCUCAACCAAGCGAAGACGAGCAGACCACUAAAGUUUCCAGUCUUGAUUCGUUUCACUCUCAAUACUAGAAACUGGGGGACUGGUGUUUAGGGAAUGAAAUAGGGUGACCAAGAUAAAUGGGUUUGCUCAUACAUUAUCGUGCUCUCCUCAAAGUAAAAGUGAGCAAAUGGUUGAGCAGAUCAUCUCGACCAGAAUAAUAUGUGGUGACCUCGAGUACAGCACCUCGACCAGGAUGUUAUUGGUCACCUCGACCAGGAAGUCACCAGGAAGCACGUCAUCCGCGAGGCCAAUUUCCUGUAAGAAGCAUAAAGCCAUUCCUGCUGCAUUCUUGCUAAGGGUUGAUUCGAGGAGACCCGGUCAACGACAGUUGGCGAGGCAUGCUCUCCAGCCCGAGAAUCUAGGCACGAAGGCCACGCAACCACCCACGACUACGGAAAUGGGGAAUCCACGUUCGAGAGGUGGGAGGACAACGGACAUAGACUGCGGAAAACUGGGAUUCAGAGGAAGCCUAUAAAAAGGUAGCCAACGAAGGUAAAAGGGUUAGCAAUUUUGAGAUUAGAAGAGAGCUAAAGAAAUUCUAAAGAAGAGAAAACUACGAAAAAGCCAUAAGAUCUGUGGCAAGCGUUCCCCGAACCUUCAUAUCUGACUUGAGCGUCGGAGGGUUUGCGCCGGGAAAACAACCGGCGUACUCUGACUUGUCUGUGUGCGCAAGAACCUCUGGAGAAGAAGCCUUACGAGGAGACCUUCUGGUCGUGGUGAAGUUGAUCGAGCAGAGAUACUGGUCGUAUAACGAGGAGAACCAGAAUCUCGCAUCAACAUUGAAUAUAACGCUUCAAUGAAUUUUAUUACUAUAUACUAAAAUACUCAACGAUCUUCAUUAAAAAAAAAAAAAUUGCAUGAUUAGAAUGAUUAAAGUUCAUCUAAUGACUAGUUUCAUCAUUGACUCUGUCGAAACACAGCAGCAAUCCAGAAUACAUUUAACACGAGAGGCGCAGACAAACAUGCAUGAUGAAUCUUCCACCAUUAAACCUGAAAUCAUAAAAUGAAAGAAACCAGAUGAGUGUUGUUUGUCUGAAAGCCGAUUCGAGAAAAAUAAUAAUAAUAAUAGACCUUUGUUAAUAAUUAAUACUAGUUGUCACUACCUUGUGCAUCUUCCUCCUCUGUAUCAUCGUCCUCUUCCAAUCACACCGCAAGACCAGUAUAUCUCGAGAAUCUUUACUGCCUUCUCACAGAUCCCAUUGCUGUCAUGUCUUUUUAGAUCUUCAAUCAUUUUGAAUCCCUCAGCCGCCUCCACCAACCGUGCAUAAUGAUUAAAAUAUCUAUUGGCGGUACCCGUAUUCAUUUCAGCUUCCCCGACCUUCAAAAUGUUCUCUAAUCCUUUUAAGCAAAUAGUGACGAUCUCUGGAUCAGCGUAUAGAAGGAGAUCACACAAUGGUUUUAUACACCCCUUUCUCACGAGGUACUUGAUUUGCUCAUGAGUACCACCUGAGAUGGCAUUUGAAAUUGCCCGAGCGGCCUCCUUCUUUGUAAAAAAUUCAGCAUUUUGAAGCAGAUCGACAAGGGGACCAAUUACGCCAGCAUCAAUUACCACCUGAAUCUGUUCCCUGUUACCAGCUGUAAUAUUUGAAAUAGUCCUGCAUGCCUCUUUCGCAAUGCCUGUACACUGAGUCAGGAAACCAUCUCCCUUCACAAUAUAUCUGACAGUCCACAGGGGAGGAGUGAGCCCGAAGGGGAAGGGUAAUGGAUGAAGAAGGAGCUUAACAAGUCGUGGACAGACAUCUGCCUCGAUCACAGCUUGAAUUUUGUCAUUCGUACCAUCAGAUAGACAGGAUAGUGCCUCGCAGGCAUAUCUCAAGACAUCGUUGUCAUUUGAAUGAACAAGUUGUGCAAGCGCAGGAAGAGCUGGCCUCACCUGAUCAAAUGGUGGCUCUGGCUUGCCCUGGCAAAAACGAGACAAUGUCUUUGUGGCAUUUCUUAGCAUUGAAGGCUUAGCAUGCUUAUUUAACUGUGCCAGCAACGGAAUCAAAGCUUUUUCACUGAGCACAAGAUCACGGUCUCUAGGUGAGCUACGAGCAAUAUUUCCCAGUGCCCAAACAGCCUUCUCUCGGACAUCAUCACUUGGAGAAGAAAGUAGCUUCACAAAUAUUGGAACAGCACCGCCGUCGAUCACCACAUUAGUAUUCUCAGAAGCAAUGUUUGUAAGAGCCCGAGCAGCUUCCAACUGAAGCUGCGGAUUGUCUUCCCUAGUAAGAAACUCAACAAAGCGCGCGACAACGCCAGAUUGUAUGACUUUCUCACUUGGUGGUAGGAGCAGUUUUCGGAACCAAGUAGUUGCUUCCAGCUGCAAGCCACUGUCAUCUGACCAAACCCCAGCAAGCAUCCCGGGUAAACUCACCAACUUAUUUUAGGAGCAGGAGCAGGAGGAGGAAAUUAAGUUAGGGAUUUAGAGUGAGAGUGAAGGUGGAGAAAAAGCAAGAGAGGGAAAAAGCUUAUUGUUGAGAAAUAUGUACCUUUUGUAUGGUUGUGUUAAGGUCGUCCUUCCAAGCCCAACAUGCUUCACCAUGCCGCUCCACUUUGUGUAAUUUGGGUGUACUUAAUUUUCCUUCAGAGAAAAUCUUCAUAUCGGGGCAAUCAUCCACCACUAAUCUUUCUAAAGAUGGGAACUUGAAAGCACAAUUGCCAGAGCAGAAGCUUGUCAGGCUUUCUAAGUCUACAAGCUUCAACUCCUUCAAUUCUCUGAAAGUAAUAACCUCAUCUUUUGCUACAACAUCAUCCCCCAGUACUAUUUCUGUUAUCCUAUCGCAUGAUUUUAUCUUCAUAUAUCUAAGUUGCACCAGAGUCUUUGCAAUUAAGGAUGUUAAUACGAUUUUCAAGUUGUUGCAACGCGAUACCACCAUAUUUGUAAGAUUCUGAAAGGAUGUCGACGGUGGCACUAGAUUGACUAAAUGGUCACACCCCUUUACACGUAGAAUAACCAAGUUGUUCGUAACAGAGGACUCCCUUAUCAAAAUGUGCUCCAGAUGAAAUGCUUCUCUUAUUUCUACCCACAUCCCAUUUUCAACCUUCUCAUACGGCAACGAGGCACUAUAUCCUCCUAUUUGGAGGACUUUCAUUGUGUGAAGUCUCUGGAGGAAGUCACCAAGUGAUAAAAUAGUCCGCUCAUCACCCAACGCCACAAAAAGAUAUUUUAGUUUGCAAAGCAAGCCUUCAGAAAAUAGAUAUUUAUUUGUUACUGUGUACUUUGCACGAACUAUCAACUUUUCCAAAUUAGGGAAUACCUGGGAGAACGAUCAGAACCCCAAAAAAAAGAAAAAAAAGAAAUACAAGAUGAAUCAAUUGAUAAGAAAUAUAAGUUGCCACUAAUUUAUACAAUAUAUUUUAUUCAAUAAAUCUUAACCUUUAAAAAAAAAUAGUAAUAAUAGUAUGCCUAACAUCUAGAAUAAUUAUGAAUGAAUACUAUACACUAAUCUGUAAGAGAGUUACGUUGCUGACAAUUUGAGUUUUAGUAAGAAACCAAGCGAUGAAGGCAAAGGCAAUAUAACUCUAAACUCUAUGAUAUAAACUCUCACAGUACAUACAUAAGAAUUGAAAAAUUGAUUAUAAAAUUCUUGUACGUACCCUUUCCGUGAAGAUACUAGUAGUUCUCACCAUGAAUUCAGGACAUUUAGAUAUCCGUAAUUCUUUCAAGGAUGGAAAUUCAAGAAUAUCAAGAUCUCCAGUGCAGAAGCUUGUGAACUUUUCAAGAUCAGACAUCUUCAGAUAUUGCAACUGAGGAAACAUUACAAUAUUUUUCUUCCUUUCUUCUUGGUUGUCCAUAACUAUUAACUCUUCCAAGACAGGACAUCCGACUAUCUCAAUGCAUUGGAGUUGAACAAAGCUACUAACGGUAGAAGAUGAAAAUAGACAUCUUAAAUUCAUACAGCAGGACAGGGUCAAGCGCGUUAAAUUCUGAAUACCACAAGACAUGACUGCAACUUGGUUUUGCCAAAUCCUUUCAACAUUUAUUGAAAGCAAAUGCAACUUCUCUAACUCUGGUAACCGAACCUGCUCGAUCAAAAAAUUAACUCGUUAAUUACAAGCAACAAUGAUUUCUGUUGAUGGACAAAUCAAUAAAAUUACUCUUUCUCUGGUUAUAGUUCUUUUCAGUUUUUCAUACAAACAACCGUUAAUCAAGUUUUCCAAAUUAUUCCUUACUAAAUGUAUAGAUUUAGACGGCGGCUAAUAUAAUUCAUAUUGCAAAUAUUCUUUGAUUGUAACGAAUUUUGUAAUAUUAAAUUUUGGCUGAUUCGCAAUAGGACCUACUAUCCAGCGCGAGCAGUUCUCGUGGAUUUAACUACUGGCACCUCGAUUAUAUAAAAAUUUGGAAUAUUUUCAAAGGAAAUCACAUAAUUUCCCCUUGCAAAUAGUAAUUAUCAUUAAUUGCCGCGGGUUGACAUAUAAUUCUAAGAAAUUAGGCGAGAAGAGUCUCAUCAACAAUCAAUCAGCAGAUAUCACGUUUGGCAGAUCAUCAUGAUUUCCUCAUAUGCUAGAGAAUCAACGUGAUUUCCGCUCAUGCAGGAGCAGGAGUGGACACAUUAUCUUAGAGCAUCCCUCACUGAGAUCUUUUAAAAAAUUUAUAUUAUAAAGUGAACAACAUAUUAAGUAUAGAUUUAGACGGCGGCUAAUAUAAGUUAUAUGUAUUCUAAUGACGUAUAUUAAAGAAAAUGACUAACCAUAAUUUCAAUCAACUUAUUAGUCUAUAUAUAUAUAUAUAUAUAUAUAUAUAUAUAUAAUAUAAUAUAUUCAGUGAUUACAACAUAUUUAGUAUUCCAUAACAUGAAGUUUAUAAUAAUAAUUAUUAUUAAUUCACUUAUUGUGUCAAGAACAUUUUCUUUCUCUAAGAAUGAAUUUGUUACACCCUACUAUACUACGGAUGAAAAAUUUAGAAUCAUUAUGAAAUAUAAUUAUUAAUCACUCUUUGCCAUAUUUGCGACCAAAGAAGAAUAUAACAAAGAAAAGAAACAAAAAUUAUAGAGAAUUAAUGAGACCAUUGACGUAUUAAUAACUGACCUUCCCAGUGAAACGCGUAUUAGAAAUUUGGAUAUUGUCCUCCAAAAUGAUUUGAUGUGACUGCAAAUCAUUAGCUGAUUCCUGUUGUCUCUGUUGACAUUGAGUGUAAACUUAAUUGUGAGCACAAUCUUAAUGCAUAGAUACAAGAUCUUUAAAAAUUAGUAUAAUAAACUUAGCACAAAAUCCAAAUUUGAUAUUUCGGAUUCCAUGAUUAAGAUUUUUUAAAUAAAAAUUUAAUAGAGUUAAUUUAAAAAUAAAAAUUAAAUAUGAAAAAUUAGAUUUGCAAUUAUGGAUUUAAUUUUGAUAAAUAAUGAAUGUUCUCUUUAUAUUUUUUUUUAAAGGUAAAACAGCGUACAAAGCCCAAAUUCAUUUUUUUAGUCCCUUACUCUCCCAUGAUUCAAACUUGGGUGGUUGUAGGGGGACUGAAAAUAUAUAAGACAGUUAACUUCACUUUUUUUUUUUUUUUUUUGAGAGAAAAGAGAAGAAGGAUAUUACAAAGCACGAAGCUCGUGCAAUAUAAGGGCAAUUAUGGUUUUUUCUUUAAAUUAAAAUGGUAAGAUUCUGAAGCUAAAAGAUUAAAAUAUUAAUUAAAUUGCAAACAUUAAAGAUUUUUUUUCCAAAAUUGGUUGCUUUGAAAAUGAGAAUAAUAUAAUGUUUGAAGACUUUUCAAAAUUAAUUACUGUGAUGCACUAGAAAUUUCUAGCUUUAGUCUAAUGUAUAAAUUGACAAAACGUAUUAGAAUCCCAGGUGAAAAGAACCCUCUCACACCAAUUAUUUAAAUUAGGAAUGAUCAUACCUGUGGCUCUGCCGAACUGAGGGCGAGGCCUGAACCCCUCAUCUCGAGACGCUUGAGAUGGGAAGAGCCCACUUUGACUAAUUCAUUACGAAAAUAAUCGACAUCUUGCUCUUGCAAUCCACAUAACUCUAGGUCUUCAAUUCUCUGCAGUUGCACGACUAGCGAAUCCUUCAAGCGAAUCUGGUCAUAUAGCUCGAGUCUGAAUUCACGACCCCAAAUGCCGGUGCUCCCCCAAAACCGACCUCCAAUGCUUAUUCUGUACCUUUCCAGCUUCUCCAAGAACAGGCCUCUGGGCAGAGUGCUGACGUCAUGGGUGUCUAAUUCCAAAGAGGUCAAGUUGGGCAAAUGCUUCAACUCCUCAAGGCUUGCAUUCUUAACCCCUUCCACCUCCACCUCCCAAUUAUGAAAGCUUUUAGGACCUAUAUAUAGUUCUUCUAAAUGGGAUAAUUUUGACAGUAUAUUUGGUGGAAUAACUUCUGGUCCCCAACAAUCCCUCAAAUCAAGCAACUUUAGCCAAGUCAAUUCACCUACUUCUACCGGCAACUUAUUAAUAUAAGAACCUCUUAAGCAAAGGAUUUCUAGUUUCUUCAAGCCUCCUACAACACUUAUAUCGGGCAAGAUGAAGCCGCACAAACUCAGUGUUCGAAGGUUUGACAGGAGACCAAGUGAUGAAGGCAGUGACCGUAGAAACAUGCCAGUCAAGUUGACAACUCUGACCUGCAUCAUCCUCUCGAAAAAGUUGUUUGGAAUUGUUAAUGAUGAAAAUUCCCAACGAUCAGCACGUAUAAAAAGAAGUUCGAGCUGAGGACAUUCCAGUACUUCAGGAAGCAAAUUAUUCUUGAUACCAUGUAAGACGAUUGAAGUGCAAUGCUUUAUUGCACUUCCGUCUGACCAUUCCCUGCAACCAUCAACCUGCUCAUUUGUAGCAGUAAACACAUUUCGUUCAGUAGAUGCAAUUGAUAUGGCGACAUCGCGAACUACAUCAUGCAUAGAAAACAACUCUUUCUUCUGGCUUAUAUGGUCAAGCAACAUACAAGAAGCUUUGAGUGUGCGCACCAAUGUAUGUACUCGAUUUCGUGCUACUUCAAUCUUAUUCACACCUUGAAAUAAACCCAAUCCCAUACCACACAUUAACAAGUCAUCAAUAGAUGUUAUGGCUGUAUAUCCUAUUAGCAAAAAGAUGUUCUUGAGAUCAUCCCUUCCUAGUUUAUUGUAGCUCAACUCGAUAGCAUUAAAUGCGGCUGGCUGUACAUCCUUAAAAUUCGAUGAAGAAGGCCUUCUUAGCUGUUCCAAUGCAUCCUUCCAUUCACGUAUGCUCUUGCUCCUUAAUGCCCUUGCAACCGUCACAAUGGAAACUGGUAGACCUGCACAUUCCUUUGCCACAUCCCUUGCUACCUCUUUCAAUUCAUUAUCUUCAACAUAAUCACCUGCCAUCUUCGUGAAUAGACUCCAAGCUUCAUCUUCUUUUAAAAAUCCAACUGGGAAAUUUUUUCGAGACUCCAUCUCUCCAGACAAUACUUCUUCACUCCUUGCCGUGAACAGCACUUUACAUCCCAUGUGAUCAUCUCCGUGAGGAAUUCCGACAUCCAACAAAUCAAGAUUUUCCCAAAUAUUAUCCAAGAUUACAAGGAUCCUCUUCUCUUUCUUCAGUCGAUCAUAGAGUCUUCUUGCCCUACCCGAUUCACUCUCCUCAUCAAAUUUUAGACCUAGUUUAUCCGCCAUUUCUCCUUGAAUCUUUCUUACGUCUCGACUCUCAGACACCUCAGAAAAAACCACCUGAUCGAAAAGUUUGUCACACUCUGCUUUUCUAGCAACUUCUUUAGCUAGCGUCGUCUUUCCGAUUCCGCCCAUUCCAUAAAUCAAAAGCAUGUUGACAUUGGGAUUUUUUAAUGCAUCAAUUAUUUCAUUCAGAAUGGACGUUCUUGAUUCAAAGGCCUCGAAGUCUUUGUUAGGCAUAAGCAAGGUAUCCUCCGGAAUGAUGCUGUAGGAAAUACUAUUAACUGGUCUAGCGUCCAGGACUUUGACAACAGCCUCCUUCUGCCUCUCUGCUUCCUUGCUAAGUCGAGGGCGGGUCUUCAAAUUAGGACAUAACCCCUUGAAACAACGCUUAUUUGCAGUGGCUUCAUCUUCUGUAAAUUUAUCUGCCUCUUCAAUGACACUGUUGGCCGUUGCAAGCCAAUUCUCAACGUUCUCUUCAAUCUCUUCUCCUUUUCUUUUAGCCUCAUCAACCUGGUGCUCUGUAUUCACCCUCUCAGACUUUAGUUUCACAACUUCAGUGUUGAGAUUCUGUAAGUUGCUCGUGUACUUACUCUCACGCAAAUAGCUAAUUUGGCGAUAUGCGUGAGGAGCCAAGCACUUUGCAACUUCUGAAGCAAUAGUAAGAAUGAUUUCAGCCAUCUUCAGUCCUUUGUCCUUGUCUCUCUAUCUCUCUUUUUCUGAAUUUUGGAAAAACAAUUCAACCAAGUGACCACAACAAGAUGGAACAAAAUAAAAAGGAAAAAAAAUACAAAGAGUGGAUGGAGAAUAAAACAGAGACAGCGGCACAGCUAGACACAACUAGAUAGAGAACAGAGGAAAACCAAAUAACAAGACUUAAGAUUACAACAAACAGAGGCCAAGUAUUGUUGAGAUCAGAAGAUGGAAAAUUCAAAAGAGUUGAUGGCAGAUGCUGAAUAACAGAACAACAAUGAACGCAAUAAACAGAAGCAAAGUGUGUUUGUGAUCGACAGACGGAAGUAAGGAAAAGCGGUUGUUGAUUGAAAAUGAAUGAAUGCAAAGAAAGACUGAUGUUAAAAAUUGAUGUCAAUAGCGAAGGAAUAAUUGAACUUUCGCUGAAUUAUUGUUUGUGGCUUCUUUUACUGUUUAUUUGUGGGUCAUGUCUUUUGGAACUAAUCUUGUCCAAAAAAUGUUGUUUAUUUGUGGGUCAUGUUAUUCAGCAUCUGCCAUCAACUCUUUUGUUUAUUUAUUCAAAAAAUAAAUUGUAAUUAUUUGUUAAUGUAUGCGAUUACUUGUGAUGGUAAACAAAGUAGAUAUGGUAUAUUUUGAAGUUAAAUUAAAAAAAAAAAAACCAGAGCUUUUACCAUUACUUGUCUUAUCAUCUUUUAAAUUAGAGUUAUUAUUCUUUUAUUUUUCAAGUUGCCAACUCAUCCGCAUUCUCUUUUAUUGAAUUUAAAGAUCAGUGAUUAUAAAUUUGUGUAAAAAUUUUAAGUCAAAACUUUAAAUUAAAAUAAUCUCUAAGUUAUAGGGAAAUAAUAACUUAGUAUAACAAAUAUUAUUUCCUAUACUUUAUUGAUACAAAAUUACAAAAUCUUAUAGUUUCAAAAAUAAAAAUUACGAAACCUUAUAUUAUAUUAUGUUUCCCUAUUUCCCCUUUAUAGUGAAGACUCAUACUUCUUCUCUAAUAAAUGCUAAAGUAUUGGCUUAAUUUUUUUAACCAGCAUAGUAGACCCUUAAGCUAUAUAUACUAUAAUGUCCCUCUUCUCUCACAGAUUAAACCAAUCUGAUCUCAGAGUGAGUUGAUAUCAUGACUUUGCAUCAUUCGUGAUCAAAGGAGUAUCAUUACUAACUAAUAUAGGCUCCAUCAAUAGGCAUGAUAAUAAUUUUUUUUUAUCUACAAACAUUGUUUUUCAAAAUAUUAUAUCUUAAGACUUAACUAAAUAUUUUUUUAACUAUGUAGAUAUAGUUUGUUUGAUCUCUUUUAAAUAGUGGAGAUUACAAACAAACAUAUGCGAAUUAGUAGUGAUGUUGAGUACAGAAGCUUGAAGUUAAAAAAAUUAAGGGUUUCUUGAUCUAGAGAGAUUUCAAAUGAGUGAAGCGUCCUCGAAAUCGGAAGACGAAAAUAAGGAAAGGGUAAGGGUGUAUUUUCAAAAUGAUUCUAUUAGGAGAUCUUUGAAGUAGGGGCGGGCAAGUCGGGUUUCGGUUCGAGUUGUUCAAGUUUCGGUUUGGGUUUCAACCUAAUCAGGUUUGAGAAUUAAACCCAAUCGGGUUGAAAACGCCAACCCAAACUAAACCGAACCGAAUUUAAUUUAGUUCGGGUUCAUAAUUCGGAUCGGACUGGGUUGAUAACUCAUGUUAAAAUUUCGGUUCGGGUUAAUUUGGGUUAGAAUAAUUCAAUCUAAAAUUUUGGGUUAGUUUGGUUUAAAACGGGUUGGAACAAUUUAAUCCAAAAAUUCUACCAACAACCACUUAAAAUCCAAAAAUCUCAAUUCCAAACAUCCUUAACAACAAAUAUUAACUACAAACCAUCCUUGACAACAUUUCAACAAUAACAAUAACAAUAAUAACAACAACAAUAAUGAUAAUAAUAACAACAACUAUGAAUCAGCAAUUCAGCAUAUUGCCAUAUUCUAAAUUUUAAAAAACACACAAAUUAUUUAAUUAAUUAAUUAAUUAACAAUCUCCAAUUUAAUUUAUAAUAACAGCAAAAAUCCUCUCCAAUUUAAUUAAUAACAGUCUCCAAUUGUUCAAUUAUCAGUCAACAGCAACAAAUCCACUCCAAUUGUUCAAUGAACAGAUGUGGAUUAGUAGAGUUGUUGAGUUCAGAAGAUUGAAGUUAACAAAGGGUUUCUUGAUCUAGAGAAAAUUCGAAAGAGCGAAGUGUCUUCGAGAUCAAAAGACAAAAUAAGGAAAGGGUAAGGUUAUACUUUGAAAAUGAAUCUGUUGAGAGAUCUUUGAAGAUUACUUCCGUUAAGAGCUGGAUCCCACACUUGAGUCUUCGUCGUCUCAGUCAGUCAGCUGUAAAGUCAGUCAGCUAUAAAGACAAAUUAAUUUUGAGUGUGAAAGGACACAAUUGAUCACCAAAUUUUCAAACUCGGGAUCCUUAUUGAAUCUACAUUCCCAUUUGAAAAAUAAUAAAAGAUUAACAUUAAUUUAACUUCAUCUAGAUUCCCAUUUGAAUCUGCAUUCCCAUUCCCUUGUUCUCUGGGAAUGCACAUAAUCAAACAAAAUCCUAUCCGCAUUUUCAAACUCGUGACCCUUCAAUCUUUCUAUGACAACUAUAAUGAAUGAUUACAACAAUGCUACCUAAUAGUGAGCAACUUGUUUGAUGAAAUUAACAGCUUCUUUUCUCUCAUGUAUUUUUUAAAAAUUAAAUUACCAAAGUUUUUAUUUCAAAAUUAGUGCUAUAGUUCAUUAAUUUUUCAAAAUUUCCUUUUUCUUUCCACACAACAAAUUGAUUUGCCCUCCAAAAAAUGUAUUAUAUUGUUUAUAUUGUAACUUCAAGAAACUUAUAAUAAAAUUUUAAUGAGAUAAAUAGAGAAUGUCAGUCUCCCAUCUACUCAAAAUUAAUAUAUAUCAUUAACUCUUGAUUAUUUUUAUAAUAACUAAUAACUUUCUUGGCAGCAUAAUUUUACAGUAUCAUCCUUGUUUGUAAGUAUAUUUUUAUUUAUAUUUAUUAUAAAUUAAUUAAAUCAUAUCAAUGAAAAUUGAAAUAAAAAUUGAAGCACUAAAAAUUAAAAAAAUAUGUUUUGGUGUGAAUAAAAAAUUGAAAAUAAAAAUAUUUUUCUUAUAUUUUUAAAUUUUUUUCUUGUAGUAAAUGCAUAUUUUAUAUGCUCAACUUUUUCUUUAAAUUUUUGUUAUUAGGAGGAAUUUUAGAUAUAAUGAAAAUUGUAAGGUAGUAAGUAAUAUAUAAUAAUUUUAAUAGAAAAAAGUAAAAAUUCUCUUAUUUUAAAAUAUAAGGAGAAAAAAUAAUUAAUUUCAAGACAUUUUAGAAGGUAUUUCAAUAUGCGGUGGACCACAAACUCGAGUCUUUGUCAUCUCAGUCAACUAAAAAGACAGAAUAUUGAGGGCAUGGCUAAGGUGCAGAAGCUGCAAGUAACAGCUUCGAACUUUCCCAUUUCCAUCACCUUGCAUUGGGACCUCCUCUAGCACCCGUGGAAGUUCCCCAUUGGCUACUGUUACUUACAAAAGCUCUAACAUAGACUUCUUCGAAUAUUGAGCGCGAAGGGCUCAAGUGAUUGUUAAUUUCACGGCAAUCGCCUUUUUUUUUUUUUUAAUUAUUGGGAAAUAAUAACUUAGUAUAACAAAUAUUAUAUCCUAUACUUUAUUGCUACAAAAUUACGAAACCUUAUAUUAUAUUAUGUUUCCAUAUUUCUCCUUUAUAGUGAAGACUCAUACUUCUUCUCUACUAAAUGCUAAAGAAUUGGCUUAAACUUUUUAACCAGCAGUAGACCCUUAAGCUAUAUAUACUAUAAUGUCCACUACAAGAAAUCUGACUUUCUAAGACAAAUGUUUUUAUGACAUUUGUAGAUUUUGUCAUAAAAUAAUACUUAUUGUGAUGAUCUUUUAAAAUUGUAGCAAAUAAUCUCGUCCUGGCUCAUGUUAUAUUUUGUAACGAAUAAUAUUCAUUUUAUGACCCAAUAAUUGGUCACUUAAUCAAAUGUUUUGCGACAAAUAUAAAAUUAGCCACAAAAGGACGUACUUUUUUUUAGCACAAAAAAUUCCCUCCAAAAUUGAUCAUUUUUUUUACAAAAUAUCAUCUUUUAUGACAGAAAAUAUGGUAGCGAAAUGUAAUUAUAAGUGACAUAAUUAUUUCGUAACUAAAAGAGGGAUGUAAAAUUGAUCAAACCAUUUGUGACAAAAAAUAUUAGUCUCCAAACCUGAUAUGGUUUUGAUUAAUUUUUAAGACCCUAUUUUUUUUAUCACAGAUAAUUACCGAUUGUGACAAAACUAAAAAAUAAUAGUUUAAAAAUUUUUUCUUGAGUAAUUUUAUAUUUCAUGACCUUUUUUUUUUCAGAGACACUUUAUUUAGUAUUUGAUUCAUAUUUUUUUGGCAAACUUUACAACAAUGACAAAAAACAGAGAAUAAUAAUCAAUAUUUUUAAAUUAUAUUAUAUUUUGUGACCAACAAAUUUUUUAUAUGUAUUUUAUUAAAUAAUUGAUAAGAUAAAAUGUCAAUAAUUUUAUUAAAUAUCAAGAAAAAAGGUAUUUAACUGAUAGGUAUUUUAUUAAAUAAUACAUUUUUCUUUAAAUUUAAUUACGCACAUUAUUUUUUAUCAUGUAGCUUCAUACAAAUUUUGUUUAACUAUGUUAGAUUAAUAAAAAUUAAAAUAAUAGCCUUAAAAUAAUUAACUUAGAUUAUUAAAAAAUGAUAAUAGACUUUUUUUAAACCAAUAAUAACAAACUUAUUAUAGCUUCUUUUUUAUUUUUUUAAAAGAAUCCUAUAAUAAUUAAUUAUGUUGGAUUUACAGAAAGAAUACAUAUUAAAUUGGGUAAAAAUUAAAAUAAAAGAAUAACUAAACUUAAAUAGAACAUAAGUUUCUCUAAUGAAAUCGUGAAAUACAAAUAAAUCCCCUCCCACUGAUUCCCUGGCCAAUUUUGUUGUUAUCCAAACAAAACCAUUUAAUUUCCCCCCACUCUCUCCCAGGCCACUUCACUUUAAUUGGUUUUGUAUUAAAAAACUACCCAUCUUUAUCUUUUGUAAUCCUUUCCAAUUUAUGCGUGUGUGUGUGAAUGAUGAUAACAGAACAAAAACGCAUGGCUAUGGAGGCCACCUCACUUUGCCGCCGCCCAAAAGCACGCCACCCUCACCAGUCCACUCAUGCAUGCCAAAAUCAGCCACUCAGCAAAAUUCACUCUCAUCUCUCGUUCUACUUCGAAAUUGUGAGUAUAUAUAAACUCAGCCAAUUUAAUUUUGAUUAGUUUUGUUGUGAUUGGAUUAUGUGAAAUUCAUAUUUUUGUGUUUGGUAAAAUUAGGGAUUGAAAUUCUUAGAUCUAUUAUUUGAAUAUUUUUAUGCUUAUCAGGUGCUUGAUAAAAUUCCUAAGAGAAUCUAGUAAAAGAAAAACAUAAAAUAUAUGCAAAUAAAUGAAGGAAUUUGAAGCAAAGUUUAGUAGGUUUGGAGAAACUUUUGCAAAAUUAGGAUAUUAAGAUGAAUUUGUUUUUCAAUUUGAGCAGUGGGUUUAGGCGUGCUGAUAUCAGAUUUUUUUUUCCCUAAUAUUCUUUCAUAAGAACUUUCGAAAAUGGGAUCUUUCUAAUUUUUGUUCACUUCAACUUGGUAUGUAAUUAAUCAUCUUUCUUUAUUUUUUUAAAGAUAAUUAUAGCUAGUAUUAAUAUAGUAAAAAGAGUUAAUAAGUUAUUCGAGUCCAGCCGAUAUAAUAAUAAGUUAAGCUACAAACUUUUAAUUAUAAAACACAUGUGUUGGUUGGAAGGACGAUUUUGAAGCUUGGGUUGCUAAAGUUUGCUGAAAAUAUUGUUGGAUUUGCUAGGAAGUGUAGAUGAAGUGACUAAAUAAAGGUCAAAAAGCUUCUUUUUUUCCCCAAGUGGUCGUUGUAUGUUUAGUCAAAAUUAAUAUGCUUAUCUUCUUUUGUAUUGGGAUAACAAAAAAGUAUGGAGAGAGUUUCCUCGAUUUAAGAAAAUGUAUUAGAGUGAGCGAAAAAGGUUCAAGUAGUCUCCAUACAAAAUCUAAAUGUGUAACCUAUCUUAUUUUUAUUUUUUGACUUAAUCUUUUAUUUAUUUCAACUUUAUAUUUAUUGUACUGUAAAUGUUGAUUUAUUGACUGCUUAAUAAUUUAAUUUCGUUCAAGUUUGACACCAACUGUUUAAUCGAUUAAGUUCAGAGCUUUGGAUGUAAAAUUUGUGCAAGUGAAUCAAGGUUGAUUAUGUGCUUGUAAUCUUUUGAUUAUAUUGUUAAUUUGAAGUAAUAAUGAAAGCAAGUAUGUGCUUGUAAUCUCCUGUCUUUCAUUUAGAAUUUUUUCCAUUUUUUUAUUGGAUGAAAGAAUUGAUUGCGGAUAUGUUUCAUUGAGAAUUUAAUUAAUUUUGCAUUCUUACCUAAAUAUUUUUAUUUAUAGCUAUUUGCCUUGCUAUUUACUAUUCUUUCAUUUUGGCAAUAAGAUUUUCUUUUAUAAGAUUAUUCUCCUAUACCAAUUAAGUGUUUUCUCAAGUUUUUUAUUAUUAAUAUUAUUUUUUUAAUCAUGCAAAGACAAAUGAUAGAUAGAGAAAAAUGAUGUACCAAUAAUAGAUGAUCAAAUUGUGAAAUACUUUUGGAAAAAUCUUUAAUUUUAUAAAGAUAAAAAAAUGACAGGUACCUUCAAAGUCAUCUUCUACUACAACAUUGUCUUAGCACAACAAGGAUCAAAAGUUAAAAUCAAGGAAGAAGAUAGCAAAUUUAAGGAAGUUGAAGCAUUCAUGAAACAACAACAUGUUGUUUACUUAAUUGUGCUUGUGUGUAAUGUUACUUUUAUUUUUCUUCUAUGAUGUAAUCUUAUUUUUAGACUAUUGAUUUUUUGCCUUUUUGAUUUUAGAUUUCUUUGUAAUGAAUUAUAUUUAUGUUAAUAAUAUUUUUCACUUCAAAGUUCUUUUGUCAUUAAAUUUUGAAUUCUAUGACUACAUAUUGUUAUUAAAAUUUAUGUGAGACUAUAAAAAUUGUCCUUAAAAUAAAUUUGUGACUAAAUUAAUUACCAAUUGUAUUUGUAAAAAUUGUCACAAAUGAUAACUACUUGAGACGAUUGUGUAAUGUCGCGAUAUGUAAAUUGUCAACGAUUGGUAAUUGUAUCAUUGAACCUCUAAAAUAACAAUUUUUAGUAAUUAUCGAGACUAUAUUUACAUACUCUUGAGACAAAUAUUAUAGUCAUUCUAAAUCACCUAUUGAGACAAAUGUUUUAGUCACUAUAAAUCACCUAUUGAGACAAAUAUUAUAGUCACUGUAAAUCACAUAUUGUGACAAAUAUGAAGUGUCAUUGAUUGCAUUUUUGAAUCUCUAAUUUGACCAUUUUGAACACUAUUUGUGACAAUUUUAACUUAAUUUUAAGACAAUGGUCUUUGUCACAAAACAUAUUUUUAACAUGACGAAAAUAAUUAUGGUCGCUAAAACCUUUUAAGACGGUCUUUCCGCGACUAACGUGUGACGAUUUAUUUAUCAUCAUAGAAAAUAUAAGGUGACUAAUAUGUUAUCUUUAGUGACUAAAUUUUUUGUAAUAAAAUAUCAUUUUUCUUGUAGUGGUCCCUCUUCCCUCACAGAUUAAACCAAUCUAUCUCAGAGUAAGUUUGCAUCAAAGGAGUAUCCUUACUAACUAAUAUAGGCUUGAUCAAUAGGGAUGACAAUAAUUUUUUUAUCUACGAACAUUAUUUUUUCAAAAUAUUAUAUCUUUAGACUUAACUAAAUAUUUUUUAACUAUAUAUGUAUAGUUUGAUUAAAUGGUGGAGAUUACAACAAAACAGAUGUGAAUUAGUAGUGAUGUUAAGUUCUAGAUCAAGACGAAAAUAAGGAAAAGGUAAGGGUGUAUUUUCAAAAUGAUUCUAUUGAAAGAUCUUUGAAAAUUACUUUCGUUAAGAGGUGGAUUCCACACUCUUGAGCCUUUGUCGUCCCAGUCAACUAUAAAGACACAUUAUUAUUGAGUGUGAACAUUCGAACUUAUAGAUCAUCAAAUUUUCAAACUUGUGAUCUUCGUUAAAUCUGCAAACCCUUUUUUUUUUAAAAAAGAAAAAGAAAACUGCAAAUAAUGAAACAAAAUUCUCUUCCUUGAUAGACUUACGCGGCUUGAACUUGCAAGUGCUGUCGGCAUUUUCAAACUUGUAAGACCCUUCAACUUGCUUUCCAAGAUAGCUAUAAUUAAUAAUGACAACCGAAGACGGCUACGUUUGCGGUACAAAAGUUGCACCAUAUCAGACGUUCUUUUUUGUUCUUAUCCGAAGGAACCGUUGGAUUCAAAGGAAAGUGAUCGGACAUUCAAUAGCUUCACACGUGGACAUUAUAGGAUACCGGUCAAAUCGGUUAGUGCUCCUCCACAUCAAACUCACAAGCAUGGCUAUCAUCGUAUCAGCUUGGAAACUUGUUACAAGUAACGAAGAGCAACAGAGUCCGCUCCUUUAGAGUCGGCAACAGAGUUUUAAUUAACGGCAUCUUCUCUCACAUUUUUUUUUAAAAAAAAUUGAAUUAUAUAACCCACCAAAACUAUAAAGAAUUGUUAGUUUUUCUUCAUUAAAAUUAAUAUAUUGCUCCUCAUAUUAAAAAAUCAAAAUUCAGAAUAAGAAUAAUUGAUACUGUUUAUUUACUAAAAUGAAAAUGAGAAUAAAAAUAAAAUAUAUGGAGCCUAUAUAUUUUUUAAAUUAAAAAAUAAGAACUUUUCAUGAGGAGUGUUGGGAAUCAAGUUCUUAUUAUUUAAACUCUCAAUUGUACCUUACCAAAAUUUCAUAAUUUCACUUUUGUUCUCAAUUAAAAUAUUAUUACAGUUAUUAUUCUUAUUUUUGUAGUUGUUGUUGUUGAUGAUGAUGAUUAUGAUGAUACAUGAUAAUAAAAUUAAUGAUAAUAAUAAUGAUAAUGAUAAUAAUAAUAAUGAUAUGAUAAUGAUGAUAAUAAUUUGAACAACAACAACAAUAAAUAAUAAUAAUAAUAAUGAAAAUAAUAACUAUAAUUUUAACAACAAUAAUAAUCAUUAAUAUUAUUAUUGUUAAAAUUAUUAUUAUUAUUAUUAUUAGAUAAUUAUUUUGAAUAAUAAUAAUCACAAGUCUAUUCUGAUUCCAGUUUAUUCCGAUUAUCGAUUAGAAAAUGUGUCAUUACUGUUUUAAUAAUAACUAAUAAUUCUCUUGACAUCAUAAUCGUAAUUCUUAUAGUAUUAUCCUUAUUUUAAAAUACACUACCAUGAGCUUGCAUCAUUUGAAAUGGUAGGUACUAGGUAGCAAUUGCUUACAUCAAAAUAUCUAGACUCACUCGGCAAAGUAUCCGAGGCCAAAACGCCAAAAGAUGGGACACCCACAUGUGCAUCUAAUUACAAAAUCCAAAGUUAAUGAAAAAGAAAAAAGAAAAAGUAUAAAUGAACGGUAUUGGCUGUAGGACAAGGGGAGGGGAAAAAGGACCAUUUUGUUUUCUUUGCUAAUUCACAAGGGGAAGGGAAAAAAAAGAAAAAGACAGUUUUGAUUAAAAAACACAGAAUAUUCAAUUCACAAGCCACCAAUGCUUGUGGACCAAUGGUCGAUAUAUGAAAGUUAGAGAUUCUGGAAAAAUGAGCAAAUAUUUUGAGUUGAUUAAUGGAUUUGUUUGUAAUGCAAUACAAGAUAGCAUUUUAAAGCUGGCAAGAAAGAAAGAAAUAAGUCAAUAAUUGAGAUAUUUAAAGAAGCUCAAGUGGUCAUGAAAUCUCUCCUUAAAAACUAUACAAGAUAAUGUUAAUGAUAAAGUUAGCCAACCAAGUCGUUCAAUCAUUGCUGGAAGCAAGCAGCCAUUGAAGUUGAUAGAAGCUAAUGCAUGAAAAAAGGUUCGUUACAUGAAGGAGAUAAUGAGAAAAUUGAUGAACACCUAUCAUCCAUGUUUUGUUUCAAUCAAAAGGUUUGAGUUUUAAGGCCGAUAUUUUGGACUGAAUCCCCCUGUCUGCUUCCAAAGGGGAGGAUGUGCAUGUAGUUGAUUGGGCCGAUGAUUAUGAUGGGUGGGAACUUUUAGCAUCUCAUGAAAGAGGAUGUGUAUGUUAUCGGUUGUAGGUACGGCAACAAAUUUUAUAUCCACAAACAAUAUUUUUCAAUAUAGUAUCUUAGGACUUAACUUAGCAUUUUUUAACCAUAUAUGUAUGGGAGCCCCUAUGUUACAUUAAAUGUACCAUACACAACUCACAAGAACCACACAAAUUGUGGGACCCACAUAAUUGUGUGGUUCUUAUCAGUUGUGUAUGGUACAUUCAAUGUAACAUAGCAAAAUCCUAUAUGUAUAGGUUGUUUGACCUCCUUUAAAUAGUGGAGAUUACAACAAAUGAACAGAUGCGGAUUAGUAGAGUUGUUGAGUUCAGAAGAUUGAAGUUAACAAAGAGUUCCUUGAUCUAGAGAAAAUUCGAAAGAGCGAAGUGUCUUCGAGAUCAAAAGACGAAAUAAGAAAAGGGUAAGGUUAUACUUUCAAAAUGAAUCUGUUGAUAGAUCUUUGAAGAUUACUUUCGUUAAGAGCUGGAUCCCACACUUGAGUCUUCGUCGUCUCAGUCAGUCAGCUAUAAAGACAAAUUAAUUUUGAGCGUGAAAGGACACAAUUCGACAGAUUUUACGCAAAUUUGUUUUGUUCUCAAAAUAGUCUGCUGCUCCCGGAUUGUCCUCAUCAUAUUGAACGAAUGAUGACGACGCUCUGUCCGUUUCUGGCUCUCUGCUUUUCACAUCACCAGACACCUCGUUUCUAACUGGGGUGCCACCAUCAUAUUUAACUGUUAUUGGUAACUCAAUAGCUAAUUCCAAUGUUUCAUCAAGCAGUUUAGAGAUAACCUCUCUCGCUGAACUCCCUGGAGUAACACAAUCCAGUUUUCUAGUGCAAUCAUCAAACAGUUGAACAGCUUCUGAAUUCCCUGGGGAUUGAUUACUAAUGAUAAAGACAACAUACGGUAGAGGACACAAAUUGUUAUUAAACAAUGGUGCACUUUUCAUUUUUCAACUGAGUACAGUAAAGCAAGAAUGGGUAAUUAGUUUUACCUGCUAAGCGAAAAUCUAGACUCCCGAAGGUAACCGAUCUUGGGUGAAGCAAAUAAAGAAGAAGGCGAAGUAAAAUUCACUGAGUUGAAUGAGCGAUCAUUGCGUAUGGACUUGAUUUGUUCAAUGGGUGAAAGACUGCUGAUAUAAUUAAAGACAGGAGAAUCCUGCAUGUUGACAAGCAUCAUUUUUAAUCAGCAUAGAGUCUUAAAAACCUAGUCAGUGGCAAAUGAUCAUGACAAGAAAUCUGAAGUAGAAACAGCAGAGCUCAACAAAUCACUAAGAGAAAAUAAGACCAAUAACCAAACAGAUGAAAGAAAAGCAAAAUAACCCAUCUCAAAUCACCACAUGCACAAUUUAAGGGGGUUGUGACAUGGGUUUAAACAUGACUUAACAAGUGCCACCAGUGAAUUCUCAGAGAUUGAAUUUUCAUACACAUGUCAAAUUUUCAAAUCCAACAAAUUGUUAUCUUUCUGAAGAUAUUAACUAUGCAUAGCAUGCUAUAAACGAAUCAUAUUAUUAGGGCCUUUGUUUGCUGUACACAGCAUAUGUACAGAGGAACAAAUCCAUGAGCUGAAAUCAUCAUAUUCCAAAAUAUUCUACCAAAUCAACACUACAAAAACCUAACGCUAAACAGAAUUGGAGCAAUUUACGAAAGCUAUUUGUCACACAAAGCACUAGUACCUCAGAACACAAUUUGCAAAAAAAGCAACAAAAAUGAAAAAUAACAAAUGCCCAGAUGAAAAAUCUGGCAACAAAAUGCUCAAAUCCAAACUACAACCGUCCACCUGCUUGUUUUGCCUUUUUUAAAAAUACACAAACACUUUUUUUUUCAGCACGCCACUUGAAGUUUACUUUUUGUUGCAUUCGUCCACUUCCGUUUAAUUUCCGUUAGUGAAUUUAACGGAAUGACCUUUUUACCCAUUAAAAUUAAAAUUUAACCCAAAAUAAAUAGAAAUUAGAGAUAAAUUGGAUGGAUUUAAUUUUUUUGAAAGGUGGAUGCUAGAAAUUGGAGGAAAAUAGUGUUUGUUUGUUACUAAAUUUAGAAAAUUUGUAUUUAUUUUUUUGGAGAAAAAUAGUGUUUAUUGCUUGCUAAAUUUAAAAAAUUUGUAUUUAUUUUUUUGUCUUUCAAAAAAUAAAUACAAAUUUUCUAAAUUUAGCAAGCAACAAACACUAUUUUCCUCCAAUUUCUAGCAUCCACCUUUGAAAAAAAUUAAAUUCAUCCAAUUUAUCUCUAAUUUCUAUUUAUUUUGGGUUAAAUUGUAAUUUUGAGGGGUAAAAAGGUCAUUUCAUUAACAUUCCGUUAAAUCCACUAACGGAAAUUAGACGGAAGUGGAUGAAUGCAACAAAAAACAAACUCAGGUGGCGCACUGAAAAAAAAAAAAAAGUGUUUGUAUAUUUUUGAAAAAGACAAAACAAACAAGUGGACGAAUGUAAAUUUCCCUAUUCCAAAAUAUUCUACCAAAUCAACACUACAAAAACCUAACGCUAAACAGAAUUGGAGCAAUUUACGAAAGCUAUUUGUCACACAAAGCACUAGUACCUCAGAACCCAAUUUGCAAAAAAGCAACAAAAAUGAAAAAUAACAAAUGCCCAGAUGAAAAAUCUGGCAAAAAAGUACUCAAAUCCAAACUACAACCCCAUAAGCUGAGUCGUUCUCUUCAAACUGAAUUAAAAAAAUUAAAAUGGGGAGAUCGACCUCAAACUUGGAAACAGAAGCGACAGCGAUCUGUUUCUUGUCUGGAGUGUCCAUUUCUAUAAUCUACUUUGUCCGUUUUCACUUUUCAGUCGCUCCACCACAAAGCCUCUUCACUCUGAAGCUGAAACUCACCACACACUUGCAAAACGAAAGCAUUUGAUUGAUUGAGAGGCGGGAAGGCGGGAAAACGAGAGAAAUUUGCUUCUUUUUUUUUUUAUUCGUUUGGUCAUACUCAUACAUGCACGGGCCCCAGCUUUACAAGCGUUAUUAUUACUAUUUGCAUUAUUUGAAGGACGCGUGUGCUAGGAUUAUACAAAGUUAUCUAAAAGUGUAAAGAGUAAAGUAUUGUUCUAAUUAAUUUUAAAAAAUAUUUUAUUAUUAACGUUUAAUGCAACAUGGCAAUUUUUUUUUCCUUGGCAACAAAGCAUUGUUCCAAAUAAUUAUUAUUGGAUCCAGAUCCUGUCCUAGGCAUUUUCUCUAUUAGUACUCCUAAACUUUUAGGGUAUGUUUGGCAUGUAGGAUUUGAUUGGACUAACUAUUAGGAUUGGACUAAAUUAGAAUGCAUUAGAUUGGAUUGGAUUAGAUUAUGUUAAAUUAAAUUUACAUGAAAUUAAAUAGUAUUUAUAUUAAUAUUUGAAUUUAAAUAUAAACUAUUUAUAGAUAUUUAAAUAAUACGGUUAUAGUAAGCACCACAGAAUACAAAGACACUUGGCAAAAGGAAGUCAAUCAAAUUCGAUGGCACAAAAUGAAACUAAUAAUGGCGAAAAUAAGAAAUUUUUCUUACUGGAGCAGUGAACCUUACCCUUCUCUGUAGUAGUCUUCUGGUGAAGUGAGUGCCAGAUCUGCAAAGCAAGAGAAAUCAGCAUCUGGAGUAUACAAAAGAUUAUCUAACCCCAGAGCUUGCCUCAAUUGCCUACAUGUUCAAAACAAGGACCUGUUAAAAAAUGGAAAUCUCUUCAAUGCAUUAGUAAAGGGAAGUGAAGUGAAGUGAAAGCUGAUUUCUUAGGCCUUUAAAGAGCAUCUUGUGUUUGAAUUCCUAUAACCUCACGAAAGAUUAGAGCAUCACCUUGACCGCUCUAGGUCUUGCAACUCAGUAACCCAACCAUUGUAUCUAAGCUGCACUGUCACAACAGGCAAUCCAACUAGCUCAUAAAUAUUGUUGAAAAAUUUAAUUUCCCUCCACGAUGAUGGAAGUAAUCGUUUAAAUCCAGGGACAUCACAUGCUGCCAUUAAAUAAGAAGUUGUAGGAAGUUGAAUAAAGGUAAAACAUUCACCUAAAUGAUUCAGGAGAACAAAAAAGCAGAAGUAGGAAUAAAUAAGGAAGAUUUAACGACAAACCAGCAACUUAUGCACCAGCUUGCAGAACCUUCUUGUCAGUGCCUGAAAUAGAACCAGAACUUCUAAAGACCAUAAGCAUUAAAUAAUAAACGCAAAGUACCUGCUUCUAAUAGAUGAUAUAAACAACUGAUUUACAAAUGUCUGGUCAUUGCAUUACCUCCAUCAGAGAGAAUAUCAAUAGACGAGUACAGAAAUAAAUAACUAAACUAGCUUUUGCCGCCUAAUUAGAGCCAUGUGAGAAACAAUUUACCUUAGACAUGGCAAGUCCUUUGACAUAUGUUUCUCCAUUAGCAGAUUUAUCAUAAAGUAUCUCUCUGCAUCCCCACCUAAGAUGGAACCUGUUCUAGCAAAAACAGACCCCGAGGUUAGGAAAAUCAGUAGGAGAAAACAAACAAGAGUAACAAAUCACCGCAAUGAUGUGAACCUCUAAAUACAAAUUCACCUGCCCUCUUUAUCUGUGAUUUAUCUUCUUAUGGGCCCACUCAAAUAAACGUCUGGAGAACCCUUGAGCAUCCGCAAUAGGGAAGCCUCAGUCUUAGUUGUAAACUGUGCGAAUAUAGUGAGCAUACAACGAGCACUGAUGUUAUCACGAUCAAUGAACCCAAGGGCAUAAGCAACAGGACCCCACAUUCUCAGAAUACUCGUCCGUGUACCACCUUUGGACAAAAACCAAUCAGAGAAGCUUAUCUGUAAGAAGAAAUGAAGUUUUAGGUAAGAUAACAAUUUGUAGGAGCAAGGAUCGAUAUUAAAACAAACUAGAAAAUAAGAUGUCAUUCUUACACUAUCCAAAUCUCGUAUGUCCUUCAAGGCUCCACCAGGAUCAACGAAUGCCUUUACAACAGGACUCAGAGCAAGAGCAAGAGCAUUUCUUGCUUUAUCAUAAGUCUGCACUUGAGCAAUACAUGAGGCAAAGUAUAUCAAAAGAGAAUCCAAAAGAGGCAAGAACUUUCAACAUGAAAGAAGAAAUACUGUCUUAUCAUACUGCUAACUAAUCAGAGUGCAAAAGAUUACAUCGACAUAAUCAAAAUGGAACAUAAAUCCAUAUGCACCACCUUAAGCUAAUUUGUAGACAAAAAUGCGUGAAUCCCAUGUAAGGGAGCUCCGACUGGAAACCGGAAAUCAAGUUCUGGAGUUAAAAAUCAAAAUCAUAAACUGUAUCAGAGAUAUUAUUGGACUAGACAAUCCAUAAACCAAUUUCAGAGUGUUCAACCACCAAACAUAACUAUCAGUAGUCUUAAGUGAUCAAGAAAUAACCAUACCACCAAUUUCAUCACGCUUAUUCACAAAUGUAUGAGUAUGAUCCUUCAUGAGUGAAUUUUUGUCCGCAUCGACCCGUAGACAUCCAUGAAAAACUAUCAGAUUAUAAACACAGGGUCGAUUUAAAGAGGAGCUAUGAUUCUGAUCCAUCAUUAUAUUUGAAGAACAUAUUCAUAUUUUCUUACGAGUAAACUAUAACCAGUUAUCAUCACUAUAGAUGGCAUGGUCAAGAGGAAUUAUAGUUCUUGUUUCAAGAAUCUCGAAUUGGCUAGUCUGCUUUUAUAAUCAUUCAAACACACGUAUCCACAACUACGCAAGCUUUACCUUUUUCAUCAAUCGGAACAGAUUAUUGUAGCAUCCAAAGAAAAUGUGCAGGCCGAUUUCAGUAUGGUUUCCAUGUUUAUCGAUAAAUGAACCCACUUUACCACCAAUGAAAGACCUUGAUUCAUCUAUAUCCACCUGGAAGAACAAGGGAAAAAAGAAAAAAUCUUCUAAUUUCUUUCACCAUCAACAAAAUCAGUAAAACACAUACUAAUUCAAAAUGAAAUAAACUUUGUGAAUUGAAAUAAUGCCUGCUCUAAAGAAAAUGAUAACUGCUAUUCAUUUUUCUGAACUGCUAAAAAAAAUAAAAGCUUCUGCUAUUUACUUCGAAAAAAUUGAGUAACUUCAAAUUUUGAGUUUAGGCAAGAGGAUGAAUGGUAAAAAUGAGACAUUUUAGGGGAAAAGAAAAUACUUGAGAGGCCAAUGAAACAUUCAAAAGAUUGAAAUCUAAAUGAGAAAAGCCUCAUGGCCUUGAUCCAACAAUUCCACUGUUGUUGACAUCCUAGCUCCAAUAAUCUGCUCCUAGCCUCAUGGCCUGGAAAUCUAAAUGAGCAAAGCCUCAUGGCCUUGAAAAAACCUUAGUUUUUUGUGUUGUGUGUGUUCACUUACUUGAUAAAAAUUAAACCUACGGUGUACCCCAGUCGCCGUGCCACCUGGCGCUAUUUUAGUGGCAUUCAUUGCUGUCAUGUCAGGAAUAUUCUUAUUUUCAUGCGUAUGGCAGGCGUUUCAAAAAUAUGAGUGGAGAGCAAGUUUGAGGCAUAUUCACGUGUUAGGCGUAGUGGAGUGGUCCCACGUACCUCUGCAAUUCCGUUGUAAUUUUGCAGGUAUGGCAGGAAAAGUUGGUGGUUCCAACUGUCAUAAUAUCAAACUUUUGGUUGAUUCGCUGGCGUGACAGGUGGCUGUCUCCUCUUUUGUAGCACAAGAUUUCCUCAUCGAUUCCUUAUUUUUUUACACGUAUUCAACCGAUCUUUUUUUGAGAUUCAGGGUCCAUCUAUCCCUUGACAUUUUUUACGAACCUUUUUCCUAACCUUUUUGUCCUUACUCGAUGUUCCCUAGGUAUUGAAUUUUGUGGGGUAGGUCGGGUACCAAGUUUUGUAGAGUAGGUUGGCUCCAUCGGGUAUCCCGAGUACCGAAUUUAUGGUGUAAGUUAGGUAUCUCGAGUAACAAGUUAUAGUGUAGACCAGGUAACCGAGCUUAUAGUGAAUGUCGGGUAUCGAGUUUAUUAUGUAGGUUGUGUAUCUUAGGUGUCGAGCUAAUAGUGUAGGUCGGGUAUCUCAGGUACCGAGUUUAUAGUGUAGCACGAGUAUCUUGGGUACCGAGCUAAUGGUGUAGGUCGGGUACCUGGGAUACCGAGUUUAUAGUGUGGGUCAGGUAUCUUGGGUACUGAGCUAAUGGUGCAGGUCGGAUACCCCCAGAGAAUAACUAAUAGUUACAUAACCUUUGUAGUUUGUAUCGACACGUAGCGCUUCAUUUUCAACACUCUGUUUAUCCACAAACAAGGGGUAUUCAAAAUUCAAUUAGAUCCGCUCAAUUCGUCCGAUCUAUAAAACUUCGAUCCAUGGAUUGGUAGAUCAAAUUGGAUUGAAAAUUUAAAAAUUCGCAGUCGAUGGAUUGGAUAUGAAUUUAUUUCUAUAAAUUCGUAAAAAUCCUUGAAUCCGUAAAAAAUAACAAGUAUUUAUUUAAAUUAAAGUAUAGCUAAAUUAACACAAUAUUAUAUCUUAUUCGAUAACAAUAUAAAAUAAAAAAAAUUAGAUAUUUAAAUAAUUAAAUAAGCAAAUAUACCUUCCAAAACAUUAAAAAUUCUAAAGCAAAACAAAAACCCUAUGCUAAACAAAACAUUUUGGCAUAUAACACCAAAUCUUUACCCCAUCGCACGCACAAGCCAUCACUGUUUCACUUCACCACUUGAGGUAAUUAAGCUUAAUUUCUUACUUUCUUUUCAAGUUCUUCAAGUUUCUUAAUUUCUUCCUAUUACAUCCAAGCUCUCAAGUUUCAAUAUUUAAAUUCAUAAUUUUAGUUAAUUUUCAUGUAUUGAUCUAAACAAAUGAAUUUUCUUUUUAGUGUGUUAUAUUUUAAAUUUUUGAAUAUAUUAUUCUAACUUUAUUUAAACAAUUAAUUUUUUUAAAUCUUGCUCAAUUUUGAAUUUAAUUGAUAGUAAGAUUAUUUUUACAUUAGAUUUUUUUAAUUUAAUAAAUUAUUUAUAUAUUAGAUUUUUUAAUUUAAUAAAUUAUUUAUAUAUUAGAUUUUUUAAUUUAAUUACUUCGUAGAUUGGACAAAAUUAAAAAAUUUUAAUUCGCAAAUGAAUCCGCUAAAUGAUGGAUUAGAUAUUGAUUGGGUUAAAUCUGCAUCCGAUCCGCAUACAUAUAGAUUGGAUUUAGAUUGAAUUUCACUAAUCUGUGGAUUGGAUUGGAUUGAAUUGAAAUUUUAUAAUCUCCCUUUCUUUUUUCGAUUAUUACACAAACGUUAGUGCUUGUGAAUUAGCACAAAAUGUUAGUGAGCACAAAAUGUCAUUAACGAUAAUGGAUGGAAUGACCAAACCAACCAACUAAAUUUUGAAAGGAGGGAAUGAUACAUAAUAGUUUAAUUUGAUUUUAUUUUAAUUGGGUGAUUAAUUAAUUUAUUAUCAAGUAAUUGUAUGUACUUAUUUAAUAGAUACCCUUAUCUUUGGACAAGGCUGAGAAAAAGGCCACGAUGGUGUGUUCACAUAUUUUUUAGGCCGACCGUUUCUAGCUUCGGCUUAAAUAAGGCUUUUGUAUUUUUGUGCCCUUUUUUUCUGAGUAUUUUCAUAUUUUGUGCUAAUUUACACCAACGAAAAUGUGUAGACACUUUUUUAGUAUGAUUUUUCCUUUUUUUUUUUUUCACUUUCAUAGUUACUGUUAAAAAAUCUGUUGAAACUCAGAACCUCCCAUGUGGACUCUAGAACGUGACAGUUUUAGAUAUCUGAGUCCAUAAUAUCAUUAGGAGUAACAAAAGGAAUAAAUUCAAUCAUAAUGAAAAAAUGUGCCAUCCUUAAGGCUUACCUAAUAUUACUAGAACCUAAAAGUGAAAGUUUUAAGAAAACAUGUGAUAAGUUUUUCUUGGAAUUUAUUCUUCUUUGUUUUAAUUUACGCGAGAGAUAGUUAAAAAGCGUAAAAUUUUAAAAUCCGUAACAAAACAAAAACUUACAUGGGUUGGGCGCACCAUGUGGUUCGUCUAAUAAUAUUUGAUACGUACAUAUUCAUUUUAAAAUUGGUGAAUCGUAGUAAAAAAUUUAUAUGUAAUAAUUGAAUGAGAUCCAUGGUUCACAAUUGCAAAUUAACGGUUGGUUGUAUAAUAAAAACCUUUAUGUACAUGGGUCCGCCUAACUUACAUUCAAUGUAAGUUACACUCAGCCCGUGUAAUUUCAUAUAGUCCCCCUAUACUCUAUACUAUUUAUAUUUUAUUCAUAAAUAUUAUAAAUUUUUUGAAAUAAAAAUUUUUAUUUAACCCCCUCUACUCAAUUUUAUUUUAUUAAAACCAUAGAGUAUGAAUUCGCCCCCAUAGUUUUAAAUUCUCAAAAUAAUCUCCAUUUAAUUAAAAAUAUAAUUAUUUUUAAAUGAAUUAUAAUUAUAAUUAUAAUUUUAUUAUAAUCAUAAAUAUUUUUUAAUAGAUUAUUGUUAUUAAAAUAAAAUUUCGUUUAGCCCCCUCUACUCAAUUUUAUUUUAUUAAAACCAUAGAGUAUGAAUUCGCCCCCAUAAUUUUAAAUUCUCAAAAUAACCUCCAUUUAAUUAAAAAUAUAAUUAUUUUUAAAUGAAUUAUAAUUAUAAUUAUAAUUUUAUUAUAAUCAUAAAUAUUUUUUUAAUAGAUUAUUGUUAUUAUUAAUAACAAGAAUAAAAAGCAUUAUAAAUUGUUAAUAAUAAUAAUAAUAAUAAUAAUAAUAAUUAAUGAUUAUCUAACUAAUAGUAAAUGUAUUGCUAAUGCUACCUUCGACUUUAAAUACUCAUUAUCGGGUUUCAAGAGAUCAAUGAAUGAUAAUUUCUGUCAGAAUUUUAAGCUUGACCCAAUAAAAAUAAUUUUGUAUUUAAAAAAUAGAAGCAAAAAAAAUGUGUUUACAUCCUCGAAUGUGUAACAACUUAGCAAAAAGCACUUAAAAAUGACCGUUUAAUAAUGAGAUGCCUACAAAAUCAUUGUUUAUCAAGGUAACAAAAAAAUUCUAAAAGUACUUGAAAUUAAAAUGUAUAGAAAUAUAAAAGAGUCUCCUACAUAAAUAUAGACUCAGUGUUUAUUCCAUUUUAUUAUAAUCAUAAAUAUGUUGAUUAUCAUUAAUUAUUAUUAUUAUUACUAACAAUUUAAUAAAAAUAUUAUUAAUUAUUGUUAAUAGAUUAAUUAAUUAUAAUAUUUUUUAUUAUCGUUAUUAAUAAUAACAAUAAUCUAUUAAAAAAUAUUUAUGAUUAUAAUAAAAUUAUAAUUAUAAUUAUAAUUCAUUUAACAAUAAUUAUAUUUUUAAUUAAAUGGAGGUUAUUUUUGAGAAUUUAAAAUUAUGGGGGCGAAUUCAUACUCUAUAGUUUUAAUAAAAUAAAAUUGAGUAUAAGGGGUUAAACGAAAUUUUACAUUUCAAACAAUUUAUAAUAUUUAUGAAUAAAAAAUAAAUAAUAUAAAGCAUAGGGGGCUAUAUAAAAUUACACAGGCUGAGCGUAACUUGCGUUGAACCUAAGUUAGGCAAACCCUUAUGUACAUACCAAAUUAGAAAACGUUAUAAGUAAAUUAAGAUUUUCAAAAUUUGACUCGUCUUACAUUACGUACAUCAAUAUAAUAUAAAUUUGUUAUAUAUAUAUAUAUAUAUAUAUAUAUAACCAAUGCUUUCAAAAACUUUAUACUUGUAUGUUUGAACAACUUUUUUUGUUUUCUAUUUAUAUACGGUAUCAUUUAUGUUUACAUAAAUUUUCAUAUGUACCCAAAUUAAGUAUUAAAUACACAGACACUUUGUUAAGACUCAUGCGUAAUUAAUCUUAAUAAUUUCUUAUACAAAUACAAUCCUUUAUCUAAGACCAGCAACGUCACUCAUCAUAAUUUUUCACCAAAUAUUGUAAAGCUGUUGUAGUAGUAUAGUUUUCAUGGACAUUGAAUUUCUAGUAUCAGACAAUGAUAUUAUAUUGAAUGUAAUGCUUCAAUGAAUUUUAUUACUAUAUACUAAAAUGCUCAACGAUCUUCAUUAAAAAAAAAAAAAAAUUGCAUGAUUAGAAUGAUUAAAGAAUAAUAAUAAUAAUAAUAGACCUUUGUUAAUAGUUACUACAAGUGGUCACUGCCUUGUCCAUCUUCCUUCUCUGUAUCAUCGUCCUCUUCCAAGCCGCUGUCAUCUGACCAAAAACUCGCCUACUUGUUUUAGGAGCAGGAGCAGGAGGAGGAAAUUGAGUUAGGGAUUUGGAGUGAGAGUGAAGGUGGAGAAACGCAAGAGAGGGAAAAAGCUGAUUGUUGAGAAAUAUAUAUACCUUUUGUAUGGUUGUGUUAAGGUCGCCCUUCCAAGCCCAACAUGCUUCACCCCGCCAACGUGCUUUACUCCGCCCCUUCACUUUGUGUAAUUUGGGUGUACUUAAUUUUCCUUCAGAGAAAAUCUUCAUAUCGGGGCAAUCAUCCACCACUAAUCUUUCUAAAGAUGGGAACUUGAAAGCACAAUUGCCAGAGCAGAAGCUUGUCAGGCGUUCUAAGUCUACAAGCUUCAACUCCUUCAAUUCUCUGAAAGUAAUAACCUCAUCUUUUGCUACAACAUCAUCCCCCUGUACUAUUUCUGUUAUCCUAUCGCAUGAUUUUAUCUUCAUAUAUCUAAGUCGCACCAGAGUCUUUGCAAUUAAGGAUGUUAAUACGAUUUUCAAGUUGUUGCAACGCGAUACCACCAUAUUUGUAAGAUUCUGAAAGGAUGUCGACGGUGGCACUAGAUUGACUAAAUGGUCACACCCCUUUACACGUAGAAUAACCCAGUUGUUCGUAACAGAGGACUCCCUUAUCAAAAUGUGCUCCAGAUGAAAUGCUUCUCUUAUUUCUACCCACAUCCCAUUUUCAACCUUCUCAUACGGCAACGAGGCACUAUAUCCUCCUAUUUGGAGGACUUUCAUUGUGUGAAGUCUCUGGAGGAAGUCACCAAGUGAUAAAAUAGUCCGCUCAUCACCCAAGUGAUAUUUAUUUGUCACUACGUGCUUUGCAUCAACUUUCAACUUUUCCAAAUUAGGGAAUACCUGGGAGAUCGAUCACAACCCCAAAAAAAAGAAAAAAAAGAAAUACAAGAUGAAUCAAUUGAUAAGAAAUAUAAGUUGCCACUAAUUUAUACAAUAUAUUUUAUUCAAUAAAUCUUAACCUUUAAAAAAAAUAGUAAUAAUAGUAUGCCUAACAUCUAGAAUAAUUAUGAAUGAAUACUAUACACUAAUCCGUAAGAGAGUUACGUUGCUGACAAUUUGAGUUUUAGUAAGAAACCAAGCGAUGAAGGCAAAGGCAAUAUAACUCUAAACUCUAUGAUAUAAACUCUCACAGUACAUACAUAAGAAUUGAAAAAUUGAUUAUAAAAUUCUUGUACGUACCCUUUCCGUGAAGAUACUAGUAGUUCUCACCAUGAAUUCAGGACAUUUAGAUAUCCGUAAUUCUUUCAAGGAUGGAAAUUCAAGAAUAUCAAGAUCUCCAGUGCAGAAGCUUGUGAACUUUUCAAGAUCAGACAUCUUCAGAUAUUGCAACUGAGGAAACAUUACAACAUUUUUCUUCCUUUCUUCUUGGUUGUCCAUAACUAUUAACUCUUCCAAGACAGGACAUCCGACUAUCUCAAUGCAUUGGAGUUGAACAAAGCUACUAACGGUAGAAGAUGAAAAUAGACAUCUUAAAUUCAUACAGCAGGACAGGGUCAAGCGCGUUAAAUUCUGAAUACCACAAGACAUGACUGCAACUUGGUUUUGCCAAAUCCUUUCAACAUUUAUUGAAAGCAAAUGCAACUUCUCUAACUCUGGUAACCGAACCUGCUCGAUCAAAAAAUUAACUCGUUAAUUACAAGCAACAAUGAUUUCUGUUGAUGGACAAAUCAAUAAAAUUACUCUUUCUCUGGUUAUAGUUCUUUUCAGUUUUUCAUACAAACAACCGUUAAUCAAGUUUUCCAAAUUAUUCCUUACUAAAUGUAUAGAUUUAGACGGCGGCUAAUAUAAUUCAUAUUGCAAAUAUUCUUUGAUUGUAACGAAUUUUGUAAUAUUAAAUUUUGGUUGAUUCGCAAUAGCACCUACUAUCCAGCGCGAGCAGUUCCUUGGGAUUUAACUACUGGCACCUCGAUUAUAUAAAAAUUUGGAAUAUUUUCAAAGGAAAUCACAUAAUUUCCCCUUGCAAAUAGUAAUUAUCAUUAAUUGCCGCGGGUUGACAUAUAAUUCUAAGAAAUUAGGCGAGAAGAGUCUCAUCAACAAUCAAUCAGCAGAUAUCACGUUUGGCAGAUCAUCAUGAUUUCCUCAGAUGCUAGAGAAUCAACGUGAUUUCCGCUCAUGCAGGAGCAGGAGUGGACACAUUAUCUUAGAGCAUCCCUCACUGAGAUCUUUUAAAAAAUUUAUAUUAUAAAGUGAACAACAUAUUAAGUAUAGAUUUAGACGGCGGCUAAUAUAAUUUAUAUGUAUUCUAAUGAAGUAUAUUAAAGAAAAUGACUAACCAUAAUUUCAAUCUACUUAUUAGUCUAUAUAUAUAUAUAUAUAUAUAAUAUUCAGUGAUUACAACAUAUUUAGUAUUCCAUAACAUGAUGUUUAUAAUAAUAAUUAUUGUGUCGAGUACCUUUUCUUUCUCUAAGAAUGUAUUUGUUACACCCUACUAUACUUCGGAUGAAAAUUUAGAAUAAUUAUGAAAUAUGAUUAUUAAUCACUCUUUGCCAUAUUUGCUACCAAACAAGAAUGCAACAAAGAAAAAAAAAACAAAAAUUAUAGAGAAUUAAUAAGACCAUUGACUUAUCAAUAACUGACCUUCUCAGCGAAAAGUGUAUUAGAAAUUUGGACAUUGUCCUCCAAAAUGAUUUCAUGUGACUGCAAAUCAUUAGCUGAUUCCUCCUGUCUCUGCUAACAUUGCAGGUGCAUUGAUUUUAGAGUGUAAGCUUAAUUGUGAGCACAACCUUAAUGCAUAGAUACAAGAUCUUUAAAAAUUAGUACAAUAAACUUAGCACUAAAUUAAAUUUGAUAUUUUUGAAUUCCAUGAUUAAGAUUUUUUUUUUAAAUGAAAAUUUAAUAGAGUUAAUUUAAAAAUAAAAAUUAAAUAUGAAAAAUUAGACUUGCAAUUAUGGAUUUAAUUUUGAUAAAUAAUGAAUGUUCUCUUAAUAUUUUUUUUAAAAGAUAAAAGAGCGUACAAAGCCCAAAUUCAUUUUUUUAGUCCCUUACUCUCCCAUGAUUCAAACUUGGGUGGUUGUAGGAGGACUGAAAAUAUAUAAGACAGUUAACUUUACUUUUUUUUUUUUCUUUUUUCUUUUUUGUUGAGAGAAAAGAGAAGAAGGAUAUUACAAAGCAUGAAGCUCGUGCAACACAAGGGCAAUUAUGGUUUUUUCCUUAAAUUAAAAUGGUAAGAUUCUGAAGCUAAAAGAUUAAAAUAUUAAUUAAAUUGCAAACAUUAAAGAUUUUUUUUUUCAAAUUGGUUGCUUUGACAAUGAGAAUAAUAUAAUAUUUGAAGACUUUUCAAAAUUAAUUACUGUGAUGCACUAGAAAUUUCUAGCUUUAGUCUAAUGUAUAAAUUGACAAAACGAUAUUAGAAUCCCAGGUGAAAAGAACCCUCUCAUACCAUUUUCUUAAAUUAGGAAUGAUCAUACCUCUGACUCUGCCGAACUGAGGGCGGGGUCUAAACCCAUCAUAAAGAGACGCUUGAGAUGGGAAGAGCCCACUUUGGCUAAUUCAUUACGAAAAUAAUCGACAUCUUGCUCUUGCAAUCCACUUAACUCAAGGUUUUCAAUUCUCUGCAGUUGCACGAUCAGCGAAUCCUUCAAGCGAAUCUUUUCAUAUAGCUCGAGACUGAAUUCACGACACCAAAUGCCGGUGCUCUCCCGACGGUCAUAAUCUGCAAUGCAUAUUUGGUACCUUUCCAGCUUCUCCAAGACCAGGCCUCUGGGCAGACUGCUGACGUCACGGACGUGUAAUUCCAAAGAGGUCAAGUUGGGCAAAUGCUUCAAUUCCUCAAGGCUUGCAUUCUUAACCCCUUCCACCUCCACCUCCCAAUCGGCAAAGUCAAAGAGUUCACUAGCUAUAUAUAGUUCUUCUAAAUGUGAUAAUUUUGACAGUAUAUUUGGUGGAAUAACUUGUAGUGCUGAACAAUCUCUCAAAUCAAGCAACUUUAGACAAGUCAAUUCACCUACUUCUACCGGCAACUUCUUAAUAUAAGAACCUCUUAAGCAAAGGAUUUCUAGUUUCUUCAAGCCUCCUACAACACUUAUAUCAGGCAAGCAGCAGCGACACAAACUCAGUGUUCGAAGGUUUGACAGGAGACCAAGUGAUGGAGGCAGUGACCGUAUGUAAGUCAAGUUUACAACUCUGACCUCGAUCAUCCUCUCGAAAAAGUUGUUUGGAAUUGUUAAUGGUAAAAAUACACCUCUAGCAGCACGUAGAAAAAGAAGUUCGAGUUGAGGACAUUCCAGUACUUCAGGAAGCAAAUUAGUCUUGAUAUCAUGUAAGACGAUUGAAGUGCAAUGCUUUAUUGCACUUCCGUCUGACCAUUCCCUGCAACCAUCAACCUGCUCAUUUGUAGCAGUAAACACAUUUCGUUCAGUAGAUGCAAUUGAUAUGGCGACAUCGCGAACUACAUCAUGCAUAGAAAACAACUCUUUCUUCUGGCUUAUAUGGUCAAGCAACAUACAAGAAGCUUUGAGUGUGCGCACCAAUGAAUGUACUCGAUUUCGUGCUGCUUCAAUCUUAUUCACACCUUGAAAUAAACCCAAUCCCAUACCACACAUUAACAAGUCAUCAAUAGAUGCUAUGGCUGUAUAUCCUAUUAGCAAAAAGAUGUUCUUGAGAUCAUCCCUUCCUAGUUUAUUGUAGCUCAACUCGAUAGCUUUAAAUGCGGCUGGCUGUACAUCCUUAAAAUUCAAUGAAGAAGGCCUUCUUAGCUGUUCCAAUGCAUCCUUCCAUUCACGUAUGCUCUUGCUCCUUAAUGCCCUUGCAACCGUCACAAUGGAAACUGGCAGACCUGCACAUUCCUUUGCCACAUCCCUUGCUACCUCUUUCAAUUCAUUAUCUUCAACAUAAUCACCUGCCAUCUUCGUGAAUAGACUCCAAGCUUCAUCUUCUUUUAAAAAUCCAACUGGGAAAUUUUUUCGAGACUCCAUCUCUCCAGACAAUACUUCUUCACUCCUUGCCGUGAACAGAACUUUACAUCCCAUGUGAUCAUCUCCGUGAGGAAUUCCGACAUCCAACAAAUCAAGAUUUUCCCAAAUAUUAUCCAAGAUUACAAGGAUCCUCUUCUCUUUCUUCAGUCGAUCAUAGAGUCUUCUUGCCCUACCCGAUUCACUCUCCUCAUCAAAUUUUAGACCUAGUUUAUCCGCCAUUUCUCCUUGAAUCUUUCUUACGUCUCGACUCUCAGACACCUCAGAAAAAACCACCUGAUCGAAAAGCUUGUCACACUCUGCUUUUCUAGCAACUUCUUUAGCUAGCGUCGUCUUUCCGAUUCCGCCCAUUCCAUAAAUCAAAAGCAUGUUGACAUUGGGAUUUUUUAAUGCAUCAAUUAUUUCAUUCAGAAUGGACGUUCUUGAUUCAAAGGCCUCGAAGUCUUUGUUAGGCAUAAGCAAGGUAUCCUCCGGAAUGAUGCUGUAGGAAAUACUAUUAACUGGUCUAGCGUCCAGGACUUUGACAACAGCCUCCUUCUGCCUCUCUGCUUCCUUGCUAAGUCGAGGGCGGGUCUUCAAAUUAGGACAUAACCCCUUGAAACAACGCUUAUUUGCAGUGGCUUCAUCUUCUGUAAAUUUAUCUGCCUCUUCAAUGACACUGUUGGCCGCUGCAAGCCAAUUCUCAACGUUCUCUUCAAUCUCUUCUCCUUUUCUUUUAGCCUCAUCAACCUGGUGCUCUGUAUUCACCCUCUCAGACUUUAGUUUCACAACUUCAGUGUUGAGAUUCUGUAAGUUGCUCGUGUACUUACUCUCACGCAAAUAUCUAAUUUGGCGAUAUGCGGGAGGAGCCAAGCACUUUGCAACUUCUAAAACAAUAGUAAGAAUGAUUUCAGCCAUCUUCAGUCCUUUGUCCUUGUCUCUCUAUCUCUCUUUUUCUGAAUUUUGGAAAAACAAUUCAACAAGUGACCACAACAAGAUGGAACAAAAUAAAAAGGAAAAAAAUACAAAGAGUGGAUGGAGAAUAAAACAGAGACAGCGGCACAGCUAGACACAACUGGAUAGAGAACAGAGGAAAACCAAAUAACAAGACUUAAGAUUACAACAAACAGAGGCCAAGUAUUGUUGAGAUCAGAAGAUGGAAAAUUCAAAAGAGUUGAUGGCAGAUGCUGAAUAACAGAACAACAAUGAACACAAUAAACAGAAGCAAAGUGUGUUUGUGAUCGACAGACGGAAGUAAGGAAAGCGGUUGUUGAUUGAAAAUGAAUGAAUGCCAAGAAAGACUGAUGUUAAAAAUUGAUGUCAAUAGCGAAGGAAUAAUUGAACUUUCGCUGAAUUAUUGUUUGUGGCUUCUUUUACUGUUUAUUUGUGGGUCAUGUCUUUUGGAACUAAUCUUGUCCCAAAAAUGUUGUUUAUUUGUGGGUCAUGUUAUUCAGCAUCUGCCAUCAACUCUUUUGUUUAUUUAUUCAAAAAAUAAAUUGUGAUUAUUUGUUAAUGUAUGCGAUUACUUGUGAUGGUAAACAAAGUAGAUAUGGUAUAUUUUGAAGUUAAAUUAAAAAAAAAAAAAACAGAGCUUUUACCAUUACUUGCCUUAUCAUCUUUUAAAUUAGAGUUAUUAUUCUUUUAUUUUUCAAGUUGCCAACUCAUCCGCAUUCUCUUUUAUUGAAUUUAAAAAUCAAUGAUUAUAAAUUUGUGCGAAAAUUUUAAGUCAAAACUUUAAAUUAAAAUAAUCUUUAAGUUAUAGGGAAAUAAUAACUUAGUAUAACAAAUAUUAUAUCCUAUACUUUAUUGCUACAAAAUUACGAAACCUUAUAGUUUCAAAAACAAAAAUUACGAAACCUUAUAUUAUAUUAUGUUUCCAUAUUUCUCCUUUAUAGUGAAAACUCAUACUUCUUCUCUAAUAAAUGCUAAAGUAUUGGCUUAAAUUUUUUAACCAGCAUAGUAGACCCUUAAGCUAUAUAUACUAUAAUGUCCCUCUUCUCUCACAGAUUAAACCAAUCUGAUCUCAGAGUGAGUUGAUAUCAUGACUUUGCAUCAUUCGUGAUCAAAGGAGUAUCAUUACUAACUAAUAUAGGCUCCACAAUUGGCAUGAUAAUAAUUUUUUAUUAUCUACAAACACUGUUUUUCAAAAUAUUAUAUCUUAAGACUUAACUAAAUAUUUUUUAACUAUGUAGAUAUAGUUUGUUUGAUCUCUUUUAAAUAGUGGAGAUUACAAACAAACAUAUGCGAAUUAGUAGUGAUGUUGAGUUCAGAAGCUUGAAGUUAAAAAAAUUAAGGGUUUCUUGAUCUAGAGAAAUUUCAAAUGAGUGAAGCGUCCUUGAAAUCGGAAGACGAAAAUAAGGAAAGGGUAAGGGUGUAUUUUCAAAGUGAUUCUAUUAGGAGAUCUUUAAAGUAGGGGUGGGCAAGUCGGGUUUUGGUUCGGGUUGUUCAAGUUUCGGUUUGGGUUUCAACCCAAUCGGGUUUGAGAAUUAAACUCAAUCGGGUUGAAAACGCCAACCCAAACUAAACCGAACCAAAUUUAAUUCAGUUUGGGUUCAUAAUUCGGAUCGGAAUGGGUUGAUAACUCAUGUUAAAAUUUCGGUUUGGGUUAAUUUGGGUUAGAAUAAUUCAAUCUAAAAUUUUGGGUUAGUUUGGUUUAAAAUGGGUUGGAACAAUUUAAUCCAAAAAUUCUACCAACAACCACUUAAAAUCCAAAAAUCUCAAUUCCAAAAAUCCUUAACAACAAAUAUCAACUACAAACCAUCCUUGACAACAUUUCAACAAUAACAAUAACAAUAAUAACAACAACAACAAUGAUAAUAAUAACAACAACUAUGAAUCAGCAAUUCAGCAUAUUGCCAUAUUCUAAAUUUAAAAAAACACACAAAUUAUUUAAUUAAUUAAUUAAUUAACAAUCUCCAAUUUAAUUUAUAAUAACAGCAAAAAUCCUCUCCAAUUUAAUUAAUAACAGUCUCCAAUUGUUCAAUUAUCAGUCAACAGCAACAAAUCCACUCCAAUUUAAUUAUAACAAUCUCCAAUUGUCCAAUUAUCAGUCAACAGCAACAAACCCUCUCCAAUUUGUCACGAACAACCUCUAAUUGUUCAAUUAUCAGUCAACAACAACAAACCCACUCCAAAUAAUUGAACAAUUAUUAAUUAAUUAAUUAAAAAUAUCCAAUUUAAUUAAUAACAACACCCAGGAGCAAGUCAGCAAUAAACCCACUACAAAAUCCAAAUAUCAGUAUAAACGAAGUGUCAAACCUUGAUCGGUGGGAAGCUACAGCGUCGGCAAAGCGUGACCGCGUGGGGCUGAGUGAGACUGUCGACCGAGGGUGUGAGAAGGGAGAAGAGGGAGCAAGGAGGUAACGUGGUGUGUGUGAGUUUAUAUAUACCAUGAGUUCGCAUCAUUUGAUAUCAAAGGAGCAUCAUUACUAACUAAUAUAGGCUCGAUCGAAUUCAUCAUGCGAAGUAUAUUAUCGGCUGUAGGUAUGGAAAUAAAUUUUGUAUCCACAAACACUAUUUUUCAAAAUAUUUUAAGACUUGACUUAGCAUUUUUUAACCAUAUAUGUAUAGGUUGUUUGACCUAUUUUAAAUAGUGGAGAUUACAACAAAUGAACAGAUGUGGAUUAGUAGAGUUGCUGAGUUCAGAAGAUUGAAGUUAACAAAAGGUUUCUUGAUCUAAAGAAAAUUCGAAAGAGCGAAGUGUCUUCGAGAUCAAAAGACGAAAUAAGAAAAGGGUAAGGUUAUACUUUCAAAAUGAAUCUGUUGAUAGAUCUUUGAAGAUUACUUUCGUUAAGAGCUGGAUCCCACACUUGAGUCUUCGUCGUCUCAGUCAGUCAGCUAUAAAGACAAAUUAAUUUUGAGCGUGAAAGGACACAAUUGAUCACCAAAUUUUCAAACUCGUGAUCCUUAUUGAAUCUGCAUUCUCAUUUGAAAAACAAUAAAAGAUUAACAUUAAUUUAACUUCAUCUAGAUUCCCAUUUGAAUCUGCAUUCCCAUCCCGUUGUUCUCUGGGAAUGCACAUAAUCAAACAAAAUCCUAUCCGCAUUUUCAAACUUGUGACCCUUCAAGCUUUCUAUGACAACUAUAACGAAUAAUUACAACAGUGCUACCUAAUAGUGAGCAACUUGUUUGAUGAAAUUAACAACUUCUUUUCUCUCAUAUAUUUUUAAAAAAUUGAAUUAUCAAAGUUUUUAUUUCAAAAUUAGUGCUAUAGUUCAUUAAUUUUUCAAUUUUUCCUUUUUCUUUCCACACAACAGAUUGAUUUGCCCUCCAAAAAAUGUAUUAUAUUGUUUAAUAUUGUAACUUCAAGAAACUUAUAAUAAAUUUUUAAAGAGAUAAAUAGAGAAUGUCAGUCUCCCAUCUACUCAAAAUUAAUAUAUAUCAUUAACUCUUGAUUAUUUUUAUAACAACUAAUAACUUUCUUGGCAGCAUAAUUUUAUAGUAUCAUCCUUGUUUGUAAGUAUAUUUUUAUUCAUAUUUAUUAUAAAUUAAUUAAAUCAUAUCAAUGAAAAUUGAAAUAAAAAUUGAAGCACUAAAAAUUAAAAAAAUUAUGUUUUGGUGUGAAUAAAAAAUUGAAAAUAAAAAUAUUUUUCUUAUAUUUGUUGUUAUUUUUAAAUUUUUUCUUAUAAUAAAUACAUAUUUUAUAUGCUCAACUUUUUCUUUAAAUUUUUGUUAUUAGGAGGAAUUUUAGAUAUAAUGAAAAUUGUAAGGUAGUAAGUAAUAUAUAAUAAUUUUAAUAGAAAAAAGUAAAAAUUCUCUUAUUUUAAAAUAUAAGGAGAAAAAAUAAUUAAUUUCAAGACAUUUUAGAAGGUAUUUCAAUAUGCGGUGGACCACAAACUCGAGUCUUUGUCAUCUCAGUCAACUAAAAAGACAGAAUAUUGAGGGCAUGGCUAAGGUGCAGAAGCUGCAAGCAACAGCUUCGAACUUUCCCAUUUCCAUCACCUUGCAUUGGGACCUCCUCUAGCACCCGUGGAAGUUCCCCAUUGGCUACUGUUACUUACAAAAGCUCUAACAUAGACUUCUCCGAAUAUUGAGCGCGAAGGGCUCAAGUGAUUGUUAAUUUCACAGCAAUCGCCUUUUUUCUUUCUUUCUUUUUUUUUUUAAUUAUUGGGAAAUAAUAACUUAGUAUAACAAAUAUUAUAUCCUAUACUUUAUUGCUACAAAAUUACGAAACCUUAUAUUAUAUUAUGUUUCCAUAUUUCUCCUUUAUAGUGAAGACUCAUACUUCUUCUCUACUAAAUGCUAAAGAAUUGGCUUAAACUUUUUAACCAGCACAGUAGACCCUUAAGCUAUAUAUACUAUAAUGUCCCUCUUCCCUCACAGAUUAAACCAAUCUAUCUCAGAGUAAGUUUGCAUCAAAGGAGUAUCCUUACUAACUAAUAUAGGCUUGAUCAAUAGGGAUGACAAUAAUUUUUUUAUCUACGAACAUUAUUUUUUCAAAAUAUUAUAUCUUUAGACUUAACUAAAUAUUUUUUAACUAUAUAUGUAUAGUUUGAUUAAAUGGUGGAGAUUACAACAAAACAGAUGUGAAUUAGUAGUGAUGUUAAGUUCUAGAUCAAGACGAAAAUAAGGAAAAGGUAAGGGUGUAUUUUCAAAAUGAUUCUAUUGAAAGAUCUUUGAAAAUUACUUUCGUUAAGAGGUGGAUUCCACACUCUUGAGCCUUUGUCGUCCCAGUCAACUAUAAAGACACAUUAUUAUUGAGUGUGAACAUUCGAACUUAUAGAUCAUCAAAUUUUCAAACUUGUGAUCUUCGUUAAAUCUGCAAACCCUUUUUUUUUUAAAAAAGAAAAAGAAAACUGCAAAUAAUGAAACAAAAUUCUCUUCCUUGAUAGACUUACGCGGCUUGAACUUGCAAGUGCUGUCGGCAUUUUCAAACUUGUAAGACCCUUCAACUUGCUUUCCAAGAUAGCUAUAAUUAAUAAUGACAACCGAAGACGGCUACGUUUGCGGUACAAAAGUUGCACCAUAUCAGACGUUCUUUUUUGUUCUUAUCCGAAGGAACCGUUGGAUUCAAAGGAAAGUGAUCGGACAUUCAAUAGCUUCACACGUGGACAUUAUAGGAUACCGGUCAAAUCGGUUAGUGCUCCUCCACAUCAAACUCACAAGCAUGGCUAUCAUCGUAUCAGCUUGGAAACUUGUUACAAGUAACGAAGAGCAACAGAGUCCGCUCCUUUAGAGUCGGCAACAGAGUUUUAAUUAACGGCAUCUUCUCUCACAUUUUUUUUUUUAAAAAAUUGAAUUAUAUAACCCACCAAAACUAUAAAGAAUUGUUAGUUUUUCUUCAUUAAAAUUAAUAUAUUGCUCCUCAUAUUAAAAAAUCAAAAUUCAGAAUAAGAAUAAUUGAUACUGUUUAUUUACUAAAAUGAAAAUGAGAAUAAAAAUAAAAUAUAUGGAGCCUAUAUAUUUUUUAAAUUAAAAAAUAAGAACUUUUCAUGAGGAGUGUUGGGAAUCAAGUUCUUAUUAUUUAAACUCUCAAUUGUACCUUACCAAAAUUUCAUAAUUUCACUUUUGUUCUCAAUUAAAAUAUUAUUACAGUUAUUAUUCUUAUUUUUGUAGUUGUUGUUGUUGAUGAUGAUGAUUAUGAUGAUACAUGAUAAUAAAAUUAAUGAUAAUAAUAAUGAUAAUGAUAAUAAUAAUGAUAAUGAUAAUAAUAAUAAUGAUAUGAUAAUGAUGAUAAUAAUUUGAACAACAACAACAAUAAAUAAUAAUAAUAAUAAUGAAAAUAAUAACUAUAAUUUUAACAACAAUAAUAAUCAUUAAUAUUAUUAUUGUUAAAAUUAUUAUUAUUAUUAUUAUUAGAUAAUUAUUUUGAAUAAUAAUAAUCACAAGUCUAUUCUGAUUCCAGUUUAUUCCGAUUAUCGAUUAGAAAAUGUGUCAUUACUGUUUUAAUAAUAACUAAUAAUUCUCUUGACAUCAUAAUCGUAAUUCUUAUAGUAUUAUCCUUAUUUUAAAAUACACUACCAUGAGCUUGCAUCAUUUGAAAUGGUAGGUACUAGGUAGCAAUUGCUUACAUCAAAAUAUCUAGACUCACUCGGCAAAGUAUCCGAGGCCAAAACGCCAAAAGAUGGGACACCCACAUGUGCAUCUAAUUACAAAAUCCAAAGUUAAUGAAAAAGAAAAAAGAAAAAGUAUAAAUGAACGGUAUUGGCUGUAGGACAAGGGGAGGGGAAAAAGGACCAUUUUGUUUUCUUUGCUAAUUCACAAGGGGAAGGGAAAAAAAAGAAAAAGACAGUUUUGAUUAAAAAACACAGAAUAUUCAAUUCACAAGCCACCAAUGCUUGUGGACCAAUGGUCGAUAUAUGAAAGUUAGAGAUUCUGGCAAAAUGAGCAAAUAUUUUGAGUUUAUUAAUGGAUUUGUUUGUAAUGCAAUACAAGAUAGCAUUUUAAAGCUGGCAAGAAAGAAAGAAAUAAGUCAAUAAUUGAGAUAUUUAAAGAAGCUCAAGUGGUCAUGAAAUCUCUCCUUAAAAACUAUACAAGAUAAUGUUAAUGAUAAAGUUAGCCAACCAAGUCGUUCAAUCAUUGCUGGAAGCAAGCAGCCAUUGAAGUUGAUAGAAGCUAAUGCAUGAAAAAAGGUUCGUUACAUGAAGGAGAUAAUGAGAAAAUUGAUGAACCCCUAUCAUCCAUGUUUUGUUUCAAUCAAAAGGUUUGAAUUUUAAGGCCGAUAUUUUGGACUGAAUCCCCCUGUCUGCUUCCAAAGGGGAGGAUGUGCAUGUAGUUGAUUGGGCCGAUGAUUGUGAUGGGUGGGAACUUUUAGCUUGGAAAUGGACCUAGCAAGCCCAUGUUUGAUUCGGUAAGUUGUGACUUCUCAUGGGCAUUUGAAAUUUUUAAAUGGCCUUUUAUAACCUUUGUCAAGAUUCUCAGAAAUCGAAUCAUUCGGUGAUUACUUGCAAAUUCGGAAAGGAAAUUGGAAUCAAACUGGGGUUCUAAUUAAAAAAAAAAAAAAGGGUUCAGAAUCAGAAUUUUGUUCUUUUGACUGACUAAACUACCCUCAUUUAAUUUUCAAAAUGCCCAAAUUUUUAUCAUGCUCACUUGGCGUUAUCUCGUCUUGUGGGAGCUGUAGGACAGUUGAGAUAAAAGAUAUUGCUGCAGUAUCUACUGUUUUCUCAUCCUGAUCUUCAGAGUUAUUCUCAACAAUGGACAAAUUUGAGUUUAGAACAGCAUCAGAAACCAAUGACACCCAGUCGCAUCCAGCUACUUCUUCACUUUGCUCAAUUCGACAGAUUUUACGCAAAUUUGUUUUGUUCUCAAAAUAGUCUGCUGCUCCCGGAUUGUCCUCAUUACAUUGAACGAAUGAUGACGACGCUCUGUCCGUUUCUGGCUCUCUGCUUUUCUCUUUCACAUCACGAGACACCUCGUUUCUAACUGGGGUACCACCAUCACAUUUAACUGUUAUUGGUAACUCAAUAGCUAAUUCCAAUGUUUCCUCAAGCAGUUUAGAGAUAAACUCUCUCGCUGAACUCCCUGGAGUAACACAAUCCAGUUUUCCAGUGCAAUCAUCAAACAGUUGAACAGCUCCUGAAUUCCCUUUGCUUUUCUUGUUUUCUUUUCCAUGUAAAGGGAGCUCAGGCUUCAAUAUAUCUGGGGAUUGAUUACUAAUGAUAAAGACAACAUACGGUAGAGGACACAAAUUGUUAUUAAACAACGAUGCACUUUUCAUUUUUCAACUGAGUACAGUAAAGCAAGAAUGGGUAAUUAGUUUUACCUGCUAAGCGAAAAUCUAGACUCCCGAAGGUAACCGAUCUUGGGUGAAGCAAAUAAAGAAGAAGGCGAAGUAAAAUUCACUGAGUUGAAUGAGCGAUCAUUGCGUAUGGACUUGAUUUGUUCAAUGGGUGAAAGACUGCUGAUAUAAUUAAAGACUGGUGAAUCCUGCAUGUUGACAAGCAUCAUUUUUAAUCUAACAUAGAGUCUUAAAAACCUGGUCAGUCGCAAAUGAUCACGACAAGAAAUCUGAAGUACAAACAGCAGAGCUCAACAAAUCACUAAGAGAAAAUAAGACCAGUAACCAAGCACAUGAAAGAAAAGCAAAAUAACCCAUCUCAAAUCACCACAUGCAUCAGAGAUUGAAUUUUCAUACACGUGUCAAUUUUUCAAGUCCAACAAAUUGUUAUCUUUCUGAAGAUAUUAACUAUGCAUAGCAUGCUAUAAACAAAUCAUAUUAUUAUGGCCUUUGUUUGCAGUACACGACAUAUGUACAGAGGAACAAAUCCAUGAACUGAAUUCAUUAUAUUCCAAAAUAUUCUACCAAAUCAACACUACAAAAACCUGACGCUAGACAGAAUUGGAGCAAUUUGCGAAAGCCAUUAGUCACACAAAGCACUAGUACCUCAGAACCCAAUUUGAAAAAAAGCAACAAAAUUGAAAAAUAACAAAUGCCCAGAUUAAAAAUCAGGAAAAAAUGCUCAAAUCCAAACGACAACCCCAUAAGCUCAGUCGUUCUCUUCAAACUAAAUUAACACACUGAAUAAAAAAAAAUUAAAAAAUUAAAAUGGGAAUAUUAACCUCAAACUUGGAAACAGAAGCGACAGUGAUCUGUUUCUUGUCUGGAGUGUCCAUUUCUGUAAUCUACUUUGUCCAUUUUCAGUCGCUCCGCCACAAAGCCUCUUCUCUCUGAAACUGAAACUCACACACACUUGCAAAGUGAAAGCAUUUGAUUGAUUGAGAGGCGGGAAGGCGGGAAAAUGUCAGAAAUUUGAUUUUGUUUUUUCUUGGUUUGGUCAAACACGUGCGGGUCCCAGCUUGACAAGCGGUUCUAUUACUACUUGUAUUAUCUACAUGACGCGUGUCACGCGAUGGCGAUAGAAAAGUGGUACAAAAUUCUAAUGAUUACCCAAUGGCGAUAAAAAUAAAAAUAUAUUGUUAAUUUUUUACUUAACAUUGGAAUAUCAUAUAAUUUUAUGGUUAUUUACUCGCCGUUACGCCAGAUUCUUCUGAUCAAAUAAUACAGUAAAAUUUUUCUAUAAUCAUAAUGUUAGAACCAAAUUAAUUUCACUUCUAUAAAAAAGUUAUAGCUUAAUAAAAGUAUAAUUGUAAAAAUUAUUAUUUGGACUUACUUAUCCUUAGUACAAGUGAUGUAAAGUAAAAUAUACGAUAAUUAAUUAAUGAAUUAUGUAAAAUACAAUGUACGGACAAUGAUAAAAGAUAUAGACAUAAUUUUAAAAAAUUAAUGCAUAUAUUUAUGCAGUGUUGGGAUUAUACAAAGUUAUUUUAAAAGUGUAAAGAGUAAAGUAUUGUUCCAAUUAAUUAAAAAAAAUUAUUUCAUCUUAACCUUUAAUGCAAUAAAGCAUUUUUAUAAACAAUUAUUACUGGAUUCAAAUUCUCUCCUAUGCAUUUUCUCUCAUAGUCCUCCUAAACUUUUAAGGAUCUAUUGACAUGUGUCAUUAAUGAAAUUAAAUAACUAAAAUUUUGUUUUAAUUAAUUUUUACCUAAAUAAGCAUCAAAACUCACGUGUGACUCUUGUCAAAUUCUUUUCCUCUCAACUCUUUAUAUUUUGACACCAAUUUCCAGCAAAUUAUUGAAAAAAAGGGCAAAAAAUGGAAAAAAGUGAUUGGCAACAAGGUAUGCAUCUUAAUUUCAAAAUUUUCCUUUUCUUUACUGUUUCUCGAGGUUCUAUAAUUAUUGUUUUCGCGGUCAGUUGCAAUUCAAUGGACUAAAUUAGUAGUGAAUUGCUAUUACUAGGCAUAUAAUUCUAUUGCUACAAUUUUACUGUUGUUUAGCUAUUUUUUUGAGUUUAUAGUUGCUGUUUUGUUGUCUUUUUUAGGUUUUCAACUGUUGUUUGCUGUUUUUCUAGGUUCUGUAGUUGCUAUUUCGGGAAAAAUAAAAAUAAAUGUGAUCCUGAAUUAUUUAACUCCUAUGAAACAUCUUUAGCUAUUGCAUUUUUUUUUAAUUGUAUUAUUAUUGGCGGGAUGUAUGUUGAAUAGGGAUGGCAAAGUCCAGAUUCGGAUCUAAAUUGAUAUUUCUAUAUUUGGAUCUGCAUCUGAAUCCACACAUUUUUUUUGUGAAUCUAGAUGUGGGUAAUAUCUGCAGGGAUUGCAAGCAGAUAUCCUAGAUACCUGGAUCUGUAUAAAUUAAAAUUUAAUUAUUUAAAAUAUAAUUUAAAAUUCAAUAACUUACCUAAUAAUAUCAAGUAAAAUCCAAUCAUAAUUUAAUAAUCAACAAUUAAAUACCUAAAACAACAUACAACAUCAUUAAGUCAUAAAUAAAAAUAUCACAAUAUAAAUCAAAAUAAAAAUAACAUAAAUCUAAAUUUAGCACGACCACAAAUCCACAAAUAGAAUCAUAAAAACACCACAAAUCCAUAUAAAAUAAUGCGAAUUCUUAUAUAUUUCUUAAUUUAAUUUUACUUCUAUAUUUUUUAAUUAAUCCUAUUAUCUUUUUUCAUUUAACUUAUAUAUAUAUAUAUUUAUUUAAUUUUAAUUGAACAAUUAAUUUAAUUAAAAAAUAAGAUGGAUAUUUAUCAUAUAUAUUCUUACUAACUCAAUUUGAGAUGUUAUACACUAUUUUUAUUACUUCCCAUUUCAUAUGAAUAUUUAUCAUAUAUAUGCUUAGUAACUUGUAACCCUUUUUGGUAAGGGUGAAAUGUGUUUGUUACCCCUUAUAUUUCUGAGAUUGUCCUUACAGUAAUGAUACUGGCCCCAAUUUCUAAGGGUGCAUUUGAGAUUAAGAUUGGACAGUUGUAACUUAAAAGUCAUAAUACUAAAGUGUCCGGUAAUCACUAACUGCUGUAACUUGGAAGGUAUGUUGAUAUGAUUUGUUACUUGUCUAAUAGAAAAUCUAUUAUAUCUUUAAUAAUUUUGUCAAAAUUAUUAUUUAAAAAUUAUAUUUACUAUAUAUUAUUAAUUUUUAUUUUAUAAUUAUAAGUUUUUCUACAACAAUUGUAGUUUUUAAGGUACAUCACCUCAAUUUCAAACAAGACCUAAAACUGCUAUCUCUAUGUAAAUUCCUUAAAAAAUCUUUUUUAAUUAAAAUUAUUUAAAUAAUUGAAGAUAAAUAAAUUUAUUUUUUAUUUGAAUGAAAAUUCAAUUAAGCAUUUAAAUAAGCUAUUCUCUCUUAACAAUUUUUUUUACGCCCAUCUUGUUUCAUAAUUUAUAUUUGUAUUUUAAAUUUUAAUCGAAAAUAUGUUUUGAGAAACUUUUAAGAAUUAAGAAUUAUGGAAACUAAAAUUAUGUAAUAAGAAGAAAAUAAUUUGAAUUCUUAAGAUUUGUAUGUAUUUAUAAAUAAAAACUUGAAAGAAAUACUCUUUUCAAGAUAAGAUUUAGUGAGAAAAUUAUUAAAUUUUAAUUUACGAAUUAGUAUUUUAUAAAUUAAACUGGGGGUAUCUUAAGGAAUAGAAUUCUAUAGAAUUCAAAAAGAGUGUUUAUAAGGAUUUUUUAGGGGCGUUAAAAGCUCCACUCAUUUACGUAAGGAAUGGGAAUUAGGGUAUUGGGUUUCAUUUUGUUUUACAUGAAUUUGGGAAAAAUACACGGAUAGACAAAGGGAACAGCCAUUGUAAAGCUGUGAAGCUUGUGGAAGAUAGCAUUGCCUAUUUGUAGCUUAAACUCCUGGGGCUUUGCUCAUGCUUUUCUCUUUCCCACUUUCUCAUGGAACAGAUGUAUACAUCAUGAAAUGGAAACAACAGCACAAAUUGCUGUCUCGUAAGAGAAACAGUCAUACAUAGUAGGUUAGGCCUCAUGUCCAUUAACUUAAUAAUGAAUUUUAUGAAAAUUGGCUAUCUCAUUGAAAUUACAUAGGUAUUGGAAACUUUUACUCCAGCUGCAUCAUCUCAUCAAUAAAAGCUGGAUUUUCCAUUUGUUCUUGAGAUUCAAAUUAAGGCAGCAAAUUGCUCAUCCCACACUAUCUAUGUAAUCCUGAAAAAGUGAAGGGCGUUUAGAUGUGGAAAAACCUUACUCCUGCCGCCGCGCCUCAAACAGAUUAUGAUCACACAAGACUUAGUUCAUCAUUAGUAGUAGUUGGAGCUUCCAUUUGUUCUUGAGAUUCAAAGGCAGCAAGCUGCUUCCUCAGUGCUACUAAUUCUUCCCCGGCAUUGCAUAUGUAGGCUGAGGCUUGUCUACCAGACAAAGUUGCUCCUUCCAUGCUAUCUAUGUAAUCCUGUGAGAGUGAAACCAUUUAGGAGACAUAUCUCUUUUUUUUCCCAAUAUUUGGAAUGAAACAAUUAUAUACAGUUACCUGUUUUGUAUAUGAGCCAGCAAGGAAGAAGUUCUUCACUGGUGUCUGUUGAUCAGGUCUGAAGGGGUCUUUACCAGGUCCCUCACGGUACAAAGAUUGCCCGAUUUUGACAACCGAUGACCAAAUAACUUCUAAACCUUGCGAUGACGGAAAUAGAGCUAAAACCUAAUAAAAGGAACCGUGAAUGGAUAAUAUGUACUGAUGUAUGUUAUCCAGAAAGUU